rnacentral:lncRNA from 1 species
UGCGACUUAAAUAAUCAUCGUAGGAAGGGCCAGAAACUUGCGUUUUCUUAUGAUAGAUUGUACCAUGAUUAUAUUCUAUUUAUAUUCUCUAGUCUAUCUUUCUUCAAGUGAGAUAGUUGAGCCCGCCCCAAGCGGAACCGCAUGAGUUCACCGGGGUUGAGCACGGUCCGCCAAAAUCGGCAUAGGUUAGGUGCUAUUGAUGGAACAUGGUAAGCCUAUCUUUCUUCUCCAUAUGGAAGUGCUGCGGGAUUAAAGGAGUUGGAAGAUGAGCAGGAGUAUUCUCAAUCGACACUCCUAAAAAAGAUAAUAGGUAAUAUGAUAAGGAAUAUGAACAACAAAAGCAAGUCUUUUGAGUAUAAUCCUGGUAUCUUUCUACAAUCAUCUUUGUGGCACAGACCGAUCAAUCCCCGAAAUAAGAUCACUUAAAGGAAAAGAGUUGAAAUAAGACAGGUCUAUAUUCCUAUAGAAAGAGAAGCCCUUUCCCUCCCUGCACGAGUGAGUUGCCAAGUGCCUCCCAGGAGGGCAGUCUACCACAAGAUCUUACUCAUGAAUGUCAAGGAAGAAAAAGAAAGACAAGUAGGUUUGUAAACUAAAGCCAGAAGCCCGAGAAGAGGUGUUCUCCAUUAGUAGAAGUAAGCGGCUGAGUUAGCAAAGCCUACCCUACUAAUGUAUUGUAUAGUAGCGCCUUUUUCUUUUUUAAUAUAACUAAGGCUAGCCCGCUGGUAGUAAAAGGAAGCAGAGAUUCAGGCAAUUAGGCAUCAGGUUGAGUUCAAGAUUGAGACCCCAUAGAUAAGGUAGGUGUUAAUAGAUCAGUUCGGUCUCUGAGGCCACCGAGUAAUCAUAGGUAAAUAGCAACUAUUUCCGACCGAGCAGGUGUAGGGGAAGAAAAGACAUAACCAAAACAAUUGUGUAAAAUAAAUGAAUUUAUCCAGUUGAGGCAUGCUUGAUUGCGCAUUCCUUUAUGCAUUCCGCUGACCUUUCCAUUACCGUGGGAAAGCCUCACUCUCGGUGAAACGGAUAACAAACUGAAUAAGUGGUCGUCGUCCGGCGGUCGGUAGCUCUACUAAACGAAUAACCGCUCGCUGCAUUUUCUUCGCAAAAAACAUGUGUGGUAGCCCAGGAGAAGAGAAGCAAGCUACCUUCGCCUACCUCCCCGCCGCUCAUGACAAGCGAGCAGCAGACUAGGUUUCAUUAUUAUAUAGGACUUCUUUUGUGUUACCACGCCUCUCUUGACCUCUGCUUGCAUCUCAAGAAAGUAUAAGGGUCGCCGAAGGUGAGGGAAGAGAUAUCCAAUUUGAUAUCUUAUGAUAUAUUGAGGAUGCUGCAGCAGUUUGGUUUCACCUCUAGAUGGAGUGAGUGGAUCAGGGCUUCCAAAACCUUUCUUUUUUUGGUAUGACGCUCCGCGAGCAAGGAGUGCCACGUACGAGCGGAGCGAAAACAAAGCCGGUCAAAGAUUCCAUUGGAAAGGUAGAUGCCAUUUCUGCUAUUUCAGUAAUGCCUGAGCAGGGGCAGCCCAGCCUUAGUCUAACUAAGUAUUCUAUCCUUACUAUGACACUGCGCAAAAGAACCAGGCAUAGUGUGAAAUAUGAUAAUACAAAUAGGGGCGUGCCACAUUCUUGGUUUAAGUAUACUAGAACAUAUUCCAUUUUAUUGACCGUGAACGGCUGUCGAACCACUAGGGGAAAAAUAAUAAAAAAAGUUUCUAAAAAUAAAAAAUACUCAAAAAUAAUUGAUAAGGGGGUUGAGCAUCCUUUGUAGAGCACUUUGCUGGCGCUACGCUAUCACGCUACAACUAGCAGCCCCUUUUUGCUAUUUCUAUCUAUUAUUUGUUAGGGCUUUUCCCUAACUAACAGCGAGAGAGGGAGUGAAAGAGGCUGGAAAGUACGAAGCAGGUUCUAUGCAAUUGAGCUCGACUGAAAGGAAGAUUUCUUACAUAGGCCCAGGAGAGGAGGGCUAUAGAGCUAGGAGUGGAUCGAGGGUUUGUCCAUUGGGAUUGGUUUGAUAUAGUUUAUGUGUUACUGGUUCCCGGAAGAGUUAAUAUCUCCAUUAACUAAACCCUUUCUUACUCUAGGAUAGAUUCAUGAAAUGAGCAAGCAUCUGAUAUAUUUUACACCUUUUUCCUAACGCCUAUGUGACUUGCCAAAGUCGUCGCUUCAUAUUUCUUGCUUAAAGCGUCGCAACUUAUACUCUUUAAAGCUGCACUUUAAACUUAACCACAUUUGAGCACCUGUUUUCUUGCUCCUUGUCCUGGAGGCUCUCCGGCUGGAGAGAGGCUUGCUAUCGUAACGUUUACAAGCCAUGAUCUAAAAGUGAUUGACCCUUAGGCGAGAAAGACUAAUCUUCGAAUUUCGCUGGAAAACGAGUCCCGUCCUUGCCUUUCUAAGAAGUUACUAUCCCCAACAGGAUUGGAACUCUAGUUGUUCAAGUUCCGUUCACCUCCUUUUCCUUCCAAUUAGUGAAAUUCUAUCUAUUUCUUUCUUGGGGAAUUGUGGUCGACCUCGACUAAAUGACCUGGGCCUGAAGAAGGACAGGCUUUUGCAAUGAAAUCUUUCUCCAGAUAAUGCCUUGAUUACAUAAAUAAUCUAUUCCGCUACACCUACCUGUGGUAUAGGUGUGUUCAAACACACCACACCAUUUUUUUCCUUUUGAGAGGGUACUCCGAGUAGUGGGUACCUCGUAGGACCUCGACCCGCCUACUUGGGUCUUGUAUGGAUAUGCAGGAAGAUCUUUAGCUAACCAUUACCUUCUCUAAAUACCCAGGUUCCGUGAUAUCAGAUCGCAAUUCUGAUUCUUUUGCCAUCACCUUCUAUUACUUCCUUGGUCGAGCAUCUAUCAACACCUGACGAUGAGGAGAGUGAUCGAUUCACCAUGUACCUGAUUCAAUACAACUAUCUAGCCCUAUUAUCGAAGCACUUCGUUAUAUACGUCGCCAUUUGACGAUCUGUCUUUAGUAGGUCGUUUAUUCUUUCUUACUGAGAAUCGAGCGCGGGGCUUGAAAACCCUACCGUAUUCCGGCCACGGGGCCCUCAAUUGGUCCUUUCUCUCUUCUCUUUUACCAGUGAGUGGUGAGUUACAUAUGUACCUUUAGUAGUCUGUUAUCUCAUACGCUACCCUAACUACCAUAUGUACUUUUCUUCUGCCAUCUAAUCAACCCAUUGAUUCAGUCUUGGAAGGUGGUGCGUACUAAUGGCGUUUGUUAAGUCUUUGAUGAAGUGGUUUUCUUGCCUGACGAAGCCCUUCAAACUAUACUUACACCUCAGCAGCCGUUACUAGCAAACCCAACCUAGUGGAUCCUUGCGCUUUAUGAAAGUACGCUGUACUGGCCUUCCUUCCCCUAGCUGUCAGUGAGACUUAUUUUCUUUAUUUUCAAGGCUUCUCAGACUCUUGUGGAUUCGCCUAUUUCUUCCCUCGCUUGUGACCAGCUUCUCUUGUUGUUGUUUCUAGAAAAAAGUAGAAGUCAUGUGACAAGCAGUGCUUUUUCUUAGCGCGUUCGUUGGAGUCGUGGAAACGAAGCAAGGCUCGUUAUAGAGGAAAUAUGGAAUCUUCUAGAAAAAAGUGGAACCCAUGCACCUUUUCGCUUGAAAGAGCUUUGAUCACGACUGGUUGUAAACAAACCACUGUCUCGUCUAUGCUUUCUAUCGAGCUCCGCUCUCCCCGCCCCAUUCAUGGCUUGCUGUUCCCCAAACUCUUUCUGGCAAAACCCUCUGAAUUUUUAGAGAAAAACCACGCUAAAUUUUUUUGAGAUUUUGAAACUUAUUGCACCUAACCUUUGGGCAUAUCAAAACAAGAAAAGGCACUACAUGCGGAAGAGAAAGGGAGAGGAAAUACAGUACACAUGUCAGUCUAUUCUACAUCAAUAUUGUUCAAGCAAAAAUCAAAAUGGGAUGUCUAUAUGAUGAAUUUCUAAAUAAAAAAGAAAUAGUGAGUGAGAAAGAAGAUGUGAGUCCAAAAGGCAACAAUCAAACGCCCCUUUAUUAGUAAGGUUGCUGCUUGUCCCACAAGUCGUCUUUGGCUCGUCUCCUUCCGCGAUAUGCACCUGGUAGUAGUAGUAGCCCGGCCGUAAAUCCAACUUCGAGAAGUAAAAGAAAAUCAAGACAGAUGCCGAGAGAAACUGUUAGACUUCUUUAUUGCGUUGUGAAGAGAGAUCUACCGUUUAUCCACAAUCUGCUCAGCUCUUUAUGAGCUAAGCUAUUGCAUAUGAAAAAAAGAAUCCAAUCAUCUACCUAAGCCGCUUCUAGAUCCUUCUUUGAUUCGCGAGAACUCACUCAGCCUAACCAAAGCAUCACAACAACAUCCAAAGGUUGACAAAAUCAACGCUACUAAGGACCGGGGCGAGCGGAAUUCAGUAGAGGCUCCUCCUUUCGCUUCAUCCAUUGAUCAAUGUCCUCGCAGAUGGACUGAGCAUCAAAUGCUUGGGGAAGGAGAGUGAACAAGAAGCAAAAAUUCUAUUAAUUAGAUUCCGCUAUCAAGAGAAGGAAUACCUGGCAAAGUCCCAUAUCCUCAUCAUUGGCCUUGGAGGGGAAUCAACUAAACCGAUCUUUCUAUGUCUUCAUCUCUCAAGAACCCUGACGGAACUACAUGAAAAGCUAAGCAAAGGCGAGUAACGUUUCCCUCCGCAGGGGCCUAUUCCUUAUCCCUCUUUUCCUUAAUAAUAAGGUAAGCUUUCAAGCCCCUUUACUUGCUUGAUAUUCUACUAGUAAAGCGCUGGAGCCCCCCUUGUAUAUGAUCUCUUCACCAAAAGUCACACCAAAACCAUUAAAAUUGAAAAUGGCCAAAGUUUUUUUCAUGCAUUCAUAUUGUAAGCUUUGCCUAUAAAUAGAGAAGUAGAAUGCAUUUGUAAAGCACCCCAAUUUGUGAGAAGUAGAGAGCAAUUGCAAGUGAGCUCUUUGGGACAAUUUGAGAGAGCUACUUGAGUGUUCUAGUGAGGUUCAAUGUUGUGAAAAAUUUUAAUAUACUCGCAAGUGCACGAAUCUAGAAAUAGAAUAGUGGUAACGAGGUCGAACCCACAUGGAUUGUUAUAAAUUGAAAAGUCUAAUUUAAAUCUAAAAUUAAUAUUAAUUCUAACCUAAUUGAGCAAAUUGAAUUUUUAAGGGAAAUUAAACUAAUUAAACUAAGAAAACAAUUAAAGCAAAUGAAAAAUCAAUAAGACAAAAAUUACCAAGGUUUCAGAAUCUACCACUAUUCAACUAGUAAUUAUCUAAUUAUUAAUUAAUCCCCAAUUUUAAAGUGACAACUCGAAAUCAAUCUAUGUCAUCUCAUAAAUAUAACAAUUAAGCCCAAUUAAAAUUAAUCUUGUGUAGGUUCUUUUUCUGCUUAAUAGUAUGAUAUCUAAGAAUCUCAUGUAAACAUAUUGAAUAACAAAGAGUCAAAGUUUUCCUAAGCACUCUGUGUAAACAAUUUAAUGAAAGACAGAAUCAAAUAUAAUCAUGUAUAAAUUUUAUAGAUCCAAGCAUAGAUUUCAUCGAAUAUCAAUCAUAACAAUUAAUAAUGCAUGACAGAAUUAGUGAAAAUAUUUAAUAACACCCAAUUAAUUAUGUGAAACAAAAAUCAUAAUCAUCAAAGAACAUAUAUAGGAAAUUAAUUAAAUGAAAAAAUAAUUAUUUCAUUGAAUAGGAUUUCAUCCUUAACCUCAAUAUAAGAAAAUUAGUUAAACAUACUUGAAUUAGGAGCAACAAACGAAAUAAAAUCAGCCAUGGGAAGCCGAACUGCUGCAGCCAGUUUUCUCCCGAAUCGCGUCUGCUUUUUUUUUUUCCUUCCUCUGGCGGCUGCCGUCCGUCUUCUCUUCUUUUUUCCUGGCGGCUACCCCCUAAUUCUUUUUAUAUUGUAACGCCACCACAAAAUCCUUAAAUCAAAAGGAUUUUAAAACAAGCCAAGCACAACCAACUUUAAGCCCAUGCACGUGAAGCCCACUCGAAAUCAAUGGUCAAUGCUUUUCCAACUAUUCACGUGAGAUGCACACUUGGAAAGCCAAUUAUUCUCCUUUAAGCAUCUUUUUUCCUCUUUUCUUUUAUUCUUCACAAGCUAGCAAUUAUUUCCAUAAACUCUAUUUUGUUUCCUUUUUAAGCUCCCUUUCAUCAAUGGCUUCCACAAAUUGAUUUGAUCUUCAAUGCUGUCCAAUUAUUAUUCCUUAUGCACUUUUCAUCCAUAAUCUCCAAUUAAUUCCUUAAUCAAUAAAAAAAUUCAAUUAAUUAAAAAUAGGAAAAUUAUCCACCGUCCACCCGUUUUUUCACCGUUUUUCAAAAAUACACAAUUCUUUUUUUUUUUUUGGCUGGAAUCCACCUGAAAUUACAUUUCUUUUCACUUUUCCACUUCCGUUUGGAGACCGUUAUAACUUUGCUAACAUCAUAAGGGUAAAAUCAUCAUUUUACAAUGACACAGAGGUGGAUAGGUGUAAAACAAUACAACUUCGAGUGGAGGUCAGCAAAAAAAAAAUUAAGAAUUGUGUAUUUCUGAAAAAAAUAUGAAAAAAACAAGUGGUCGAUGGAUAAAUUAUCUUUUACAUUUGAGGGUAAAAAAGUCAUUUAAGCAAUAUUCCGUUAAUUUCCUUAACGGAUUCCAAACGGAAGUGGAAAAGUGAAAAGAAAUGUAACUUCAGGUGGAUUCCAGAAAAAAAAAAGAAUUGUAUAUUUUUGAAAAAGUUGGAAAAAACGGGUGGACGGUAGAUAAUUUCCCUUAAAAAUAACAAAUAAAAAUAACUAGCAAUUAUAUAAUUAAGGAUAAAAUAUGUAUAUAUUCUAUGCUCAUCAAAUACCCCCAAACUUAGAUUUUGCUAGUUCUCGAGCAAAACUAAAACUAAAAACAAAAAUAAAAGUAACGAAAAAAUAAAUCCUAACUAAACUAUUUUCGCAGGUAAUCGUGAUUGCAUUUAGCGUAUGCAACAAGCCUUUAAACCCCUAGGCGACCUUAGUGGACGAGUUAUAGUCUCAUGAGGGCUUCAGUGAUGAUACCCACAAACAUCAUUUAAAAAAAAAUAAAUAAAAAGAACAAAAAAAUUUAAAUAAAAUAUGAAAAUAGCCUCAAAGAUCGCAUAAAUUAUAUAGCUCAAAGAAAAUUUCAAAUUUUGGCAAAGUUCUAACUUUAAUUCAAUAGUCAAUCCCAUCUCUCUUUCGAUUCUUGUAGUGUGUGUGUGUGGAAUCAAUUCAAUCAAAUUCAUUCCCAAAAUCAUCAAUAUCAACAGCCUUCGCCUCAAACAAAGAAAAGAGUAAGUCAAAUUAAUCUUAUCAUCUUAAUCUCCAAAUUUUUUUUUUCACAAGCUUUUAUGUGCAUUUUCUUUUUUUUUUUAACACAUGCACUUGAUUUGUUUUCUAUUUGUUUUCUAUUUUUUUCUUUACUUUCUUUUCUUUUUUUUAACCAUAGUCACGAGCUUUCACUCUACCCCUUAAGGUAGCCUUCUUCUCAUAGUAGAUUAUCUUCUACAUACUGGUGGUACAUAGGCCUAAAUUACUCAAGGAUAGCUUUACUCUUAAGGGUUAUGGAUAGCUAUUUCUGACUUUGGUGCCUGUGUAUACUAUUUUAUAUUGUGGAGAUAACAAUUAAGACAAACAAUCAUUUACUCUAUCUAAAAUUCUCAACUCAGACUGCGUCAAUAUCAAAUUUCAAGUCAAAAUUACGAAAGAAUUAAUAUUAGUGCUCAUGAUUAAAGAAUCUCAAUCAAGAUGAAUUAACACAAGAAUCAAGUAUAAACUAAGACAAUAUUCAACCCUUUCUAAGAACUAUAUUAAUUGUCAAUCAAGUUCUUAUCAUUGGCUUUUCACAUUAAAAAAAUAAUUUUUUUUAAUUUUUGAAUGUUUUGAAUUUUUUUAAUAAACAAAGCACAAACUAUUCCUACCCCCAAAUUUAUUCGGAACAUUGUCCUCAAUGUUUCACAAACAAAAUAUAUGCAUGCAAAAAGAUGAGAAAAUAAAUAAAUAAAAACAUAAAUAAUAAAAGAAAAAGUUAGAGAGAACACACCUAGGGGGCUGGAAAAGUUUAAAAGAAAAUUAUAAAUAAAAAGAAAACGUUAGAAAAGAAAAACAAGCAAAGAAAAGAAAACCUACUAUUUAAAUAAAACAAGAAUGUAAAAAUGAAAUUAACUAAUCCUGAUAAACAAGAUCAUCUAAAAGUAUCUCCUUGACUUCUGGUGUUCUUAACUCUAAAAAUGGUUUUAAUCUUUGACCAUUGACCUCAAAUAAAUCACCAUUUUGAGGAUUUUUAAUCUCAAUUGCUCCAUAAAGAAAGACAGUACGAACUAUAAAAGGACCAGACCAUCGAGAACGUAACUUACCUGGAAAGAGAUGCAAUCGAGAAUUGUAUAAAAGUACUUUCUAACCUGGUGUAAAGGAUUUUUUCAAAAUGUGCUUGUCAUGAAAUACUUUCAUUCGUUGCUUGUAAAUCUUGGCAUUCUCAUAUGCAUAAUUCAUGAUCUCUUCAAGUUCUGCUAGUUGUAAUAUUCUCUUGGAACCAGCCUGCUGCAUAUCAAAAUUGAAUUUCUUGAUAGCCCAAUAUGCACGAUGCUCCAACUCUACCGGCAGAUGACACACUUUUCCAUACACAAGUCUGUAAGGCAACAUCCCAAUUGGUGUUUUGAAAGCAGUCCUAUAUGCCCAUAAUGCAUCAUUAAGUCUCAAAGACCAAUCCUUUCCAUCUGACCUAACUGUUUUUUUCCAGAAUUUGCUUGAUCUCUCUAUUAAAAAUCUCUACUUGGCCACUGGUUUGAGGAUGGUAUGGGGUGUCAACCUUAUGUAUAAUGGAAUAUUUGUUUAAAAAAGUUUUGAAAGGUUUAUUGCAAAAAUUGGUACCGCCAUUACCAAUGAUUGCUCUAGAGAAACCAAAACGAGAUAGAAUAUUACUUUUCAAGAAUUUCACUACAACUCUAUGAUCAUUGGUUUUGCAUGGAAUAGCUUCAACCCACUUCGACAUAUAGUCCACUACAACCAAUAUAUACUGAUAACCAAAAGAUUGAGGAAAAUGUCCCAUGAAAUCAAUACCCCAUACAUCGAAGAUCUCAACCACCAGGAUAUGAUUGAGUGGCAUCAUAUUCCUCUUUGAAAUGCUACCCAUGCGUUGGCAUCUAUCACACAAAGAACAGAAAACAUAAGCGUCAUGAAAAAGAGUAGGCCAAUAAAAACCACACUGUAAAAUUUUUGUUGCUGUCUUUUUGGUACUAAAAUGACCUCCACAAGCUUGUUCGUGGCAAAAAGAGAUGACACCUUGAAUUUCAAUUUCUGGAACACAUCUCCUAAUAAUCUAAUCAGCACAAUAUUUGAAUAAAUAUGGAUCAUCCCAAAAGAAAUUCUUCAUUUCGGAUAAGAACUUUGUUCUAUCUUGCUUAGUCCUGUGUUCUAGGAUUUGACCUGUGGCAAGGUAAUUAACUAUAUCAGCAAACCAUAGUACAAAAUUUACACUCAUAAGUUGCUCAUCCAGAAAAGACUCAUUCAAAGGUAAAGAUUCUGGAAUAAAUUUAAGAUAAAGGCGAGACAAGUGAUCCACCACAACAUUUUCAGAACCUUUUUUAUCUCUAAAUUCAAUGUCAAAUUCCUGUAAAAGCAAUACCCAACGAAUCAAUCUUGCCUUAGCAUAUUUCUUAGUAAGCAAAUAUUUUUAAAGCAGCAUGAUUAGUAAAAAUAAUCACUUUACAACCUAUAAGAUAAGAUCUGAAUUUAUCAAGUGCAAAUACCACAGCUAGCAUUUCUUUUUUUGUAGUUGAAUAGUUCAACUGUAUAUCAUUGAGUGUCAUACUAGCAUAAUAAAUCACAUAAGGCACACGAUCUAAUCUUUGUCCUAAAACUGCUCCUACAACAUAAUCAGAUGUAUCACACAUAAUUUCAAAGGGCAAAUCCCAAUUAGGUGGCUGAAUGAUAGGUGAAGAAGUCAGCAAUUCCUUAAGCUUUGCAAAAGCAUCAAGACAAGAUUCAUCAAAGAUAAAAUGUGCAUACUUAACAAGUAAAUUACAUAGGGGUCUAGAAAUUUUACUAAAAUCUUUAAUGAAUCUUCUAUAAAAACCAGCAUGUCCAAGGAAAGAUCUUACUUCUUUUAUGGAUUUGGGAUGUGGAAGAUUAGAAAUUAAAUCCACCUUAGCUUUGUCGACUUCUAUACCUCUGCUGGAAAUUAUAUGACGAAGAACAAUACCUUGUUUUACCACGAAGUUACACUUUUUCCAAUUUAGAACCAAGUUCUUUUCUUUACAUCUCUACAAAAAUAAUGUUAGAUGUUGCAAACAUUCAUCAAAUGAAUCUCCAUAAACAGAAAAAUCAUCCAUGAAUACUUCAAGAAAUCUCUCAACCAUAUAAGAAAAAAUACUAAGCAUGCAUCUUUGAAAGGUAGCAGGUGCAUUGCAUAAACCAAAUGGCAUUCUCCUAUAUGCAAAAGUUCAAAAGGGACAAGUAAAAGUAAUUUUCUCUUAGUCCUCUAGAGCUAUAGGGAUCUGAUUUUAACCUGAAUAUCCAUCUAGAAAACAAUAGAAAUCAUGACUUGCAAGUCUAUCAAGCAUUUGAUCAAUAAAUAGAAGAGGAAAAUAAUAUUUUCUUGUGCCUGAAUUCAGUUUUCUAUAAUCAAUACAAACACGCCAACCUGUAGUUACUCUAGUAGGAAUUAAUUCAUUAUUAGCAUUAGUAACUGCCGUAACACCAGAUUUCUUAGGAAUGACUUGCACAGGGCUAACCCAAGAGCUAUCUGAAAUAUGAUAAAUAAUUCCUGCAUCUAAUAAUUUAAUUACUUCAGCUCUUACUACUUCUUUCAUGUUAGGAUUUAGCCUACGUUGCAUCUCCCUAAUAGGUUUAGCAUUUUCUUCAAAAUGAAUACGAUGCAUCUAAUCUACUGGAUUAAUACCUUUAAUAUCAACGAUGAUCCAUCCUAUUGCCUCCUUAUGCUUUUUUAAAAUACCCAACAACUUACCUUUUUGCUUAAGAUCGAGGGAGGAAGAAAUAAUAACAAGUAGAGUGUCAGAUUCUCCCAAGAAUGCAUAUUUGAGAGUGUCGGGCAGUGCUUUGAGUUCCAAUUUUGGUGGUGUCUCUGCAGAUGAGCUAAUCUUCUUCUCAGAAUGAGGCAGUGGUUCUGCCUUUGUCUUCCAUUUAGUUGUGUCCAUAAUUGAAGGUGCAUCAAGUAAGGCGUUGACUUCUGUAAUUACACUGUCAUCAUUAAAAGAUACAUCAGAAUGAGUUAGACAUGCCUCUAAUGGAUCAUCAGUAUAGUUAGAAAUGAAUGAAUCUUCUACUAAUUCCUCUAUCAUAUUUGCUUCGAUAAAUUCAUCUUCUUCCUGUGGCUACUUGGUAACAUUAAAAAUAUUAAAUUCCAUGGUUAUAUUACCAAAAGAUAGCUGCAUGUUUCCAUUCCUGUAAUUAAUAAGAGCAUCAGCUGUAGCUAAGAAAGGACGACCUAGAAUAACUAGGGUGUGUUUCUUAGGAUCCUGUACAUGCUGAGUAUCAAUAACAAUAAAAUCAAUAGGAUAAUAAAAUUUAUCAAUCUGUAUCAACACAUUCUCUAUAAUACCACGAGGUAUUUUCAUUGACCUAUCAGCAAGUUGCAAAAUAAUAGAAGUUGAUUUUAACUCACCUAGUCCAAGCUGCAUGUAAACAUAAUAAGGCAAGAGAUUAACACUAGCACCCAAGUCCAAUGAUGUUUUAUCAAACAAUUGGUUCCCUAUAACACAUGAGAUAGUAAGGGAACCUGGAUCCUUAAAUUUUGGUUGCAUUUUACAUUGAAGUAAAUUACUAGUUUGUUCAGUUAAAAAUACUUUUUUGGUGACAUGCAAAUUUCUCUUUUUAGUGCAUAAAUCUUUCAAAAACUUGGCAUAUGAAGGAACUUGCUUAAUAGCAUCGAGUAAAGAGAUGUUUAUACUUACCUGCUUGAAGAUUUCCAUAAUCUCACCUGUUGAAGUUCAUUUCUUUACCUUUGUUAACCUUUGAGGAAAAUAAGCCUUGGGAAUGUAAGCUGGUGGGCCACUCUCUUCUGGAUAAUUUAGUGAUGAGUCUUCUAAUGGAACUGGAUCUGAAGAAGUAGGCUCAGAUGUCUUCCUUGUUUGAACCUCCACUUUGUUGUCAAACAAUUUUCCUCUUCUCAAGGUCAUAAUAGAUUUUGCUUCUUCAUGUUGAUGGCUUGAACUCGAUCCAACUUCAUGCACUCUUUUAGGAUUAGGAACUAGUUGACUUAGGAAUUUUCCUUUUUCUCUCUCAGCCACAGUAGUUGCUAAUUGACCCAAUUGAUGUUCAAGCUUUAGAAUAGCUUGAGUGUUUGACUGAAAGGCCUGUUGGGUUGAUUGGAUGAAACUUUAAAGUGUAUCUUCUAAAGAAGGUUUUCUUUGUUGGGUGCAACAAAUUGAAACAUAGGCUGUUGGGCAGGAGGAUAUACUUGGUUAGGAGGGAUAAAUUGCUGAUUGGGCAAGUUAAAUUGUUGUCCUCCUUGGUUUGACAAAGGUUGAUUUUCUUUCCAAGAAAAAUUAGGAUGAUUCAUCCAAUUAGGAUUAUAUGUGAGUGAAUAUGGAUUAUUGGAGGUUUCUCAUAUGAUUGUAAGGCAUAUACAUGCUCAGGAUAAGCCUCUUGAUAGGCUGGUAAUGAUGGACAAUUUUGUGCUGUAUGAGACAAGUUAGAACAAAGAGCACAAAUCUCAUUAGCUACACUGAGAUGAUGAUUCAUUGAUUGGUUCAGAGCUAAGGCAUCUACUUUCCUAGAAAGAGUAGAUAGAGUGGCUUUCACAUCAAAAUCAUCUUCAACUUCAUAUAAACCCUUUCUAGAAACUUGAGGCGAUUUCUCUCUUUGAUGUGAAAAAUUCCACUGUUGAGAAUUCUCAGAAAGUGAAUUAAAGAAAUCACAUGCAGCCCUUUCAUGUAGGUUAAAAAAUCUCCCACCAUUCAUAGACUCUACCAUAUGACGAUUUGACAUGGUUAAACUGUUAUAAAAGCAUUGUAUAAGUCUCCAUUUCUCAAAACUAUGGUGGGGACACUUGAGGAGUAAAUCAUUAAAUCUUUCCCAACACUCAUAAAAUUGCUCUUUGAUAAAUAUCACUUAUCUCUCUCCUAAGGGCAUAUGUUUUAGACAUAGGAAAAAACUUGGUGAGGAACUUGUUGCUUAAUUCAUCCCACGUAGUAAUAGACCCAGCAUGAAGUGAAUUCAACCAAGCUUUCGCUUUGUCUUUUAAUGAGAAAGGGAACAUACGAAGCCUAAUUGACUCAUUAUUAAAAUUUUGAAAACGAAAUGUAGAGCAUAUGUCAAGAAAUUCCUUAAUGUACAAAUAUGGAUCCUCUCUCUCUAACCCAUGGAAAGAUGGUAAGAGUUGAAUGACAGAUGGGUUAAGUUCAAAGUGUGUUACUGCAGUUUGUGGCAACACAAUACAAGAUGGUUGGUUGGCUGCAAGUGGUGAAAAAUAUUUUCUAAGAGUUUUCUCUACUUGCACUGGUGGAAGUAUUGGCAAUAGUCUAUUAGGGUCAUCUAUCACUUCUGAAGAACUAUCUCGACUACAAUCAAUUUUUAACUCUUUUUUUUUUACCAAACGAUUUGUUAAAUCGCGUUCCCAAAUACUCAUAACUAGAUAAGGAAAGAAAAAAUAAAAAACAAUAAAAUAAAAUAAACCAACAAUAAUGAAAAUAAACAAAAUUUAAAAAUAAAAGAAAUCAAACAACCAAACAAUGAAUUUAAAGACAAAUAAAAAUAAAAAUUAAUAAAAAAUUAAAUAAAUAAAAUAAAAGACAACCUAAAUUAUAACUAGUGAAAGAAUCAAAUCAACCUAAAUUAAACUGACUUUCUGGCACAAUCCCCGGCAACAGUGCCAAAAAGUUGUUGUGAAAAAUUUUAAUAUACUCGCAAGUGCACGAAUCUAGAAAUAGAAUAGUGGUAACGAGGUCGAACCCACAAGGAUUGUUAUAAAUUAAAAAGUCUAAUUUAAAUCUAAAAUUAAUAUUAAUUCUAACCUAAUUGAGUAAAUUGAAUUUUUAAGAGAAAUUAAACUAAUUAAACUAAGAAAACAAUUAAAGCAAAUGAGAAAUCAAUAAGAUAAAAAUUACCAAGAUUUCAGAAUCCACCACUAUUCAAAUAGUAAUUAUCUAAUUAUAAAUUAAUCCCCAAUUUUAGAGUGAUAACUCGAAAUCAAUCUAUGUCAUCUCAUAAAUAUAACAAUUAAGUCCAAUUAAAAUUAAUCUUGUGUAGGUUCUUUUUCUUUUUAAUAGUAUGAUAUCUAGAGAUGGCCAAUGGGCCGGGCGGCACGUGGCACGGCAUGGGCACGACACGUGUCCGUACGGCACGGCACGGCACGAGCACAUUUCGGUGGGGCACAAGGCACGGCACGGCACGCAUGUGGGCCGUGCCCGACCUAGAAUUUUAGGCACGCGGGCCUUAAAGCACAGCACGAUUAGAGAUGAGCCAAAGCACGGCACACGAAAAAGCACGUAAUAUGCACGGUUCAUUGGUGGCCUAGCACGCGGCCCGUGGGCCAUCAAUAGCACGUGGGCCAAAAUAUAUCUAAGUAAAAUUUUUUAAUAAAAAGUAAAUAUAAAAUGUUAUGAAAUUAAAGUAAAAUAUCUUGGAAUUAAAUGUUUUAAUAUAUUUUUUAGCAUAGACUUUUAAAAAUUAAUUUAAAUCAUUAAAUCUUAGUUUAAAUAAAUAUUCUAAUUUUUUUGUGUUUAUAAUUUAUUAAAUGAAUAAGUAAAUAUCAUGAUUUUAAUAAAUAAAAUUAUAAAUAUCAUAAUUUUAUUUAUGAUAUUUAUUAAAUGAAUAAUGUUAUUUAUUUAUGUUUAUAAUUUAUUAAAUGAAUAAGUAAAUAACUAAAUAUCAUGAUUUUAAUAAAUAAAAUUAUAAAUAUCAUAAAUUUAUAAAUGAUAAAUAAAAAAUAAAAAUUUUAACAACAUUAAUAAUAAAAUAUUUUUCAUAUUAAUAUUAAAUCAUAACUUAGUUAAUAUUUAAUAGAGAUAUGUUUCAUUUGUGAAUGAAAUAUUUUUCAUAUUUAUACACAAGAAAAAUUUAUGAACGAAAUAUUUUUAUGAUGAAUUAAAAAUUACAUUUUCAUUAAAUGAAGUUCAAGUACAAUUAUAAUAUUAGUAAUUCAAAUACAAUUAGGUGUAAUUUGCAUUACUACAGUUAACUAUACAUCACAGCUAGGUUGGCACCUACUGAACCAUCUAUCAUUUGUAAAUUUACAACCUUCUGACUAAUAAAGUUUGUUUCAAAAAGUUAAAAGAAAAAAAAGUCUCUAGUCUUUGGAAGUGGCUUUAAUGUUCAGUACUCUGCAUAAUCUGGAUCCACUUCAUCUUGAUCAACAUCCAAACUCUCAAUUUGUUUAAUUAAAGCAUUUUGCCAAUCUUGUUGCACUCGACGUUCAGCAGCUUCCCAAUCUUUCAAACACAACAAAGAGUCUAAUGUCUCUGAUGACAAUCUUGACCGACGUUCAUCUUGAAUUCUGCCACCUGUACUAAAAGCUUAUUCGGAUGCUACAGUUGAAGUUGGAGGGGUUAGUAGAUCACGGGCCAUAAUGGAUAAUAUAGGGAAAAAAGAUGUCUUACCUAUCCAAAAUUCUAAAAUAUCAAAAUUUUGCAAUUGUGAAGGAGUUGCUAAAUCUUCAAGAUUGGAGAACAAUAUCUUUGCAAUUCAUUACGAUUAGUAUCAAUACUAGAGGCAACGCCCUUACCUUUGAGUAACAAAAGGUGAGCUGGAUUUUUAUAAGAAGUCGAUGCUUGUUGAACAUUAGAAUAUGUAUUGCUUGAUCCGAAUUUAUUUCAAUAAAAAUUAAAAAAGUUCAUGCACAGAGGACAUAAUUGUAUCAAAAUUUGUAUCAAGUUUGUAAAUUUUCACUAAUACCCUCAACUAAAGGUUUUGCACCAACUUCCUUGAUUGUAGGAUCCAACACUGCUGCAAAAAUAAAUAGGUGGGGAAUAUCUUUUCAAUAUUUUUGAAAUUUUUCCUCCAUGGCAUCAGAAAUAUUUUUAAACAUAAUAUUCUCUCUAAAAGUCUUAAAAGUAUAACUCAUAUUAUACAAGUGCAUCAACACUCUACAUGAAGUAGGCUCAUAAACAGUAGAACAUGCAAGAGUAGCAUCAUAAGAUACCUUUAAAAAAUCCAUAAAUUUAAAUGCAAUAUUCCAAUCAUAAUCAGUGAUAUGAUAAUCUUCAUCAUUCAUUCUCUCAUUGUAAAAACUAGAAAUUGCUUCAGAAUGGUUUUGGCAAGAAAGCAACAUCAAAUACGUAGAAUUCCAACGAACUUUCAUGUCAAUGUUGAAUUUUCUCCUUUUCAAUCCAAAAAUUUUCAACGUAGACAAAAAUUGUUGACGUCUUGAAGGUGCUCUAAUAAAUAAAAUGGCUGCUCUAAUUUUUUCUAAAUAAUGAUUUAUAUGAGUCAUACUAGCUUGAACAAUUAAAUUAAUAAUAUGACACACACAUCUCACAUGAAAAAAUUUUGAACCACGUGCAGGCGUGAGAGUAGAAAUAUUCCGCAAAAACAUAUCAAUUGCAGCUGUAUUGGCAGAUGCAUUAUCAAAUGAUAUGCUAAACAAUUUAUCAGUAAUUUCAUAUUCUCUUAAAACAGACAUUAUAGCUGCAUAAAUUAUUGAACCAGUGUGAGGAUAUUCUAAUUCACGAAAUGCAAGCAAUUUUUUUUCCAACCUCCAUUUACCAUUAAUCUCAUGUAUAGAGUGCGAAGUCACACAAAAAUAACCAACCAUAUUAAUACUAGUCCAACAAUCAGAAGAAAUUGAAAUAACACCAUUAAAAUUGAUAAAAGUAUUAAUUAAAAGUUUUUUCAUGUCAUGAAAAAUUUUAGUUAAAUCACGUUUUAAUGUAUUUCUAGGCACUUUCUUAAGUUGAGGCUGAACAUACCUUUGCAGAAAAUUUAUUAGACGUUCAUCUUCUGAAAAUGUUAAAGGUUGUUCUGCUGCAGCAAUAUACCGAGCCAAUCCUUCUCGCAUGUUCUGUUGUGAAUAUCUGAAUGAUGUUAUACCGGAAGGUCCAGAACCAUAUUUUGAGAGUUGGGUUUGUGUUGGGUCUUGUGGCGCGUGUUUGUCUGACAAGUUUCCAUAUGUCAUCUAAGAUGUCCAGUUCCACCAUUGCUUUUGGCACUUAAAGCGGAUUGACAAUAUUUACACACUGCUUGAUCCACCAUUUCACCUUUUUUGUUUUGACGUUUUUCCAAAGUAAAACAUGACCAAACAAUCGAUGUUCUUUGUCAUUUGGAGGUAGUAGUAGGAUUGACAGUCGAAGAAGUAUAACCACUUUGACUUGCUUGAGAAGUAGGAGGCGAUCGUUCAGGUGGGACAAUAAAUAUAUUACUUAGAUCAAAUUCUGGUGCAUCAAUUUCUUCAUUUGCAACUUCCUCCCCCUCUUCAACAAAAUUAAAAUUCUCAUCUAACUCGAAAUGAGAGUGAGACAUUUUAUAUAAUUAGCGUUUUGGUAAAUAAAGGCGGCUGGAAUGUAUUUGUGCGGGUGAAAAAAAAGAAAAAAUUUAUUGAGCAAGAGAAUGGAGAUUCGUGUGUUAAAUGGUGUUGAAUGAUGUUUUGCUUUUGUUUGAGAUUUCAGUAACAAAGGGAAAUUGCUGGAAUUGUAGCAAAGUUUCGAGAAGAUUGGGCAAGCAGAGACUAGAGAUGACUGAUGAGACAAGAGAGAUAACGAAGAGAUAGAGAUUGAGAAGUGAGAAUAAAAUUAAUUUAGAAUUGUUUUCUUUAUUUAAUAAUUAGAAAAAAUUAAUUUUUAAGUGCACCGUUGUUAUUUAUUUUUUAAAAUAAUUUUAGUAAUUAAUUUUUUUUUCAAAACAACGUAUUAAAUUAAAAAGAAAAUUAUGGUUCAUUGUUACAAGAGAAUCACGCAACUAUCACAAUGUUAAUAAAUCCUAUCACAAGUGUGUUGAUGAGAUAAUAUUAUAGUAGGAGUACGGGAGGAGCUUGCAUUCAUUAUGUAGAGUAUUUUAUUUCUUUGAAUUUAAAUUCUCAACUCAAAUUUUCAACACAGUAGUUGUCAUUUAGUGCACAUGCAGACGUGCAAAUUGCAGUGUAGCUGUGCAGUCAAUUCAAGUUUCAAGAUUUGAAAAUUGUGAAAGUUGCAACUUGCAAGCGUGUUGCAAAUUUGAGUAGUUAUGUCGAUUUUAUUAUUUCGUGAUUGUAAAAUUUUAAAAUUAUGUACAGUGUAAUCAAUUAAAAAUUUGAAAAAUUAUGAAAGUUAACCGACAAUGAUGUUUAAAUAAUAAAAAAUUGGGAUAAUUGUGCAUUUGUUUUAAUAUUUUCAUUUAUUUUUUAAAUAAUUUAAGAUCUUUUUCCUACAUGCCACCCAAGCCUCACGGCUCCACAAAAAAUAAGAUCUCAAGAUUCAUUCAUUCACAAAUAUUUAUAUUUCACUAAAUAUUUUUUUACUUACUCUUUUUACUCCCACCUACAAAGUAAAUAAAAUUAAUUUUUGUCUUUUUAUUACUAUCUAAUAUUAUAUAUACACGCCAUUAUGCUAUGAUGCUUCACAAUUCUUAUUCUUCUUCUUUUUCCUCUCAAACUUUCCAAUAUUCUAAAAACCAAAAUCAUUAUCAAUCCACAACAACAUAAUAUGAAUGCAGAAGAACCUCAACACCCUCAAGAAUACAGUGUGGAUGUAGUUGGACCUCAACAAAACGCUAGGCUAAAUCAGUCCAGAAGUCGUUCUUUAAAUGAGUUUUUUCAAAAUUUUACUACAACAAGGGAGGAAAUAAUAGAUAAUAGUUUGCAUCGUCCUUACAAACGGAUGAUCUUGAGGUGCAACUAUUGUCAUCAAGAAGUUAUUUAUUCAGACAGCCAUGGCACCUUGGGUUUACGUCGGCACAUGUCAAAUUGUUUAGCUCGCCACCUUAGCCGAGAUAGAAUUAACCUUGCUCGUUUCCCGUAUACAUAGUUGUGAUUAAUAAAUAUUUUUUUCGUGCUUGUUAUUGUCAAUUGGUCGUAGUUGUAACUUGUAAGUUGUGACCUAUGAUUUGUUAUAUUGAUAUUUCGUAGUUAUGAUUUAUUGUAAUUAUUAUUCGAGGAUUGUUUUUUUAAUUUUAAUUAAUUAUUAUUAUUAUCUAUGGAAUUAAAUUAAAUUAAAUUUAUGUAUUGUUGUGUUAUGAUUGAUUAUUGUGAAAUAAAAUAUGUAGUUGUGAAAUUGUGAUAAACUAAUAAUAAAAUAUUAAUUGCCUCUUAAUAAAAAUUAAUAUGAUUAUGAUUAUGAAUAUUAUUAUUAUUAUUAUUAUAUUGGUGGGCUUAAAAAAACACGCCAGGCACAUGGGCUUUUUUAUGCACGCAAAAAAAAAAAAGUUGGUGGGCUUUUUUUGGGCACGGCCCACGGCACAUUACGAGCACGGUACGAACGGGUUCGUGCCGUGGGCCGUGCUGGGCUCAACUGAAAAAAAGAUGGGCCGUGCCGUGCCGGCCCACGAGCUCUUGUGGGCCGACAGUUGCCGGCACGGCCCAUUGGCCAUAGUUAAUGAUAUCUAAGAAUCUCAAGUAAACAUAUUGAAUAACAAAGAGUCAAAGUUUUCCUAGGCACUAUAUGUAAACAAUUUAAUGAAAGACACCGAAUCAAAUAUAAUCAUGUAUAAAUUUUAUAGAUCCAAGCGUAGAUUUAAUCGAAUAUCAAUCCUAACAACCAAUAAUGCAUGAUAGAAUUGGUGAAAAGAUUUAAUAACAUCCAAUUAAUCACGUGAAACAAAAAUCAUAAUCAUCAAAGAACAUAUAUAGGGAAUUAAUUAAAUGAAAAAAUAAUUAUUUCAUUGAAUAGAAUUUCAUCCUUAACCUCAGUAUAAGAAAAUUAGCUAGAAAUACUUGAAUUAGGAGCAACAAACGAAAUAAAAUCAGCCAUGGGAAGCCGAACUGCUGCAGCCAGUUUUCUCCCGAAUCGCGUCUGCUUUUUUUUUUUUCCUUCCUCUGGCGGCUGCCGUCCGUCUUCUCUUCUUUUUUCCGGGCGGCUACCCCCUAAUUCUUUUUAUACUGUAACGCCACCACAAAAUCCUCAAAUCAAAAGGAUUUUAAAACAAGCCAAGCACAACCAACUUUAAGCCCAUGCACGUGAAGCCCACUUGAAAUCAAUGGUCAAUGCUUUUCCAACUAUUCACGUGAGAUGCACACUUGGAAAGCCAAUUAUUCUCCUUUAAGCAUCUUUUUUCCUCUUUUCUUUUAUUCUUCACAAGCUAGCAAUUAUUUCCAUAAACUCUAUUUUGUUUCCUUUUUAAGCUCCCUUUCAUCAAUGGCUUCCACAAAUUGAUUUGAUCUUUAAUGCUGUCCAAUUAUUAUCCCUUAUGCACUUUUCAUCCAUAAUCUCCAAUUAAUUCCCUAAUCAAUAAAAAAAUUCAAUUAAUUAAAAAUAACAAAUAAAAAUAACUAGUAAUUAUGUAAUUAAGGAUAAAAUAUGUAUAUAUUAUAUGCUCAUCAUUCCAUUUGGGUGUAUUGGGGUUGUGGGUUUUGUGAGUUUUUCCCACUUUUGUAAAUUCUCAUUAUUAGUAAAAUUAUCUUUCAUUCUUUUCCCGUGCACAUAGGCAUUACACUGAACCACGUAAAUUAUUGUGUUCUAUUUUCUUUACAUUUAUUUGUCACAUUUAUAUUUCUCCAAAAGUUACAGUCAUCGUAAUAUUGGUAAUUGUUCAACCUCGCACUUCCGCAACACCAUCCUUACACUAUUAACAGAGAGAGAGAGAGAGUAAAGUAUCCCAAAAUGUAGAGAGCUUAAGAUUUAACUCUUUGAUAGAGAGUGCAGAGAAACGGAGUACUUACAAGUGAGUUCUUAAAAAGUUUGGAGAGUGUUCUCUUGAGUGUUCAGUUGAGAUCUAUAUUAUUUGUAGGGAUGCGAGAGAUUGUUUCCUUCAAGAGCGUUGAGAGUACUAAAUGUAUUUAAGUAUUUGGAAAAUAAGGUUUAAUUACUCAAAUUUAUACUCUAUUAAUUGUUAAUAAAAUAAUUACUCUCUCUUUGCCUCCUUGGAUGUUGGUAUCGUUGCCAAAUCAGGUUAAAGACAAGUGUCUUUAUCUUUUGUAAAUUAUUUAGUGCCUAUUGAUUGCACAUCUGCGCAUAAGUGGCAUUGAACUGCAACAAAUGACACUUUUGCACACAACACCACAUUGGAUACGUCACCGAGCAAGUUACCAGCAACUCGCAUCUUAUGAACCUAAUUUACAUGUGAAUAUAAAUGAGCAUGGCAUUGGCAUGUUACUAAAGAUAUUGUACAUAAAUCUACUAUUCUUAAUACCAACUAAAUAUUGGUCGUGUAUCAUUGUGCACAAAACUUUUAGGCAACAGCGAAGUCAGAUAACAGCGUAGUUAGAUAUUCAAUAUAGUUGGAGUUAUGUUCAAACAACAAUAUGAUUUAAAAAAUUUUAGUAAGUACUAAAAUUCUAAAUUGGCUUUACUGAAAUAAUAUAAUUCAGUUGCUCGUAGGCGAACGUGCUGAAAAGAAAUAAUAGAGACCUUAAAGAGAAAGUUAAGUAACUGAAACGAGAUUGCUUUCACGUUCAAACGAUGGGCCUUUAAAGGUCAAGGUUUUAGAAUCUAAGGCUUAUAGUAGAACUCAGAACACUAAGAAGUUGGAGAAUUUUUAGUAAGACGUACAACAUCACUUUCCAGCUAUUCGAGUACCAUAGACAAAGCAUGUCACUAUCACAAGCAUAUACUUAGAGGGUGAUACUAAGUUGUGGCAAUGGGGUAGGCUUUAACAGGAUACUGAAGCAUACAUCGAUUGGCAAUUGAAAAAUAGGACACACUUAAAGGAGAAGUAAAUGGUCAGUUCUUAUGCAGGAAUGGUAUUUGGCUUGAAGGGAAGAGCUUGAAAAAGCUAAAGCACAUCGGCUCAGUGAGAGAAUACGUUAAAGAGUUUAUUUCAUUGAUGUUGGACAUCAAGAACAUAUAAAGUGAGGGCAAGCUCUUCAAUUUUAUAUUAGUAUACACUAAUAGGCUUAAACGAAAUUACAGAAGCAGGCUGUAAGGUACUUACCAACGGCAAUUCCAGCUGCUGAUAGCUUGGUGCAUUUUAGACCCAUGAAUACUUAUCCUUUUGAAUAUAAGAAAUCCAAAGAUAACAAGAAAGGCAACACUUUGUGUGAUAGUGGGAUGAAGAAUGGCAACCACAUCAAAGCCAAGUAAAGGAACUGCAAGACAAAAAGGGUUCAGGGUACUUCAUUUGCGACUGACCACAUCGGGCAAAAGAUUAUCUAAACCCUGAGAUGCUUAAUGCUUUGGUUAAGGAAACAGAAGGGGAUUCUUUGAAACUUUCAGCUGCCAAAUUAGACGCAACACGCAUAAAUCCAUUACAACUAUUAAACAACAUGGAUGUCAAGGUGAAGGAGGUACUUGUAAAUGAAAAGAAGCUAAAAAGUGUCUUGAUGGGUAAAUCCUAAUUAGGUAGACUGAUUUGUGUAGUAAUGAUGGUUAAUAGAGUAGAAAUAAGGGCAAUAAUAGACAUAGGGUGGAAUGGUGAAACAUGUAAAGGCGAAUUUGAUACCACAUCUUGGACUGCAAAUUGCUAGAGCUAACAUUGACGUGAGUUUUGCUUUUAAUAAUCAAGUAGUUCCAGAGGAUAUAGUAGUAGCCAACCUAAGUAUGGGAACUUGGGCACUAGAUGCUAGGUUUGUAAUUAUAUGAUCGACGAUAUUUGUUGGAAUUUUCGGAAUAGAGUUCUUAUACAAUUCAGAGGUACAUUUACUAUCUCGCUUAUUAUGCAUUUAGAUUAGGAGCAUGAAAGAGUCGUGCACAGUCAAAUGUGAGUUUAAAAGUUUCAGUAAGUUGGGACCACCAUCCCAAUUUACCAUAACUGGUGUAAAUUGAGGGAAUUUCGUGAUCAUGUCCAUAGUUAUGGAGCACCUUCAAUUUAAGAAGGGAAUUGAUGGGUAUACCAAGGUGUUCAAGAAUGUGGAAGACUUUCAGAAAAGUACCGACUGUGGUAUACCAAUGUCAUUCGAGCUAAAAUGGCGGUAAAAGGGCAUAGAAGUGUGGCGAACAUUUUAAGGCAGCAAGCAAAAAUUUAGUAAGAGUUUCAUUGAUGGCUUUUUGGUUCUUAUUGGUGCCUAUUAGAGGUAACGACAUUGUUCCUCAUUUAUUAGUGUGCAAUUAGGUGGAGUGAGCGUCAGAUAUUUGGCGAGAAAGUUUAGUAUGGUGACCUGAAGUGGAUAAAGACAUAUGUAGCCCUAGAAUUUAUGAAAACUUUUGAUGUUCUUAGCGAAAUCGAAACAAAAGUUGAGCUUUAUUGUGCAAUUUCCAAGAAAAGCAAGCAGGAGCUUUUACGAUUAACAGAUGAAGAAACUAUUAGUCUAAAAUCAUUUAAUAGGUAGUAAAUAGUUCCAUAUAUGUAAAACAUUAGAGGGACUUAACAAUGGCAAAUCGGGUGAAUAGUGAGCCAAAUGUUGACAUAGGGAUGUUUGUCAAAGAGAAGGAAAUAUAAGCUUUACUAUGGCAAUAUGAGGGAGAGGUUAUGGUAGACUUAUUACCUUAUCAACGAGGACAUCAAGUUUUCUGGUUAAAGAGGUUUGUCACUGCUAUAAAUCAUUAUGGCUUAUGCCAAGACUUAGCUUGUGGCCUUGUGCCAAGCCGCUGGCAGCAUUAUGGGCAUACUUGUAGGCGUGAACGAAAGUAACACUAGACUGGACUGCGAACUAGGGCGCGACAUCAAGCACAUGCUCCAAGACAAGUGCGGGGAGUGCGAGACAGUGCUCGCAAGGAUGUGUGCUACCAUCUAUAUAAAUGUAGAGGCAUGGGAUGUAUAGAGCACACCUAUAGGCUAAGUUGGGCAGAAUACAGGAUGGCACAAUGCAGUUGUGCUCAGGCUAAAUAGGCAACGCGUACGUUGGUCGGCAGCAGGUGCAAAAGCAUCCAAGGCAGUACGUAAAUGCGCAACGUGCAACAUAUAGAUAUAUACAUGGGAGUCAAACUAUAUAAAUAUGAGAGACAUUUGGAUUAUACAUGUGGCCUAUAUUUGGGCAAUAGCAAUCGAACACUGAGCAUAUUGGCUAGAAAAUUUCCAAGAAUGAGUCUUAGAAACAAAAAUGAGUGAGAUUUUUUGUGCAACGAACAAAAGACAUGGCCUUCAAAUUCAUUCCUAAAACCAUGUAGACAAGAGAAGUAGACAGUGGCGAUUAUUCAUUAUUUCCUUGCUUCUAGUGUAGUGGGCAGCGGUUGCCUAAUCCUUAAAGGAAUAGCGAUGUGAUUCCUAGAAUCAUGCUUAAUAAUGCCUAGUCUGGGGGGGAGGAAAUGAGGUGGCAUAAGGACAGCAAGCCACCUCGCCUUGACAAAAAGUGGUGUCAUAUGUAACAUGUAUAUAUAGUGAGAGUGCGUGUGUGUUUUGGGAGAUCUAAAUUUUAGUAAAAUGAGUGGUCCUUAAGCACACAAAGCUUAGAGCUAUUUCAUAAUUUUUCUUAUUAUAGGAAUUGAAAAGUUAGGGAUCAGUGCCUCCAUAAAAAGCAAUAUUGUGUGUUCUUGUUAUUUUUAUUCCUUUUUCUAUUGUUGGUUUGGUUUAUCUCUUGUGAUAACCUCUAUUAUGGGCCUUUUGGGUUGCUUUCAUUAACGUUGUUGAGUGAUUGGCUAAGUGGGGGCUUAGCACCAUCACACAAGUUGUCAUGUCUUCAAACAAAACCAAGUGACAACUAGUAUCAGAGCAAAUGUUGCUUCAGUUGUUAGAACAAUUAGUGUUAGAGUAAAGAUUGCAUUAGUUGUUUGGACAACUAAUAUCAGAGCAUAGUUUGUUCCAGUUGGUAGAACAAUUUGGUAUCAAAGCAACAAUUACGAAGCAGGGUUGCAUCAAUGUUGGUGACAAAUGAUUUCAAGGCUCGAUUAAAAUCAGUUCAAGGAUAAUUGAUUGUGUGAUUUUAGGGAAGCUACGAUGCAUGAGCUAGAUUGUGUAAUUUAUAGGGAAUUUAACAAUGGUACAUGAAUUGUGUGACUAGCGACUAAAACCAGCAUGGCAGGAGAAUCAAUAAAGGAUGACUUAGAUGAUUGGACGCUAUUGUGGGUACUUUGUAGCCGUACUUGUAGAGUUUGGCUAAGAACACAAAAAUCAACUCAAUUAAGAUGGCAAGUAUGCAAAAAACUUGCAAGGAGUUUGGAAAUGAUUUCAUGAAGACGCUUAACAAGGUGAUGAAAAAUAUUGUUCAUAAGCGAAGGUGCUGAAAAUCAAUAUUAUAGAACUUGAAGAGAAAGCUGGGUUACUGAAACGCACAGUAGGCAAUGCUUCAGAUUCUAAAGAUGGGCCUUUGAAGGUCAAGGUUUCAGAACCUAAGGCUUAUAGUAGAACUCAGAACGCUAGGGAAUUGGAGAAUUUUCUGUGAGAUGUGGAUUAGUGCUUUCUAGCUGCUCGAGUAUCAGAGAUGGAGCAUGUCACUAUCACGAGCAUGCACUUAGAAGGUAAUGCUAAGUUGUGGUAGCGGAGUAGGCUUCAAGAGGAUGUCGAAGCACAUAGUGAUCGGUAAUCGAAACAUAGGACACAUUAAUGCAAGAAUCGAAGGGUCAGUUCUAAUGGGAAAUCCUGGUUGGAUGAAGACAGAAAUCUUUAAAGAGCUGAAGCAUGCCAAAGAUUUUAUUUAAUUGAUGUUGGACAUCAAGAGCAUGUCAGAUGAGGACAAACUUUUCAAUUUUAUAUUGAGACUGCAACCAUGGCCUCAAUCAAAAUUGUGGAAGCAAGCUGUGAGGGACUUGUCGAUGGCAAUUAUAGCUAUUGAUAGUUUAGUGGAUUUUAGAUUCAUGAACACUUCUCCUUCUGAAUUUAAGAAAUCAAAAGAUUGCAAGAAAGAAAAUUCUUAGCAUGAUGGUGGGAAGAAGAAUGGCAGGAAAAACAAAGUCAAGCCAUGAAAUCUACAAGAAUAGAAGAGCUUGGGGUACCUCAUUUGCAAUGGACCACGUCAGGAAAGGAUUGUCCAAAGCACGAGAAACUGAAUGAUUUCGUGAACAAAACAAAAGGAGAGUGUACAAAACCUUCAGUGGCCGAAGUAUGUGCAACACAAAAGAAUCUGUUACAAUUGUUGAACAACAUGGAUAUCCACUAAAGUAUUAUUUUUUCUUACAAUAUGUUCAAUUUUUUCUUUAUAUCCUCUACCUAUUAUUACUUCUAAGAAAUAUAUCCAUCUUUUACUAAUAAAACAAUUUUUCUUCUCAAAAUUCUUCUUUUGUACUUUUUUUUAUAAAAUUCUAUAAUUUUAUUACAAUCUGUUCUUACUGUAAAUGUGUCACUUUGUAUAUACAAAUGAAAUGAGUUUAAAGAAUUUAUUAUUCACAGAUUCUCCAAUUCUGUACAUGACUUUCUACUUUCUAUUUCUGUAAAUUUUCUACUAGUAUACGUUGUUAUUUCUUCUUUCUCUUUUGACCUAUCUUCAUUGGGCUUUUGUAUUAGUAUUCUUGUCCAUUCUAAACUACUUGCAUUAGUUUAUAUAAUUUUAUAAUUAUUGUUUAUAGGCAAUGCUAAUGGCUUAAGAUUCCUAACUAUUCCUUUUAAGUUUUUGUAUUAAUUUUGUAUCUUCUCUGGUAAAACAUUUCUAUCCAUUUUUACUUAACUUAUUAUAUAAAGGUUUUAUUAAUGUAUUAAGAUUUGGUAUAAAUUUCCUACUACAAUUUAAUAAUCCUAAGAAUUUUUGUAGUUCUGUAAUAUCUUCUAUUUUAUUAGGAAAUUCUAAUAUUUUACUAACUAUAUGUGGUUGUAAUUCUAUAGUUCCUCUAUCUAUUGUUAGUCCAAAUUUAUUUUGUUUUAAUAAUUCAAUUUUCUUUUUAGAAAUUACUAUAUUAUUAUUCUUAAAACAAUCUAAAUUUUUAUGUAGGUGAGUUAUGUGCAAGAACUUGUUAUGACUAAAAACAAGAAUAUCAUUCAUAUAAACUAUACAAAAUUUUGUAAAGGGUUUCAGUAUUUUAUCUAUUCUACCUUAAAAAACUUGUGGUGCAUUUUUUAAUCCAAAUGACAUUACUAACCGUUCAAAGUGUCCUUUAGAACAACUAAAAGUUGUCCAUUGAACAAAUUCUUCAUGGAGUCAUAUUUGCCAAAAACCACUUUUACAAUCAAAUUUAGAAAAAUAUCUAGUAUUUGGUAUACAAUUUACUAGCUCAUCUUUAUUAGGUACUUUAUAACUAUUGUCUAAAGUAUUGUCGUUUAAUCUUUUAUAAUUAAUUACCAUUCUAUUCUUACCUCUUUUUUGUUCACUAUGAUUAUUUACAAUAAAUAUUGAACUUCUAUGUCUACUUGUAUUAUUUCUUAUUACUAUUAUUUCUAAUAAUUCAUUUAUAUGCAUUUUAAAUUCAUUUUGUAUCUUUAAGCUAUAAGCUAAAUUAUGUGUUUUUAUUGUUAUAUUUGGAUUAAUAAUUUAGAAUUUAUAUACUUCUUUAUUAUCUUUUCUAAUUGUGUUGUUGCCUAUUAUUUUUAAUGUUUCUUACUCUUCUACUUUUUUUUAUUAUGUCUACAGCCCAUUUUUCACAUUUUAAACAUUUUACUUCUUUUUCUAUACUCAUAACAUUUUCUAAAUACUUGUCUAUCUCUUCAUCGUCUAAAAUUUCUACUUCAGUACUUUCUAACUUAUUAUACACGUGCAUGUGUCACUUUCUAAUUCUAUCUUACUAUUGUCUGUUAGCUCUUUAGUAUGUUCUACUUUGCUAUCUUUUUCUUCUUCUUNNNNNNNNNNNNNNNNNNNNNNNNNNNNNNNNNNNNNNNNNNNNNNNNNNNNNNNNNNNNNNNNNNNNNNNNNNNNNNNNNNNNNNNNNNNNNNNNNNNNGUUUCUUAGAAUGUAUAGCAAAUAUACCUAUUAGAAUAAAUGGAGAAACACACAUUUUACCACAAACUUUUAUUUCUAAUAGGAAAGUAGGAUAUACAUUUAUUAAUGGAUUAAACUUUAUAUCAGGAAAUAAUAGCAGUAUAUAAAUAACUCAAAAUGGAGUUAAUUUCUUAAAAAAAUCAAAAUUUAUUCAACCCAAAUAUGAAACACACAUUUUGUCCUAUGAAAAAGAAGACUUUAAUGCUAGGAAAAGAAGUAGAUAUAGAAUUCUUUGAUGUUUUAUUAGAAGAAUAAAAAGAUAGCAAAGUAGAAAGUACUAAAGAGCUAGCAGACGAUAGUAAGUUAGAAUUAGAAAGUGACAUAUGCACAUGAAUAAGAAGUUAGAAAGUACUAAAGUAGAAAUUGUAUACGAUGAAGAGAUAGACAACGAUUUAGAAGAUGUUAUGAGUAUAGAAAAAGAAGUAGAAUGUUUAGAAUGUGAAAAAUGGCUUGCAGACAUUAGAAAAAAAGUAGAAGAGUUAGAAAAAUUAGAAAUAAUAGGCAAGAAUCUAAUUAGAAAUAUAAAAAGAACUAUAUAAAUUAGAGAUUAUUAUUCCGAAUAUAACAAUAAAAACACGGGAUUUAGCUUAUAGCUUAGAAGAUAGAAAUGAAUUUAAAAUGCGCAUAAAUGAAUUAUUAGAAUUAAAAGUAAUGAGAAAUAGUACAAGUAGACAUAGAAGUACAACAUUUAUUGUAAAUAAUUAUAACAAAAAAGAGGUAAGAGUAGAAUGGUAAUUAAUUAUAAAAGAUUCAACGAUUAUACUUUAGACAAUAGUUAUAAGAUACCUAAUAAAGAUGAGCUAGUAAACUGUAUACAAAUGCUAAAUGUUCACAAGGACAUUUUGAACGGUUAGUGCUGCCUUUUGGAUUAAAAAAUGUAGCUCAAAUUUUUCAAGCAAGAACGGAUAAAAUAUUAAAACAUUUUUCAUAAUUUUGUAUAGUUUAUAUAGAUGAUAUUUGUUUUUAGUCAUAAUAAGUUCAUGCACGUAACUCGCUCACAUAAAAUUUUAUAUAGUAAUUUCUAAAAAGAAAAUUGAAUUAUUAAAACAAAAAAUAGAUUUUUUAGGACUAACAAUUGACAGAGGAACUAUAGAAUUACAUCCACAUAUAUUUAGUAAAAUGUUAGAAUUUUCUGCUAAAAUAGAAGAUACUGAAGAACUAUAAAAAUUCUUAGGAUUAUUAAAUUAUAGUUAGAAAUUUAUAUCGAACCUUAGUACACUAACAAGACCUUUAUAUAAUAAGUUAAGUAAAAAUGGAGAGAAAUAUUUUAACAGUGAAGAUAUAAAAUUAGUACAAACUCUUAAAGGAAUAGUUAGGAAUCUUAAGCCAUUAGCAUUAUCUAUAGACAGUUAUUAUAAAAUUAUACAAUUUGAUGCAAGUAGUUUAGAAUGGACAGGAAUACUAAUACAAAAGCCCAAUAAAGAUAGCUCAAAAGAGAAAGAAGAAAUAAAAAUGUGUAGUAGUCAAAAUUUUAUAGAAAUAGAAAGUACAAAGUCAAGUACAUAAUUAAAAAUUCUAAGAAUAAUAAAUUUUUUAAUCUCGUUACAUUUGUAUAUACAAAAUGAUAUAUUUACAAUAAGAACAGAUUAUAAUAAUAUUAUAAAAUUUUAUAAAAAAAGUACAAAAGAACAAUUUUUGAGAAGAAAAUUUCUUUUAUUAGUAAAAGAUGGAUAUAUUUCUUAGAAGAAAUAACAAGUAGAGAAUAUAAAGCAAACUUUGAACAUAUAGUAGGAAAAUAUAAUAUUUUAGCUGAUAUUCUUUCAAGACUAAUUAUUCAAUAAUUAUUUUAUAGGAAUGGAGUGAUAUAUGAAUUUUGGUCCAACGGCACUUAGAGAGUCCCUUCAUGAACAAAUUUAAGGUUUAGAAGUAAAUAUCAAUUAUUGGACAAUCAACAAUCCAUCUUAGAUAAUUUGUAGAAUUGUAAUAACCUAAAAGAUAAAUUUAAAGUAGCCAAUGCACUCUUGCAUUACUUUAAACAGAUUAAUAAGCAUGUAGAAACUAAUCGUUUUGCAUUUUUCAUAUUAGUCAGAGGUAGACAACUAGGCAUUUAUAGUCAGUCGAGAGAGAUAGUUGAUCUAACAAUCAAUUAUCCUGAUCCAUACUAUGGAGGUUUUUAUAUAUUUCAUGAAGAAAUAGAAUUUGCUAGACAAAAGAUAGGACCAAAUACAAUGUUAGAUAUUUAAUUAACCUUUUAACAGUGCAUCAACAUCAUCAAACAUAUAAUUAAAUAAUUCUUUAGACAGUGCAUCAUCAUUAUCAUCAUCAUCUAUACAGAUUUGCAACCAUUGUGAAAUUAUGACACACACAGUUAGAAAACUUAAUGAUACUAGACAUCAUCUAGACGGUGUAAAUGAAAAAUGUAAACAAAAAAUGAUUGCAUUAGAAAGUGAAGAUAAAGAGUUAAUUGGACAGAAUAUUAAAUUACCAAAUAAAUAUCAUAUUCUACUAUUGGAUCACCAAAAAACCCAAAAACAAAAACAACUACUGAAACAUUAUUUAAUCAUAUCCUACCAGGAUAAUUAAUAAAAAUCCACCAUAUUUCUUCCUUCCUUGGUGGCAGCAUAGACAUUGUAAAAGAAAAAAUAGUAGAAAAUCUAUACCAAGACUUUGUUUCUUUAGCCAACCAAUUAUUUUAUAGUCAGUUAAAUUUCUUAAUCUAAUUUGUACUUAGAUGGUCAGAAUUAAGGAAUAUUACCCCUCUUGGACAUGAUUUGUCUAUAAUUUCCUUUGAUUAUUCUUUAGCCAAAACCCUAGACAAUGAAGAUUUAUUAUUAAAGGCUAUCAGUUUUGGUCUAAAUUGCAUUUUAUAAUAUGUGGAAUUCAAUCUUGGAGAAUAAAAUACUUUUGUUGCACCACUUCCAUAAACAACUACUUCAUCCUGUGAUUCGGAUUGACGAAGCAAGACAUUCACAAAGUAAGCACCAUAGAGAUGUGCUGAGACAAAGGUUAUAGGGAAUUUUAGCUGCUUCUACAGUUCUACUGCCCUUCUUACCAUUCGUUUUUUCCUCCAAGUAAGCUUCAAAAGGAGGCAGAGGCCUUACCCUGUCUCUUCACAUCCAAACUCAGAUGGAAGAAACCUCCAGCAACCAAAACAUAGUAUGUUUAAGAUCUGUUCUAUAUAAACAAAUUUGAAGUAAUUCAGCACUGAAUUGUAAAAAGACACUAAAAUGUUACAAAGACGCAAAUACUAAAUUAGAGUUUGUGAUUUUAGGUAUUUUGCUAAUUUACUAGCCCUCGUAUAUAUUUUUACAUCUUUUUUAGAUAACUACAAUUACUUAGCUUAAAUCUACAUUUAGAAAGUGUGGAAAUCCACAUUUAAAAGUUCAUAAUAUUUUCCAUUUACUAGACAAACUAUAUUAAAAUUUCUGAAAAAAAAAACAAACGAUCUAUUUUAUUUUUCAGAAAGAAAGAGCUCAAUCAAGUACCUUGAUGUUGCCAGCAACUUUGAUGGCAUCAUCAAUUUUCAGUUGAUCACGAAACUGAGGAUAAGCUACAGUUGAUAUCACCACAUCUACUUCUUUAAAUAUAGAUACAAUUUUUUUCUCGUGCUCGCCUAGCUCUCCCUGUUUUAAUUUCAACAGUAUUAUUGUUAAUACUUAAGCUUACAAAUAAUAUUGAAGAUUCUAAUUAGAUUAACACAAAAUUAAUUUCAUAAAAAGAAGUAUAAGAGAUCAUUCUACGCGCACUUAAAAAAGAAAAAAAAAAAGAUCAAGAAAACAAAAGGAGAUCGAGAUGAUUGAGUGAUGAAGUUACCUCAAUAAUUGCGACACCAAUAUCCUGAAAUUCCUUAUAGAUUUCAAGCUUGGAGGGACUUGAAUUUUUUUUUUUGAACCGGUCGAGCAUAAGCAUAAGCUUUGUGACCAGAAAAUACACUUGCUUUCACCAUAUAUUUGCCGAAGUAUCCGGUACCCCCAAAGCUUGCGUUCUCACCUUCCAUUUCUUCCUUUUACUUCGAUUUAUCUUUCAUAUUCCCUUCUCUUGUUGCGUACAUUUAUAUAUAUGAUAGCACAAAAGAGCUCAUUGCAUUUUUGUCAUGAUAAUAAAAAAUAAAAAAAAUUGGCAUUUUUGUUCUUUUUUUUACUAGAAACGCAAUGAAUUGAACAUUUAUAAUUAGUAAAAGAAUAAGUGCGACUUCACAGUUUAUGGAGUUUUUCAUUGCAAUCAUGUUGAUGUUCAUAAUGUUAAAAUUAAUGGAGCUAUUUCAGCAUGUUGAAAAUCCGAAAAUUGCAUCCAUCAUGUAGUACUUGUGUCAUGUCAUUGAGUUUUGUUCUCUUAUCUUUUUUAUUUUAAUAUAUUACUUGUUUGACAUAUUGCCUGUGGAGAUAUUUCUCAGGUGAAAUCAUAAUUUAGUUUUUUUUUAAAUAAUUUAAAUAUGUGAUAUAUAGUAUUUUUAGGCCUUGUUUGAGAUUGAGGUUGAAAUUCAGUAACUUGCUUAUUUGAUAAUGGUGGCAAAAAUAUUAUUUGAUAAAUUUUGUAAAAACUACUUAUUUCACAAUUUCUCCAUCUUGAAAGUGGCUUUUAAACGCAGGUACGGGUUGUCUUUCAUAAUCAGUUUAUUAUAUAAGCUACCACAAUUUUUUAAAUUUCCUAUUAUAACCUUAAAAUUUAAAAGAAUAACUAUCUCUUAUUUUUUCAUACACCCUGAUAUAUAAGCCAUAAUAUCAUAUUAUCACCACAACAAAUUAUAAAGCUAUUGUGCAUUCUCUUCAGUAUCAAAAUUUUGACCCAACAAGUUCAUUGGAUUUUAUUUAAUUGAGAUUUUUUUUUCUUUAUGUAAUUUUAUGUGUUUUAAAAAGAAAAAGAUAUGUCUAAACAUUAUUAAAUAUACUCCAGAAAAAUAAAAGGUAAUUUAAACUUAUAUCUAUUUUGGUCAUUAUAUAAUAAAACAAUACGUCUGUAAUCAAAUUUACUGAACGCAUGUACAUUGCUUUUUAAACUCAAACUCACAACAACUACAACAAUAAAGUUUAUCAAAUACUAUACUGCUUUUUUAAUCAACAACUUAUUAUAUCUAGACAGCAAGAGUAUCUUAUUUAAUCAACGGCCACAAUACCAAACUAGUCCUUAGUCUAAUGAUAACUCAGUCUCUUCUCCAUUCAUGUGAGCAGACAUCAAACAUUAAAACUCUUAUUUUCAAUUCAAGAGGUUUUACUAUUUCAAUUAGAUGAUACCAUCUCAAAUUUAUGACAAUAUUAUCUUAACAGCAAGUAGAUCUUAUAAAUGAUCUUAACAGCAAGUAGUUCCUAUAAAUGAAAAAUGAACAGUGUCUUUUCUUCUAUGCAUCCAGCAAGUAGCAAGGCAAUGAGUCAUUUUUAUGCAUAUUCAGAUUCUCGCACGCAUAAUGCAAUGGUCUCACAUGAAUAAUACAAUGGUUUAUUCACAAAUGAUGAUAGGUCCCUUGUCUGCUUUUUAGAUAUAUUUUUCUUUCAUUUUUAUUCAUAAAUAGGUAUCAAAAUCUUCAUUUGAUCUGGAAAAAAAUAUACGGAUAUAUUUUUAUUUAAAAGAUGGUCACAUAAUCUUUUUUGUAGGAUAAUUAUAUUCUUUAACUUUCAUGAUCUAAUUGUAUUUUAUCCAGACUUAAUAAAAAAAAUCUAUAUAACUAUUUUUGAAAACAAGAUCUUUAUAACAUAUUUGGAUUCAAUGUUGCUAACCUUCUAGAAAAAAAAACAAUUGAUAGUUAUUGCAUAAUAAUAUAAAACUAAUUAAAUCUUAAUCAUAUAUAAUUAUAUAUACAUGCACAUGUGACAAAAGAUUAUGAAGAAUUGAAUACAAUUUAGCUGAGUAGUGGAUUCCAAUCCCUUCAUAACUAUUUCUCCAAACCACAAGAAUAUUGCAACUAUUUUUCUUUUUUUCUUUUUAUUAUAUUUUCCAUUUAGUAACAACUAAGUAACUGUACAUUCUAAUGAACACACCUGAAGGAUGUAAAUUUGAGAAAUCAAUGAAAAUAGCUAUAAAAAGUUUAGGAUUUUUUAAAUUUGACCCCUCAAAAUUUUUCCUAUCAUAACUAGCCAAAUGCUAAUUUUUUUUAAUCAAAUAGUCCUCAUUACUUUCAAUAACUUUACCAAAUAGUCCUCUCCAUCAACUGAACCUUUCCCACCAUUCCUCACCGCCGAUCGACGCUCAAACCACCGGAAACUGAAGCCCUUCAAAACCGCUAGCUUUAUCUACAAUUUCCGGCCAAAACACCACUUUUUCAGACAAACCACCACCACCAUCAUACUUACCAACCCAAAAUUUUUCAGAUCCACCCAUCCUUACUCGAUUUCCGACCACCGUCAUCGGAAAUCUAAAACUUUUGCUUAAUUACAGUUUCGGCCUAAAAUUUUUAUUUACUUUCAGUUUAGCCCCACUACCUUUUUAAACUCGAAUUUGAAAAAAUGCCCCCAAGAAAAGUUCGUGAUGCUCAUAUUGCAACUUACAAUCAAGAAGAUGUUUCGAAAGAUGAAGCCCUGGCUAGUAUGACAGCCAGAAUUGAUAUGUUAGCUGCACAAAUGGCACGAAUGGCAGAGUUACUUGACGAACGCCAUCGUACUCCAGAACGUGAAGAAAAAUCAAGUGGAAGUUUUGCUAACCCAUUCUCUGGGCGUUGACCUAGAACUGAGUCUACUGAUGACAGAAGAUAGGAAUCUGGGUUGAGAAUUGACAUUCCUGAAUUUCAAGGAAGUGGUCGACUUGAAGAAUUAUUGGAUUGGAUUAACGCCAUUGAGGAAGUUUUCGAAUACAAAGAAGUUCCUGAAAAUAAACUAGUUUCGCUUGUUGCAACUCUAUUUCGUGGAAGAGCAGCAGCUUGGUGGCAACAAAUUAAGCUCACAAGGAUUAGGCAAGGCAAAAAGAAGAUUGAUUCUUAGGAAAAGUUCAAAAAGCACUUGCGUGGAGCAUGUUGUGCAAAUUUUAUUGAACUUGCAAGUGCACGAAUCUAUUGUAGAAUAGAUUAAUGGAGACGAGUGUCGAUCCCACGAGGAGGUGAAUUUUAAUUAUAUGUAGAAUUAAUUUUGUAUGAGGGUGGUUGGAUUUGUGGUGAAAGUGACUUAAAUUAUCUUAAAAUUAGAAUUGAAAUGGCGAGAAUAAAUUCUAAAAUUGGAAUUGAAAUGGCGAGAAUAAAUUGAAGAGAAAUCUAUUGAGAUGACGUACUUGGAUAUUUGGAUCCGUAUCAACAUGCACCAUGGGCUAAAUAUUCCUUAUUAAUACCAAUUAAAUCAUGAGAGGGGAAUCCACACCUCAUGAACCACACUCUAAUCAAUAUGGUGCUAAGGGCUUAUCGUGCCAAAUAAUAAUAACCUUGUACUAGGGGGCCGGUGAAACCAAGGCGGUACUAGACAAGCUUAUUAUUAUUUGUCGACGAGAAGUCAAAACAUCCACAAAAACUAGAGGGGAAGAGAAAUAAAUUUACCAAAUAAAACCCAUGACAUAUGUUGAGACUUCACCUUCAACCAAAGCUUGAAAGAAAAUUAGCCACUCAUAAUUGAACUAGGGGCAAAAUGGAAAUUUAUUAAAAUAUGUAGAAAAUACAAGAUGGAGAAGGAAUUACAGAAAAUGGAUUCAGAGAUAUCAAAUUAGGGGGGAGAAGCCCUAUUUUUAUAGAUACAUGGAGUAAAUCAUGGCCAUUGGAUUAAAAACAGUUUGGACGCUCAGGAUUGCGCCACAUCAUCAGUCAACAGUACGCGGUUUGACCACGCAGAUGAACAGAAACACGGUUUGACCCGGGUUGAACAGUAACGCGGUUUGGUUGAAAAUAAUCCUGUGUGAUGCAUGUACCGUACGCGAGAUUUUUCGUCCACUGAUAUGCUGCCACGUCACCAUCAACAGUACAUAAGAAUUUUAGCCCAACAGGAUCGUGACACCUCAUCAGUCAAUGCCACAUCAUCGAUCAAUGCCACGUCAUCGAUCCGUUUAUGUGAACAUGUCAUGAACAGUAACGUAGACAAUACCGUGCACGUGAAUAGUACCGUACACGUGAAUAGUGCCAUUUUUUCUUUUAUGCUCCUUUUAAGGUUUUCGACCGUCUGAGUUCAAAAGUGAUGUCUGUUUUGCCGUCUGAUCUCUCGUUUAUUGUGAAAUGACCAUGAUGCCCCUAAAAUACAUAAAAUACUUAAUUAAAAUAAAACACACAUAAUUAAAUUACAAGAAGCUUAAAUACAUAAAAGUAAGGGUUGUUAGUAAGACUUGAAAUGUAAAAUGACGAUUUUCUCCUUUAUAAAUAUGCAUUUUCUAACACUCAACACACCCCCCAACCAGCUUAUUGCUAGUCCCUAGCAAAUAAAGCGAAAACAAAAUUCAAAUCCAAAAUGAUUUUUUUUUUAAUAGAAACACUCAUGUUUAUUCAAUCAGAUUAAUGAUAGCAAUCAAAUAAAACUAUAAGUAUUAUCUCCAGUCUAAAGAAACAUCACACCCACAUCAACCAUCCACAUGAAUCAGCCCAGUAGACUUUGUUAUAGCUACUUUCAAGAAUGACAUGUCAAACCCCAAAAUCUCACUGGAAGUAGUGACACUCUCACAAAGAAAUUAAACCCAAUAAAAAUAGUCACUCCAAUGAAUGGUAAUUGAGAGAAAAUAAUAAAGAAGUGAUAUCACAUGCUCUCACCAAGAUGAAAGAAAUAUGCCCUCAGCUUAGAAAUAAUACGAUCUCAAGUCAAACAAAAAUGCUAGUCAACCCAUUUUAUUUAUCUCCUUUUUUUUUAUAUUAUUAUGUACCACUACAUCUUUUUAGCCCAUAUAACUAGCUUCUACUUCAAACUAUAGUUCCCUAAAAUCAAGGACUUUUAUUAAGACGUAACGUAGGCUAGGGACAUGGUUAACACAGAAGGGAAAUAAGGAAAAUAAAGUGUAUGUUUGAGAAAAAUGCAAAGAAUUUUUUUUUUUUUAAAGUUGCAAGGUGUAUUUCACCUAUUGUUGUUAUUUUUAUUCUUUUGAAACAACAACUUUUGUUUUGUUUUUUUGUUUUUUUUUUUGCUUUUAUUUGGCAUAACUUCACUAAACAAAAUAAUUAUUUACAUUUUCUCAAACAUAAAUAAGUGAUGGAACUUAUAAGACAUCGGAUAAUACUCCAAAUCGGAGUGGGUCAAGAUGAUAAGUUGACAAAAAAAAGGUUUUUUUUUAAAAGCUCAAAAGGGUUAACUAUGGAUAUUUAAUAAAAGGGAUGGUUAGAAAGGCUCAAACGGAUCAAAGAUGGCCUUUCCAUCGUCUUUUAGGGCUCUAAAUAAUCAUCCAUAUCUACUAGUUAGAUGGGCCUCCCAAUGUAGCAACACACAUUUUUUUUUUUAUUUUAUAAUUUUUUUUUAGGGUUAACUCAAAAGAAAUCUAGAGAUCGUGUAUAAAAUAAUAAACUGCUAAGCUGUAUAGAGAAUGGGUAAAAGGGUUACUCUCUAAGAAAAUGAUAGGCUCAACAACUCACUUGGCACUUAUUUAUGACAUGUUCAUUCCUUCAAGCAACUCAUAUUUGUCUCCGACAUCAACAUGUAAAGUAGCAAACAUAGCGUAACAUCACUUAAGACCAAAGAUAAUACAAAUACUAAAAUUUGAAAUUAAUCAUGUCAUCCAAUGUUAAAACAAAUCACACAAAUUUUUUUUUAAACAACAUUCUACCCCCCAACCUAUUCUAAGCAUGAAAGGAAAAUAUGAAUGCAGAAAUGUGAAUAUGAUGCAGAAAAACUAAUUAGAAAAGUUACACUUAAAAUGAUAAAAAAAGAGAAUGGUUUUUUUUUAAAGGCUCAAAAGUUUGAAAAUGUAUAUUUAUAGAGGAGAAAGAAGAAGACAAAUAAACAUAAAAACUUAAUAAAGAAAAAGAAAACGUCUGAAUUUUUUUAUUUUUUUUAUUUUUUUUUCAAACGAUGAAGAUGCGUUUCUAGAGUCACUACACUCCAUAUUCAGCAAUCUUCAACACAAAACGUUAGCAACAGUUAAUUUUUACAACAAAAAAUCUGUAAAAACUUAACCAAGAUUCCACAAUUGUCAACUAUUCCCUCCCCCCAACCAGAACGAAACAUUGUUCUCAAUGUUUUAAAGGAAAAAAGUAAAGUUUAGAAGACAUCACCUGGGUGGUGCAACAUAGAAGAAAAUAUUUACAAGCGAAGAGUUAAAUCUAAUUUGUACUUCUUACUGCGGCUACUGUUACCAUCAUUAUUUGGACGCUCCAACAUAAAGGUCCAGGGGUCUGGCUCCGGUCUAUAAGCUUGUAACAGAUCAAGUAGCUCAUUAGCAGUGUGAGAACAAAUAAAAAGCUUUUUGGCAUUGGAAGGAACGAAAUAGUUUUUUAUUGCAUGGUUAAGAAAUGCGAUAAAGCCAUCAUAAAAAUUAUUGACAUUUAACAAACCAAUGGUUUCUGGUGAAUGUGCAGAUGGGCCCAAGAUGCUAGUGUGAUAAGUACCUCUAGUGUUGCAAGAUCUCCUGAAAGGAAAAUAAAAGCAUCAACAUGAUUAAGCAUUUCAGUUAUUUUUUCUUGCAUACCUGAGAUGACUAACUCUUCUCCAGUCGAUGAGUCAGACAAACUGCCCAAAGGUUUUAGGACUCUUGGGAUGAUGCCUAACACUUGACUUCCUCUGACAAAAGCUGCUUCUGAGACCAUUUUUGAUAACCCUCGAUUACCUCCUCCAUACACCAAGUGUAAUUUUCGCGCUACUAUGCUUUGACCAAGAUCUAUGGCUGCCUCAACGAACUCUUUAUGUUUGCCAUUGUUAAAUCCAGAAAGCACACAAAUGUUCUUGAAUUGUCUAUUGGGAGUAGCUGCCAUUGUGAUACUUCUAAAAAACAAUUUGUGAGUGCUUGACAAAAAAGAAUCACAUUUAAGAGUCUUGGUAACAGUGGGUCACAGUUGUGUAUGAGGUAACAUGUCAGUGUCAAAUAACGUGUAAAGUACAUGGCUCGCGAGUCAAAAAGAAAACAGUAAAAGGAAAAAGCAAACAGUAAUAAGGAAAAAGAAAACAGUAAUAAAAUUAUUAAAGACAAUAAUGCACACAAUAAAACAAUAGUGAAAUAAAAUAACAGUAAAGUAAAAGGAUAUUUACAGGUAGUUGCGACUGUGGUUCACAUCUUUCUCUGGUUUUACGUCCAGAAAUGGCUUGAACGUCCUCUAUUGAUCGAGGAUAGGCUUCCUAUUCAGUUUACAGGUAGUUGCGACUGUGGUUCACAUCUUUCUCUGGUUUUACGUCCAGAAACGGCUUGAACGUCCUCUAUUGGUCGAGGAUAGGCUUCCUAUUCAGUUUUCUUAUAAACUGGCAAACAGGGUCGUUUAUAGUCAAAUUCCCGAGACUAUAUCGUGCAUGCUCUUUCUGGAAUAAUGGCCAUAACUGGAGAAUCGCUCCUUACGCAUAUCCACUGGGAUGCGUUUCAAGAGACAAAAGGAUAUCAUCCAAUGACUCCUUAUUCAAGCCAUCCCUAAUGAAUUGAAUCUUAUCUUCCCUAUUAUCAGACACCAUUCCUAAAGAACAUGGGUUUUUAUUGCAACUCAUUCUGGCACACUUAUGACAAGCAACAGAAAUUCUUCGAGCCCGUCAUUUUUUUGCAUAAUUUCCUUUACCACAACCAGGCAUGUAUGCAAUAAAUUUUGGAGGUAACUCAUCUGCCGAUCGUACUUUAGCCUCGAUUAACUAAUGGAUGUCAGCAGGUAUGUUAUUCCUCAUGAGUAAUCGCAUGCGUUCGGACCGAGCUUUAUAGAUCGUAAGGAGGGCAUUCUGAGGAAGUGAAGGGAAUCGCUUGUGAAGCUUCGCUAGAAUGUCGUUUCUGUCCAUACUUUCGCCUCAGAAUAUCAGUUAUUAUGGGAAACUGAAGUAACCGACUUGAUUGUCACGGAGUACCAUUAUCCGCCACUUCACCGGGGUAACAAACUAAAGCACACAAACAGAAAAACAAAUUAAAACACACAAAGAAAAUUAAAAUCGUCCUCUUAUUGAAUUUACCUCAAGCUCCAACUGAAUGCUAUAAACACUUCUCUCAAUGUCUCUGAGUUGGCUUUCUAAACUCUCAACAUAGGAUACUAACUCUGGUGGUUGCAGAGCCCAAAUACGAUGUGUUUUACAAAAUUGAAUCUGCCUUUUGAGAUGAGUUUUAACACGUUGAAGUGGUUUAAGAAUGUUCAGAAGGAACGGUCUAAGUAUGGUACUCAUGAUUAACAAUGAUAAGAGAAAACUUAAUGGUAAAACAAACACACUUAUGCAAAAAUAAUUUCAAUUAGCAAAAGAAUAAUAUAAAGAAAGAAAAAAAAAUAUCAAAUCACCGAAAAGAAAAAAAAUUCAAUUCAAAUCUGGUGGGUCACUUAAAUUUAUUUCGGUGUCUUCUUCAUGUGGUUGGUACUCUAGAUAUGGCUUUAAUCUUUGACCAUUAACUUUAAACGUGACACCGUUUUUUGGGUCCUUAAUUUCAAUUGCCCCAUGUGGAAAAACAGUAUGAACAAUAAAGGGGCCAGACCAUCGAGAGCGUAACUUACUUGAGAAUAGGUGCAAGCGAGAAUUGAAUAAAAGCACUUUCUGACCUGGAGUGAACGAUUUUCUCAUAAUUUGCUUGUCAUGGAAGACUUUUAUUCGUUGCUUGUAAAUCUUGGCAUUUUCGUAUGCAUCAUUGCGAAUUUCUUCAAGUUCUCCCAGCUGUAAUCUUCUUUCUGAACUGGCUUGCUGCAUAUCAAAGUUGAAUUUCUUGAUAGCCCAAUAUGCACGAUACUCGAGUUCCAUAGGUAGGUGGCAAGUUUUUCCAUACACUAGCCUGUAGGGUGACAUCCCAAUCGGGGUCUUGAAAGCCGUUCUAUAUGCCCAUAAUGCAUCAUCAAGUCUUAAUGAUCAAUCUUUUCUGUCUGGCCUCACCGUCUUUUCUAAUAUGUGCUUUAUUUCUCGAUUGGAGAUCUCAACUUGGCCACUGGUCUGCGGAUGAUAUGGGGUCGCCACUUUGUGAGUGAUUGAAUACUUUGUCAAAAGAGACUUGAAUGCUUUGUUACAAAAGUGGGCACCACCAUCACUGAUUAUUGCUCGAGGGAAUCCAAAGCGCGAAACAAUGUUGCUUUUCAAAAAUCCUAUCACCACCUUGUGAUCAUUGGUUCUGCAUGGAAUUGCUUCUACCCAUUUCGAUACGUAGUCAACAGCAACCAAUAUGUAUUGAUAGCCAAAAAAAGGGGGAAAGGGACCCAUGAAGUCGAUACCUCAAACAUCAAAAAUCUCAACCACUAAAAUUGGAUUUAGUGGCAUCAUGUUCCUUCGUGUAAUGCUCCCUAUUCGUUGACACCUAUCACAUGAAGAACAGAAAGUGUAAGCGUCUUGAAAUAUAGUUGGCCAAUAGAAACCACAUUGUAAAACUUUAGUUGCUAUUUUCUUAGCACUGAAAUGCCCUCCACAAGCUUGUUCAUGGUAGAAUGAAAGAAUAUUAUGAAUUUUAUUUUCUGGGAUACAUCGUCUAACAAUUUGAUCUGCACAAUACUUGAAUAAAUACAGGUCAUCCCAAAAGAAAUUCUUUAUUUCUACAAAGAAUUUAGCCUUGUCUUGCUUGGUCCAAUGUUCUGGAAGUUGACCUGUAACAAGAUAAUUCACGAUGUCAGCAUACCAUGGUAAUGCUUCCACACUCAUCAAUUGUUCAUCUAGGAAUGACUCAUUCAAUGGUAAUGUUUCCAUAAUUGUGUCAAAAUGGAGACGAGAGAGAUGGUCCGCCACAACAUUUUCUGUCCCUUUCUUAUCUUUGAAUUCCAAGUCAAAUUUUUACAAAAGUAACACCCAACGAAUUAGUCUAGCUUUUGCAUCUUUCUUUGUGAGAAGAUAUUUAAGAGCAGCAUGAUCUGUGAAUAUAAUUAUUUUACAACCAAUGAGAUAAGAUCGAAAUUUCUCUAAUGCAAACACUACUGCUAGCAUUUCUUUUUCAGUAGUUGAAUAGUUCAACUGUGCAUUAUUCAAUGUCAUAUUAGCAUAGUAAAUAACAUGGGGGAUUCGAUCAACUCUUUGUCCUAAUACUGCUUCUACUGCAUAAUUAAAUGCAUCACACAUGAGCUCAAAUGGUAAGCUCCAGUUUGGGGGCUGAAUGAUGGGUGAUGAUGUCAACAACUGCUUUAGUUUUUCAAAUGCCACAAGACAUGAAUCAUCAAAGAUAAAAGGUACAUCCUUAGCAAGUAAAUUGCAUAAGGGUCUAAAAACUUUGCUAAAAUUUUUAAUGAAACGUCUAUAGAAACCAGCAUGCCCAAGGAAAGAUCUUACUUCUCUGACUGUUUUGGGUGGAGGAAGAUUAUAAAUGAGAUCCACCUUGGCUUUGUCAACCUCAAUACCUUUGCUCGAAAUGAUGUGACCGAGAGCAAUACCUUGUUUUACCAUAAAAUGGCAUUUCUCCCAAUUUAAGACCAAGUUCUUCUCGAUACAUAUCUGCAGAACUAGUGUUAGAUGAUGUAAACAUUGAUCAAACGAAUCACCAAAGACAGAAAAGUCAUCCAUAAAGACUUCAAGGAAUCGUUCAACCAUAUCAGAAAAAAUGCUUAACAUGCAUCGUUGAAAUAUAGCAGGUGCAUUAAAUAAUCCACAUGGCAUUCUCCUAUAUGCAAAUGUGCCAAAAGGGCAAGUGAAAGUAGUUUUCUCUUGAUCUUUUGGUGCUAUGGGGAUCUGAUUGUAUCCUGAGUAGCCAUCUAGAAAGCAAUAAAAUUCAUGGCCUGCUAAUCUAUCAAGCAUUUGAUCGAUAAAUGGUAAAGGAAAAUGGUCUUUACGUGUGACAGAAUUCAACUUUCUAUAAUCAAUGUAUACAUGCCAUCUUGUAGUUACUCUAGUUGGUAUCAAUUCAUUAUCAGCAUUGGUAACUACUGUGACUCUUGACUUUUUGGGGACAACUUGUACAGGACUGAUCCAUGAACUAUCAGAAAUUGGGUAAAUAAUACCUACGUCUAAUAUUAGGAUUUAACCGACGUUGUAUUUCCCUAGUAGAUUUAGCAUUUUCAUCGAGGUGAAUGUAAUGUAUGCAGUCUACUGGGUUUAUACCUUUAAUGUCUGCUAUAGUCCAUCCUAAUGCUCCUUUGUACUCUUUUAAAACAUCCAACUUACCUUUUUAUUCGUCAUUUAGGGAUGAUGAGAUGAUUACCGGCAAAAUACUUUCUUCUCCCAAAAAUGCAUAUUCUAGAGUGUUGGGCAAUGGUUUGAGCUCGAGUUUCGAUGGUGAUUCUGAUGAUGGGAUGAGUUUCUUUUCUGAUGGUGUUAGUUGUUCAACUCUUGACUUCCAUUUAUUAGUGUUCAUGGAUGGUGCUGAGUCAAGUAGGGCGUUGACCUCAUCGACUGAUAUGUCAAUAUCAAAAUCAAAACCAAAGUAAGUUAAACAUGUUUGUAAAGGAUCAUCACUAAGGUUUGAAACAAAAGUGUCAUCAACUAAUACUUCAAUUAAAUCCACAUCAAUAAUUUCAUCAUCUGCAUUGUGAGGCUGUUUGGCAAUGUUGAAGAUGUUCAGCUCGAUAGUCAUGUUCCCGAAGGACAACUGCAUAUUUCCAGUCCUGCAUUGAAUGUGAGCAUCCGUAGUUGCCAAGAAAGGUCGGCCUAGAAUAAUGGGGAUGUGCUUCUUUGAAUCCUGUAUUAGUUGAGUGUCAAUUAUAAUGAAAUCAACAGCAAAAUAAAACUUGUCUACCUGGAUAAGCACGUCCUCUACAAUACCACGAGGUAUUUUCGUGGACCGAUCUGCAAGCUGUAACACCACUAGCGUUGGGUGUAAUUCUCCAAGUCCAAGUUUCAAAAAUACUGAGUAAGGCAACAGAUUUACAUUAGCUCCUAAAUCCAACAAAGCAUUCUCAAUUGUGUAGUUCCCUAUGCUACAUGAGAUAGUGGGGGAGCCUGAGUCUUUGCACUUUAGAGGAAUUUUAUGUUGGAGUAUAGAACUAACGUUUUCUGUUAAAAAUGCCUUCUUUUGAACGUGAAUGUUUCUCUUUUUAGUACAAAGGUCUUUAAGAAACUUGACGUAAGAUGGAACUUGUUUAAUAGCAUCAAGCAAAGGGAUGUUAACACUUACCUGUUUGAAGAUUUCAAGAAUCUCACUUGUGGAUUUUUCCUUCUUUUCUUUCGCUAACCUCUGACGAAAUGGAACUUUCGGAACGUAUUCUCGUGGUUUGGUUUCUUCUCUCUCCUCCGGUGAUGAGUCAUCAACACUCACAAGUACAAUUUGAUUUUCUUUUGUCGCUGGCAUCUCCAUUUUGUUGUCGACUUCUUUUCCUUUUCGCAAGGUCAUGACUGCUUUGACCUCUCCAUGCUGCUGUGGUGAACUGGUACUUGCUUCAUGUACUCCUUUAGGAUUAGGCACUAGUUGACUUGAAAAUUUACCUUUCUCAACGGUCAUUGUCAAGGUCUAAACUGAAGAAGCAAGUUGUCCCAACAUCUUCUCCAGGCUUGAAACUGAUUGGGCUUGCGAGUUGAAACCUGCUCUCAACUCAUUUCGUAGCCCAUCAAUGGUGCGGUUCUGUUGCUCAAUCGUGGAGUGAGUAAGAUUUUUAAGAUUUUGGAAUGAAUCCUCCCAUUGUCUGGGCUGAGUGUAGUUCGGGUUCUGAUUGUAUGGUCUAAAUGGGGGUUGAGAGGCUUGAGGAGUUUGAGAAAUUGGUUGCGUUGGUGGAGCUGGAGCUGCUGGUCCAUUAUGUUGGAAUCAUUGAGACUAUGAAAAAUUAGGGUGGUAUCUCCAUCUAGGAUUAUGUGUUGGAGUAUGGGUUGUAAUUUGAUGGUUUUCUCAUUACACCUAUGGCAUUGGCUUGAUCUGGAUAUGAGUCAGGGUUAUGUGGCUCUGUUGAUUUAGCAGUCGAUAACGAUGCUAUUUGUCGAGCAAGACUUUCAACCAUCUCCUUGACUUCUUUAAUUUCUGAACUCGAUUCGCCAAUGUGAACCUCAUUUACUCCCUUAAUUCUUCUAGUAUUCCUGAGUGACCGACUCCGUUGUUGGGAAUUAUCCGCUUGUCGCUGGAAGAAUUCCCAAAUCUCUGAUGUACUUUUUGACAAUAGCUCUCCUCCACUUGUUGCCAUUAGCCAUUCUUGCACAUUUGGUAGUAAUCCCUCCAAAAAGUAUUGGCAUUGGUGUCAUUUCUCGUACCCAUGAUGUGGACACUUCAAGAGUAGCCCAUUGAAUCGCUCCCAUGUUUCGAAAAAUUGCUCGUCUUCUCUCUGGGUAAACUCUGAAAUUUCCCUGCGAAUAGCAUUGGUUUUAUGCACUGGAAAAUAUUUAUUCAAAAAUUUCGUUACCAUUUGUUCCUAUGAUGUAAUGUUAUUAGCAGGUAAAGUAUUUAACCAUGAACGAGCUCUAUCCUUUAAAGAAAAUGGGAAUAGUCUGAGUUUAACAUCAUCAUCUGAAAAAUUCUCAUAUUUAAAUGUUUGACAAAUAGCAUGAAAAUCAUUCAAAUGAUUAUAUGGAUCCUCAUUUUCUAGGCCAUAAAAUGUGGGAAGACAAUUUAGCAUACUACGUUUUAGUUCAAAGCUCCUAGCAGCUACAUUUGGGUAUCUUAUACAUGAUGUGCUCAAAUUAGCUAAGGGACUGAAGUAGUCCUUAAAUGGCCUCUCCUAUGGUGCUUGUAAAUCCAUUCUAAAUUUAUUUUUAACGUGCCUAUGUGUGCGAAGUGUUUUUUCUAAUUCAAGGUCUAUAGGUUCAAGAUUAGGAAAUAAUGACCUACGACCAUGCAUGCAAGGAAUACAAAAAUAAAUGGGAACAAAACGAAUAAAAAUAAAGAAAAAAGAGAAAUUACGAUACUAACCUUAUUGCGCUGUUACAAUAUUUCUAUAAAAACACACUAAAACAAAUACGUGAAAUAAAUUAACUAAGAAUAAAUUAAUAAGAUAAAAAAAUUACAAAAAAAAAUAAAUUAAAAAUUAAAUUGCAGAAUUGUAAAGAAUAGAGAAAGAAAGAAAUACUAACCUCUAAAUGCAGAUUCACUUUUUUAAAAAAUAUAUAUAUACAAGAAAACAAUUUAAAAGAAAUUAUUCACAAAAAUUAAUUCUAUGAAUUAAAAUUACUUACCUCCCCGGCAACGACGCCAAAAACUUGUUGUGCAAAUUUUACUGAACUCGCAAGUGCACGAAUCUAUUGUAGAAUAGAUUAAUGGAGACGAGUGUCGAUCUCACGAGGAGGUGGAUUUUAAUUAUAUGUAGAAUUAAUUUUGUAUGAGAGUGGUUGGAUUUGUGGUGAAAGUGACUUAGAUUAUCUUAAAAUUGGAAUUAAAAUGACGAGAAUAAAUUCUAAAAUUGGAAUUGAAAUGGCGAGAAUAAAUUGAAGAGAAAUCUAUUGAGAUGACGUACUUGGGUAUCUGGAUCCGUAUCAACAUGCACCGUGGGCUAAAUAUUCCUUAUUAAUACCAAUUAAAUCAUGAGAGGGGAAUCCACACCUCAUGAACCACACUCUAAUCAAUAUGGUGCUAAGGGCUUAUCGUGUCAAAUAAUAAUAACCUUGUACUAGGGGGCCGGUGAAACCAAGGCGGUACUAGACAAGCUUAUUAUUAUUUGUCGACGAGAAGUCAAAACAUCCACAAAAACUAGAAUGGAAGAGAAAAUAAAUUUACCAAAUAAAGCCCAUGACACAUGUUGAGACUUCACCUUUAACCAAAGCUUGAAAGAAAAUUAGCCACUCAUAAUUGAACUAGGGGCAAAAUGAAAAUUUAUUAAAAUACGUAGAAAAUACAAGAUGGAGAAGGAAUUACAAAAAAUGGAUCCCAAAAAUGAAUUCAAAGAUAUCAAAUUAGGGGGGAGAGGCCACCUUUUUAUAAAUACAUGGAGUAAAUCAUGGUCAUCGGAUUAAAAACAGUUUGGACGCUCAGGAUUGCGCCACAUCAUCAGUCAACAGUACGCGGUUUGACCACGCGGAUGAACAGUAACACGGUUUGACCCGGGUUGAACAGUGACAGGGUUUGGUUGAAAAUAAUCCUGUGUGAUGCAUGUACCGUACGCGAGAUUUUUCGUCCACUGAUAUGUUGCCACGUCACCAUCAACAGUACAUAAAAAUUUUAGCCCAACAGGAUCGUGACACCUCAUCAAUCAAUGCCACAUCAUCGGUCAAUGCCACGUCAUCGAUCCGUCUAUGUGAACAGUGUCAUGAACAGUAACAUAGACAGUACCGUACACGUGAAUAGUACCGUACAUGUGAAUAGUGCCAUUUUUUCUUUUAUGCUCCUUCUAAAGUUUUCGACCGUCCUGAGUUCAAAAGUGAUGUCUGUUUUGCCGUCUGAUCUCUCGUUUAUUAUGAAAUGACCAUGAUGCCCCUAAAAUACAUAAAAUACUUAAUUAAAAUAAAACACACAUAAUUAAAUUACAAGAAGCUUAAAUACAUAAAAGUAAGGGUUGUUAGUGAGACUUGAAAUGUAAAAUGACGAUUUUCUCCUUUAUAAAUAUGCAUUUUCUAACACUCAACAAAGCAUUCUUGCCUCAUAAUUACGCCAAACUAUUAUACCAACAGCUACAGAAUUUAAGGCAUGGUAAUCGAUCAGUGGAUGAUUACACUACAGAAUUCUAUUGGUUGGUGGCACGCAAUGACUUGACAAAGACAAAAGAACAGCAGGUUUCCCGCUACAUUGGAGGCCUGCGAUCUUAAUUUCAAGACCAAUUAAAUUUACUUGACCCAUACUUUAUUUCAGAGGCACACCAACAAGCCUUGCAGUUGGAGAAGCAAUUUAGUUGACGUACUAUUGACUCAAGCUUUCGGGGUGUUCGAAGUGUUGUUCAUGAUAAUUCAAACCCGACUUCCCAAUUUCGUAAUUUCAUUCCUCCAAAUCCUCUAAAUAAAACUAGUAAACCUAGUGAAAUCAGUCAAAACAGCAAAACCCAAUCCUCGGGUUCGGGAUUACGCUGUUUUAAUUACGGAGAGAAUGGGCACCGAAUGACAGAAUGUAAAAAGGGAGGAAAAUAUGGUAAAGGCUUAUUCGUAGGCACAGAGGAAAGCGAAGACUAUCAGGAUGAAGAAACUGAAGAGUUCACUGUAGAGCGAACUUUUGAUAGUAGUGGUAGCGCUCAAUCUGUUGAAGAACAUGGUGAUAGCGGACCAAUGUUGAUCGUGAACCGCGCAUUCUUCACUCCUAAAGGUCAAGACAAAGACAAGUGGCUACGACAAAAUAUCUUUCAGACUACUUGCACAAUUGGGGGUAAAGUAUGUCGUAUGGUCAUAGACUCAGGCAGUUGCGAGAAUGUCAUUUCGGAAGAAGCCAUAACAAAGCUAAAUUUAAAGACAGAACCUCAUCAAACUCCAUACAAGCUCACAUGGCUGAAGAAGGGAAAUCAAGUGACAGUAUCGAAACAUUGCUUAGUUUCCUUAUCCAUUGGUUCAAUUUAUAAAGACAAAAUUUGGUGUGAUGUUGUGGCUAUGGAUGCUUGUCAUCUAUUACUGGGUAGACCUUGGCAAUAUGAUCGAAACGUAGCACAUGAUAGGAAGAAAAACACCUACAGCUUUAUGUUUAACAACACCAAGAUCGUUCUCCUACCUAAAAAGGAGUUUACUCUCCAGCAAGACUUGGGUAAUUAUUUGUUAGGCAAGAAGCAAUUUAUAGAUGUUGUAGCAGAGACAAAAAGAGUCUACAUUUUAUUGGGAAAAGAGAGUAACGGUGAUUCGAAGAUUCCUGAAGCUGUGACACCUAUUCUGGCGGAAUUUCAAGAUUUGUUCCCCAAUGAGACACCACAGGGUUUACCACCUCUUCGGGAUAUACAACACCAAAUUAAUUUGGUACCAGGUUCUACAUUACCAAAUCGACCUCAUUAUCGUAUGAGUCCUACAGAACAUAAAGAAUUAAGGCGCCAAGUGGAAGAGCUACUAGAAAAAGAAUUUAUCCGUGAAAGUCUUAGUCCCUGUGCAGUCCCUGCUUUAUUGACUUCAAAGAAAGAUGAUUCUUGGAGGAUGCGCGUGGACAUUCGAGCUAUCAAUAAAAUUACAGUUCGAUAUCGUUUUCCAAUCCCUCAAUUAGAUGACUUGUUAGAUCAACUCAGUGGAGCAAUAAUUUUUACCAAACUUUAUUUGAAAAGUGGCUACCAUCAAAUUCGAAUAGGGCCUGGAGAUGAAUGGAAAACAGCUUUCAGCCUUAAGAGCAGCAAGUUUAUACACAGCAGUAAAAAAGUGUAUUUUCUUGAUAGAGAAAUUAUUAUUUUUGGGAUAUGUGGUGUCGAAGGAUGGUAUAUCUGUUGACCAAUCAAAAGUGGAUGCUAUUCGAGAUUGGCCUCAGCCAACUACUUUAUCCGCCACUAGAAGUUUCCAUGGAUUGACCUCUUUUUACAGGCGAUUCAUUCCUCAUUUCAGUACUAUUAUGGCACCAAUCACGGAUUGCAUGAAAGGAGGACAAUUCUCUUGGACAGAGGCAGCUACUAAGGCAUUCAAGAUUAUCAAAGAAAAGUUGAUUACUGCCCCAGUACUUGCCCUACCAGAUUUUUCGCUCACUUUUGAGGUACAUUAUGAUGCUUCUAAGGUCGGUAUUGGAGCUAUUCUUAGCCAACAGGGUAAGCCUAUAGCUUAUUUCAGUGAGAAGUUGAAUGGAGCAAAGACACACUACAACAUUUAUGACGUGGAAUUUUAUGCAGUAAUCCAAGCGUUAAAACAUUGGUGACAUUAUCUAAUUCAUAAAGACUUUGUUUUAUACACUGACCAUGCCGCGUUAAAGUACCUUAAUAGUCAAGACAAGCUCUCUCACAGACAUGCCACGUGGACAGCAUUCCUUCAACAAUUUACUUUUGUGGUGAAGCAUACCUCUGGUGAAUCCAACCAGGCAGCAGAUGCACUUAGUCGACAAACUUCUUUAUUGACACAGAUACAUAAUCAAGUUCUCAGAUUUGACACAUUUCGAGAGUUAUAUGCUUCCGAUCCUUACUUUGCUCCUAUAUUAGAAGACGUUGUUGCAGGGUUUCGCUCAGAUUAUCAUUUACAUGACGAAUUCCUUUUCAAGAGUAAUCAGUUGUGUGUUCCUGACUCAAGUUUGAGAUUGAAAAUCAUUUCAGAGUUACAUAACGAAGGGCACAUGGGUCGUGACAAAACUCUGGCUUUAAUCGCCAACACUUAUUUUUGGCCUACUAUGAGGCGUGAAGUCUAUCACUAUGUCGAGACUUGUCGCAUUUGUCAAGUUUCCAAGGGCGCAGCAACUAAUGCUGGGUUAUAUAUGCCGCUGCCGAUUCCAACACAACUUUGGGUUGACAUUAGCAUGGAUUUUGUUUUGGGAUUACCCCGCACUCAGAGGGGUAUGGAUUUAAUAUUUGUUGUUGUUGAUCGAUUCUCGAAAAUGGCUCACUUCAUUGCUUGCAAGAAGACUACAAACGCUUUGACUAUUGCUCGCCUAUUCUUCAAAGAAGUCUAUAGAUUGCAUGGUUUACCAAGUUCUAUAGUAUUUGACCGGGAUACACGAUUUCUUAGCCAUUUUUGGAAGACAUUAUGGAAGUUGACUAACACUCACCUGAAUUUUAGUAGUGCUUAUCACCCACAAACAGAUGGUCAAACUAAAGUUGUCAACCGUUCUUUAGGAAACUAUCUACGUAGUCUAGUUGGCGAUAACUUGAAGAUGUGGGAUAAGAAGUUAUAUCAAGUCGAGUUUACUUAUAACCGUGCAGUUAAGCGUAGUACUGGUUUAAGCCCUUUUCAAGUGAAUUACGGAUAUAAUCCACGAGCUCCCAUCGACUUGGCUCUAGUUCCAGAUUUAGUUCGCAAAAGCGGUAAAGUAGAAGACUUUAUUGAGCAGCUUCAGAAGAUUCAUGAAACUACGCAAGAGUCUUUGAAGCAGACGACCGAAGGUUAUAAAAUUAUGGCAGACAAAAAACGUCGAGCUUUGAAAUUUCAAGUGGGAGAUUUUGUUUGGGCUGUCCUAACUAAAGAUAGAUUUUUAGUUGGUGAAUACAACAAGCUUUCUGCCAGGAAAAUCGGCCCUUUGGAGAUUAUAGAGAAGAUAAAUCCUAAUGCCUAUAGAUUAAAGCUUCCUAGUCAUAUCCGCACCGCAGAUGUAUUUAAUGUUAAGCAUCUUAUUCCUUACAGAGGUGAUCAUGAUGGAGAUGUUGUUGCUGACAAUCCGAAUUCGAGGGCGAAUUCUCUCCACCCUGGGGGGAAUGAUGAAGAGUAGGAAUCCAUAUUAUACUAAGAUUAGUUUCCUUAUUAACUACAGUUUAAGACUUUUAAAUUCCUUUCUAAUUUAGAAUUUUGUUUCCCUUUCAAUUUAGGAUUUUGUUUUUACUUCAUGAAUUAGGAUAAUUAUUACUACUAUAAAUAGCUCCCUCUUGUAGCCUUUGAAGGUAGAAUUUUGAGUUUAAUAAUAUUUCAAUUUUCAAAUCUUUUUGUGAGUAUUUGAACAGUUAAUUCUCGGUAUAUUGUGGAAUCAACGAGUCUUAGCCCCUAAGUUCGCGGUAUUCUUUUGAAUCAACGUGAAUUUAGUUGUUCUUUUAUUCUGGUAUUCUUUAGAAUCAACAGAAUAUUUUGAACAUUAAACUUCCGCUGCAUCAACCAAGAACACAUGGAAUGUAAGUUGCAGAGAUCUAUUUAUGGAUUGAAGCAAGCAUCCCGGUCAUGGAACAUCAGAUUUGAUCAAGCGAUUAAAUCGUUUGGAUUCAUUCAGAACAUUGAUGAAUCAUGUGUGUAUAAGAAAAUUUAGGGAAAAUUUGUAGCCUUCCUAGUUCUUUAUGUAGACGAUAUUCUCCUAAUUGAAAAUGAUAUAGGAGUAUUGACUACAAUAAAGAGUUGGUUAACAAGACAAUUUGAUAUGAAAGACUUGAGAGAGGCAAGUUAUAUUCUUGGGGUAAAAGCUUUUUUAGUCCCUAUAUUAUGAGGUUAGUGCCCAUUUAGUCCUAAUAUUUUUAAAAACACCUCAAAACGUCCCUACUGCUAAAUAUUAACACUCAUGCCAUUAUUUUUUAUUCUUUUUAACUUGCUUUUACAAUAUAACACUCUUACAAUAAUGUUUCUUUUUUGGAUAUUAAUAAAAAAUUAGAUUAUCAAAUUAAACUCAAAAAUAAAAUAACAACAAAAAAAGUAUAUAUUAAUUUUUGUGGAAGCUCACGUAUGUCUAAAAAAAUAAUAUUAUAAAAAAUUACAUUAUCAAUUUUUUUAGAAAAAUUAAUAUUUUAACUCAAGAGAGUGUUCCACAAAAAUUAAUAUAUAUUUUUUAUUUUUAUUUUAUUUUUUGGUGUUAAACUGGUAAUUUAUUUUUUUUCUUUUUAAUAAUUUCUAAAAAAAAUUAUUAUAAUAGGGUAAUAUUGUAAAAAUAAGUAAAAGGAACAAAAGAUAAUGGCAAGAGUGUCAAUAAUUUUAUGGUAGGGAUGGUUUGAAGUAUUUUUAAAAAUAUAAGGACUAAACGGACACUAACUUCAAAAUAUAGGGUCUAAACGAGUUUUUACCUUAUAUUCUUGGUAUCAAAUUACUACGAGACAGGAAGAAUAGAACUUUAGCCUUGUCUCAAGCGGUCUAUAUCGACAAGAUAUUAGCUAGAUUUAGCAUGAAAAAUUUCAAGACUCGUUUAUUACCAUUCAGACAUGAAAUUGUAUUAUCUAAGGAUCAAUCACCCAAAACAUUUGAAGAAAUAGAAUGAGACGAGUUCCCUAUGCAGAAGUUGUGAGAAGUCUCAUGUAUGCCACACUUCGCACUAGGCCAGACAUCUAUUUUGCGGUAGGGAUGGUUAGCGGAUAUCAAUCUAAUCUUGGAUCUGAACACUGGACUGCAAUCAAGUAUAUAAUGAAGUAUCUGAAAAGAACUGAGAAUUAUAUGCUUGUGUAUUCUGGUGAUGAGCUCAUUCAAGUGGGUUAUACUGAUUUUGACUUUAUGUCAGAUAAGGAUUCCAGAAAAUCAACUUCUGGCUACGUGUUUACAUUAAGAAGUGGAGCUUUUAGUUGAAGGUGUGUGAAAUAACCUUGUAUCACAGACUCCACAAUUAAAGCUGAAUAUGUGGCUACAUUUAAAGCUGUAAAAGAAGCUGUAUGGCUCCGCAAGUUCCUACAAAUCUUAAGGUGGUACUUGUUGUAACUGCACCCUUUAAACUAUUUUGUGAUUAUGGUGGUGUGAUAGGAACAAAGGAACCACAAGAAACAAAAAUAUAUUGAGAGGAAGUAUCAUAUUAUAAAGGAAUAAUGUAGAAAGGCUAUAUGACAAUACCCCAAAUGGCAUUAGAUGUUAUAUGACAUAUCUUAUUACAAUGGUCAUUAGUGGGAAACCUUUAUAACCUGCACUUAGAGCCCCUAGAGUAUGUGCAAUAUGCCAGAUAUGCUUUAAAGAGUUAGUGGGAGAUUGUUGGGAUUAUGUGCUCUUUUAAAAGCAUAAUAAUUUAUUUUUUGAUUAAUAAAAUAUUUGAGAUAUUUUCAAUUGCAUAAAUAUAUUAAAUAAGGUCUGUUUAAUCAUAUUAUAUGUAUUUAUGUGAUCAUCAUAUGGAUUCACAGAAGACAUAAAUAUAAGUUAUUUUAUGAUUAAAUAAAUUAAGUUCGCAGUUGAUAAAUAGAGUUGGGCGCUCUAUUUAUGUUUAGACUGUAGUAAAUUCAUUGAAUGAUUUAUCUUAAUUAUGUAUGAAUUUACUGAUGUAGUUUGACUACAUUGAGCUGGAUCACAUAUGAGAUUUAAUUAACCUUGAAAUGACUGUCAGACUUAUUAAAUCUCAUAGGCAUUAAUUUUAUUGUAAUCUUAAUCUUGAGUUAGUUAUAAUUUCAUGAUUGUAAUUGUUAUUUCAUUUGAGUUACCAAUGGGCACGACACACACUUGCAGUCAAGAUUACCUGGUAUUUUGGUGGCAGCAAUUAUGAGUAUUGGAGUUAUAAAUUAACAAUAUAGAAUUUGUACAACACAUCUCUUGAUGAGUUUUCGAUACUUGAUCAUAGCAUUCUCUGGCCAGAGUGUGUCAACAUAUUUAGUAUGUUGAAAAUGAUCAUUAGAGAAAACCAGUAUUUAUCAAGGAACAAGAUGUAAUUAAAUUGAUUGGGCAGUUGAGAUAUCAAUUUAAUUAACGAUGUGGUAUGCAGGAUUAUUCAGUAAAGAAAUCAAUGUGGCAUGGGUCGAAUUAUUAUUCGAGAACACUAUCCUGGAUAGUAUACAAUUAUGGAGGUCAACUUCAAUCUUUUAGUGGAGUAGAUUUGGAAUUAAAUAAUUGGGCUAGUUUAAUUACAGGCCUAAUUAUUGUAGUCACUAUUGUAUGUACCCAAAUGAUCCCCGGAUUAGCUCAUUUAAUUGACUGCGCCGCUACUGGAUUAAUAAGCAAGAUAACUAGUUAUUUGGGUUAAAAGCCUAAAUAUAUUAUUUAGUGGGAGGCUUCAUAUAAUGUGCUUGUGUCUAAGGGGUCUUGUGUUAUUUUACAAAGUGGACCCCUAUAACAAGAAGAAGUAAUGUUACUUUUUAUUUUAUUAUUUUUAAUUUAAAUCAAAUUUGAUUUAAUAGAAUUAAAAAAUAUAAAAAUAUGGAGCCUAGGGUUUCCACCAAAUAAAGAUAUAAAAUGACUUAUUUUCUCCCAAAAGCAGAAAUAGCCACAAUAUACAGAUCAAGAGAAAAAGAUUUUUUCUCUCUAAUUUUGAGAGGAAUAUUUUCUCUUACUAGUUGCUUUUAGUAGUGAUAAAGGCGCCCACACGUCAAGUGUAGAUCAAACCUGAGUCAUAACUCGGAAGAUUAAUUGGUGACGAAUCGUGAUCUAAUCAACAUAGUGGUGACAGAUCGUGAUCUGGGAAGCCUGGAUUAAUUUCAAUUGUUCAUCUUCUCAGAUUGUUAAGGUAUGAUUUUCUAGAUUACGUAUUCCUAUAUAUUGGAUGAGAUCGGUCUUGAAAGUUUUUUUUUAACUGAUUUUUCUCCAACAAUUCACUAUUCCAUAAGAUUUGCAUCGUCGCUGAAGGGUUACAAUCCAUAGUAGUACGAAUAAGAUCAGGCAAAAUACCAGCCUCACAUAACGUCUCAUGAAUGAACUCCCAACUUAAUCUGCCAUAAGCCUUCUCAAGGUCAACCUUUAUAAGCAUUUGCCCCCUUUUACCUUUCUUCAUCCUUAUGUUAUGAAUGAUAUCCUGGGCGACAACUAUAUUUUCUGUGAUAUGACGUCUAGCGACGAAACUUGCCUGAGUGGGGCCGAUCAAGUCAGGGAGGAUGACUUUAAUCCUGUUAGCCACAAUCUUAGUAAUAGUUUUGUAGAACACUAUACAGAGGCUAAUAGGGCGAUACAACUUGAGGCUAUUGGGAUGCUUAGUCUUAGGAAUAAGAACAAUCAACGUCUUAUUGACUUCGCUCAGGACACUGUUCCCAGUAAAAACAUUCUUCACCAGGUUGCACGCUGACUCCUCCACCGCAUGCCACUGAGAUUGAUAGAAGACGGCAUGUAGCCCAACAACCCCAGGAGCUUUCAACGGCUGCAUAGUCAACAUGGCUACCACAAUAUUUCUUUGAUAAUGAGACAAUUUAGGGGUGUGCACGGUUCGAUUCGGUUUAGUUCAGAUCAAGAUUGAGUACAACAGAUUAAAUUUGUUUAUUUUAUAAUAAGAACUGAAUACAAUAAAAAACCGAACAUGAUCUUAUCCAUGGUUUGGUUCGUUUCAGUUUUUUCAGUUUUGUGCCUAUUGAGCCUAUUUUGAAUUCCAAAUUUUUAGUUUGUUGGGCCUCAUUAAUAAAAUAAUUUUUCUUAGUAAUCAGUUCAUUAUAGUUUCAUUAUAAAUGCUAACAAUAAACAAAAAGUAUUCAAAACAAAUUUAUCACAACUGUCUUACUAACUAAUGCUAAUGAAAUAUGAAAUAUUAAGAUUUAAGAAUACAAAUCUAGACUCCAAUGCUCCAUCUAAAUAAAUUUAAAGUUGUAAAGAAAAAUAAAAAUAGUAAUAGGUACAACACAAAAUAAAAAUAACAAUCAUGUGUGAGUAGGUUUAUUGUAAUCAUUUUGCAUAGCGAAUUAACAUAAAACACAUUUCAUGUUUUGGUAAAAUUACAAAAACAUUCCAGUUCUUCAGUUCGGUUAUUCGGUUCAGUUAAGUAAAACAAAAUCCACACCGGUAUUUCGGUUUUUUCUUAUAAAUUGGAUAUUCGAAUAUUUAUAAGAAUUAAAACUGAUCCGAACCCGAACUGAUCCACCGGUUCAAUUCAAUUUUUCCUAGGCCUUGGUUUUUUUGCCCACCCCUAGAUGAUGUAUCAUUUCAUUAUAAACAAUAUCAUGAUCGCUUAUGUUGUCUGCUUAUUUUAUUUUAUAUUUUUGGCUACCACAACAUUUUUCUAUAUGGUAACAAUAUAUAAAGCUUCAAAACAUGCAUGGAGUUGAUUUAUUGACAAAAAACAAGGAUAGAACUAGUUUCAGAAACAUAAAUUAAGGUCGAAGAUUACAUAAAUUAAGCUGUUUAUUCAAAAGCCGUGCGUGCAGGCUUUAGGGGAUUAAUGAGAAAAAUGUCAAGAAGUUGAUCAAUUGUGGUGAAUUUAAAAUCAGGGUACAGCUUUGAAGCUUCAAUGCCAUCCUCUCCGAGUUCAAAGUUCAUCAAGUCACCCUUUACAAGUAUGCUGUGUAUAAUGGAUAUUGGUAUGUCUUCUGGAGGUGGUAAAGCUGCCACAAUUGAAGAUGGAAAGGUUGUGGUGAACAUUAAUAUUAAUUUAAGUGUAAAAUGAAUGAGAUGUCAAAGAGAUGGGGGCUAUAAAAUCUUCUAGUCAGGGGUAGAACUAGGUAGAGGUGAAAAUAGGAAUUUUUCUUAGAAUGGGCUAAACUCAAUUUCUUUCAAUUUAAAAAAAAAAUUCUAAAAUUAAAGCCAUUAAAUCACCCUAACAUUAAGGUAGCGUUUACUUUUUGGAUUGGAGUGGGAAUCCUAAGAUUGGGAGUGUUGAGUGUGAGUGGGAGUGGGAGUAGGUUGUUUACUUACAUUGAAAUGGAAGCAUGAAAUGGAGAUCAGAAUUCAAUUUAUGUGUUUACUUUGUCUUGGAUUGGGAGUAAAUAGUUUCAAAUUACAAUUUUUUUCUUAUUUAAAUAAUUAUAAUUUUUAAUUACAAAGUUAAUAAAAAAUAUAUUUAAUGAAUAAACAUUUAUUUUAUUAUGUUUGUAAAUUUAUAAUAAAUUAUUAAUAUUCUUAAUUAUGAACAUCACAAUUUUUUAUUAAUUUUAAUUUUAAUUAUAUAAAUUAAAAAUUAUUGAUAAGGGCAAUAUAAAUGAAAUAUUUUUACUAUUAACAUAGUAUGAAAUUAAUAUUUUCUUAGAAUAAACUAUUUAUUAGUAUUAAUUAUUAAUAUUAAAAAAAUAUAAUACUAAUAUUUUUAAAUAAAUAUAAUAAUAUUAUAUUUUCAAAUAAAGAUGGUAUAUAGUAAUAUUAUUAAUUCUCUAUUAAUAUGAUAUUAUUAUUUUUAAGUAAUUUAGACUUAGAAUCAAACCAAAUUAUUAUUUAGUUAAAUAUAAUAAUAUUAUUUAAAUAAAUAUAAUAUUAUUUAAAUAUUUAUUAAAUAUAAUUAUAGUAAAUUUAAUAAAAAGAGGGUAAAAAAGAAGGGUAAAUAUAAAAUGAAACAUUAUUUUAUUUUAUUUUAUAUAAUUAUAUUAAGUUUAUUAUUAUAUAAAAUAAUAAUAUAAUAUUAUUUAGUACAAAAUUAAUAUUUUCUUAUAAUAAACUAUUUAUUAUUAUUUAUUAUUAAAUAAAUAUAGUACUAUUAUUUUAAAAAUAAAUAUAAUAAUAUUAAUCAAAUAAAUAUAAUAAUAUUAAUCAAAUAAAUAUUAUAUUAUUUAUUUUAUUUUAUUAAAUAUAAAAUAUUAAAUUAAGUUAAAUUAAAUUAAAUUAAAAAGGAUAGAAAAUGGAGACGUGGGAGUGGAUUCCCACUCCCACCUCUCCCCAUGGGAGUCCCACUCCCACUCCCCACUCCAAAAAUGGGUGGGGCUCACGGAGUGGGAUUCCCAAUCCGAAACCAAUUUGUUGAAGUAAACACUGGAGUGGGAGGAAUCCACACUCCUCACUCCCACUCCAGAAAGUAAACACAACAUAAAUUAAUACUUCUAAGAUUGAGAAACACUUUGUAAAUUGAGUUCAUUUAACAUUAAAUGGUUUCUAUUUUAUUGAUUUUUCUUAAAUUUUUAAUUAUCCGACUGUAUUUUGAGUGUGGGUUUUGAUACCCUUAAUUAAACACCAACUUUCAAACAGUUAAAAGUCAAAUGAGUGAUAAGUAUCUUACCAUCAUAAUUUUAUUUGACACUGAGAAAGAUAUGUAGGUCAUGGCCUUCAGGCCUGGCCAAUCAAUGUGGAAAAAAUUUAUAAAAGAUAAGGGUCUGCUUUGAAAUUUAAUUGAAAAAUUUAGCUAUUGACCCCACUAGAUUUACACUUUAGCCCAUAUGGUUCCGCUCUUGCUUGCAGUGAUUUUAUCUUUUUGUAACUUCGUAUAGAAUUAAAUCUUUUUAUCAAAAAAGCUAAAAAAAAAAGAAAUUCUUACUCUGAGAUAGGUUUACUAGUUCUUCCUCAGAAACAUGAACCCUUUUGAAACUUCGACCUGUCUUUUCUUCCCAAACCGAGAUCAAUUCAAGUUGUGAUAUAAUAUUUGUUUGCGGACGAUAAAUCACAAUUCGAUUGCAUGUUCUUGGAUCAUUUAUCACUUUGAUUGUACAAUUAGCUAUAUCUUCCUCGUAAUUGAAGACAACUGAAAUAGAUAAAUAGAUGAUAUAACAUCAUAAAGAUAUUCAACAAAUGAACUUUAAGUGUAAAUUGUUUUUCAAUGUGUGGAGUACUUGUGCAUUGGGAAAGUAUACGUGCCUUUUGCUUCACCAUUUCCAUAAACAACAACAUCAUCAUGUGGCUCAGAUGGACAAAGCAAGACAUUCACAAAGUAAGCACCAUAGCAGUUUGCUGAGACAAAGGUGUAGGGAAUUUCAGCUGCUUCUAUUGCCCUUCUUACUAUUCGUUUUUUCUCCAAGUAAGCUUCAAAAGGAGGCAGAGGCAUUACCCUGUCCUCUUCACAUCCAAACUCAGAUGGAAGAAACCUCUAGCGGCCAAAACUUAGUGUGUUUUAAGAUCAUGUGCAAUAUAAAUUUUAUAAAAUGCAGCAUUGAACUGUAAUUUUAAUAUUAAGACCCAAGUCCAAGUUUGAAUCUCAUAAAAUAUGACACCCAGAACUCCUAAGAAUUGGCCAAAUAUACUCAUGGAUUCUCUUAAUUUCGAAAAAUGUCCAUGGAAUUUCCUUUGACUGAAUAUUUCAUAAUAUCUUUGACUAUAGUAACCCCAAAUAUUGACUUUAUUUUUUUAAUAAAUAUAAUAAGAUAAUAAACAGAGAGUAAAUACUUGUUUAAUUUUAUAUUUUGAGUCAAGUGUUCAUUUAGUUUUUAUAUUUUAAAAAAAAUCUCAAGACAAUCCCGCUAUUAAAUAAACUAGUACACUUACUUUUCUUUCUUUUUACAAUAAUACCGUAGGAACAAUAUUCUUUGAGAUGUUAAUGAGAAGAAAAAAAUAAUAAAUUAUCAAAUUAAACAUAAAAGUAACAAAAACAUUUACACAAACUUUUAUAUUAUUAUUUUACGAUUCAAAUUAAUUGGGUAAAUUAAUUUUUUAUAAAUAAUUGUGUAAUGUAACAUUUUUAACUAUAAUGAUGUUUUGAGGUAUUUUUUAAAAAACAAAUAGAAGCUAAACGGGUGCUUAGGUUAAAAUAUAAGGAUUAAACGAGUAUUUACCCUAAUAUAUAUUUAUAAAUUUUUAUAUUAAAAUUAUUAAUAACGAGACACAUUUUAUUAUUAAUAUUAUAUCUAAAUUUUGGAAAAAGGACAUUAACACCUUCAUGCUUUAGUAAAAGGUCAUGGAGACCUUUUAUUUUUAGAAAUAAUUAGACCCGGGAAAUUUGUCCGAUAAAAUGGUCUCUUUACCAAAAGGAGUAUGCCUGAAAAUUUCUAGACCAUUCACCACUAAAUUAGAGUUUGUGAUUUUAAGUAUUUUAUGCUAAUUGACACUAACUAGCCUUCGCGUUUUCGGUUUUUUGCAGCUAAUUAUCAUUCCUUAGCUUCAAAUCUGCAUUUAUAAAGUGUCAAUAUUUACGUAUGAAAAUUUUCUAAUGCUUCGGAAAAACACAACAAAAGCUUUUUCAAAAGGUAUAGAGUUCAAAGUUCAAACAAAUACCUUGAUGUUACCAGCAACUUUGAUUGCAUCAACAAUUUUCAGUUGAUCAAGAAGUUGGGGAUAAGCUACAGUAGAUAUCACCACACCUACUUCCUUAAGUAUAGAUAUAAUUUUCUCGUGCUCGUCUAGCUCUCCCUGUUAUAAUUUCAACAGUAUUAUUAUUAACACUUAAGCUUAUAAAUAAUAUCGAAGGGUUCCAAUUAGAUCAACACAAAAUUAAUUUUAUAAAAAAAUUAAAAAAAAAACCGAGGUUCGAAUUUCACUCGGACAUUUAAAGGAAAAAAAUAAAAGCAAAGGAGAUCGAGAUAAUUGAGUAAUGAAGUAACCUCAAUAAUGGUGACACCAACCCUGAAAUUCCUUGUGGAUUUCAAGCUUGGAGGUUCUUGAAUUUUUUGUAACUGGUCGAGCAUAAACAAAAGUAUUGUGACCAGAAGAAACACUUGCUUUCGCCAUAUACUUACCGAGGUAUCCAGUACCCCCAAAGAUAAGUAUCUUUGGUUUUGUGUUCUCACCUUCCAUUUCUUCCUUUCACUUCAAUUUAUCUUUCAUAUAUCUUCCCUUCCCAUUUUACAUAUUUAUAUAUGAUAUCAGGAACUCACAUUUUUAGUGUUGAAAAUGUGAGACUCGACGGGGACUCAAUUGAUGGUGUUUCCCUGCAAUAAUGUUGUACGUUCUAAAUGUUAAAAUCAAUGGAGCUAUUUCAGCCGUUCAAAAAUCCGAAAAUUGUCUCCUUAUUUCUGAAUCUCCUUAUUUCUGAGUGAGAUAAAUUGAUAACAUCUUUUAGUGUGAUAAAUUUGUAAUUUUUUACAUAGUAAUUCUAUCCCAUCGUCUUUGACUGGUACGAUUUUUUUUCCUCUCGAUAGAGAAGUUUUUGAAGUAGUACUUGCAUCCUCGAUAGAGUUUGUUCUCCAUCUUUUUUUACUUUGAUAUAUUACUUGUUUCACAUAUUGAUUGCGCUUAUAUCUUAAUGGAAUCAUAAUUUUUCCACUCAUGAAUUCUUAUUUAUUGAAAACAGUUUUACAUAUUCAUAUGAAACAAUUUUUCGGAUAUUAAAAAUAAGAAGAAUACGAUUCAAAAUUUUGAAUUAAUCUUAACUUCUCAGUGCUAUGUUUGAAUCCCAUAUCAAACAUACCCUAAACUUUAAGAACAUAAAAUUCACAUAUAAAAAAUAAUUUGAGUGAAAAAAGAAAAUGAAAGGAAUUUUUUUUCCGAAUUUCCUUGGUGUACUUUUUUUAAGGGAACCCAAUCAUAAAACUGGUUUAUGAUUAACGUAUAUUACAUAGUUUACACAUAAAUUGACAAAAUCAGCCAUGAUUCUUAUGUUUUUCCUUAUAAAUGGAUAAUUUAAAUUUGUGAUAGUAUAUAUUUUUUUAUUUUUCUUUAAAUGAUAGAGUAGUAGAUAAAGUUCAAAUUAACUUUUUAACUCCUUAUUUCUUUUAUCUUUAAGAUUCAAAUUCGGAACCAACCAAAUAAUACCAUUUGAAAAUCACUCUUUAGCCUCGAGACAAAUAUGUGAUAACAAGUUUUUGGUUGAUAAAUAAAAUGACGACGUUUCCUAUGCAAAAUGAAUGGUGUCUACUGCUCAAUGCCACGAGCAACUUUUGUGCGUAAUUGCAAUUGCAAGUGAAGUAAUUUGAGAGUUUUGAGAGAUCUUCUACUUGAGUGCUAGGAGGAUUCAAUUGGGUGUAUUGGGGUUGUGGGUUUUUAAGAGUUUUUACCACUUUUGUAAAUUCUCAUUUAUUAGUAAAAUUAUCUUCUAGGUUUUGCCCGUAGACGUAGGUAUUACGCCGAACCACGUAAAUUAUUGUGUCAUAUUUUCUUUGUAUUUUUUUAUUCACCAAAUUUAUAUUUCUCCAGAAAUUGCAGUCGCCAUAAUAUUGGUAAUUGCUCAACCACAAGCUUCCGCAACAAGGUUUGCCUCUAAACAUUCGUUCAUGAAUGGGCAUUUUCGCUGCUCUGAAUGUGUCCUGAUCUUUCAAGAAUCAUAACAACCAGACAAACCAAACACAUUCUCAGUUGACAAUUAUUUUUUACACAAUAUGACAAAUUUAGAGCAGCAAAAUAUCUGAGCAUUUAUAAAAUAUCUUCAAAACAAAUUUAUGAAUGCUAGAAAUAUCUAAGCAUCUAAUAAAUUUCUUUUAAACAGAUAGAAAUAUCUAGGCAAAAGUUGUAGUUAAAAAUUAGCCACAACGAAAAAUUCUAAAUGUGUGGUCACCUAGUGUUUGUAAGGCCUAUAAAGACAUGGCCAUGUCUCCAAUUCAAGCAAUGAAGUUAAGAACAAUAAAAUCUUCCACUAGUAAAAUCCUUUCCACUUCCCUUUAUCUUUGAUCAAAUAUUAUUGAUCAAAAAUAGUUUCCACUUUAAUUAUUUUAGCCCACUAUCUACCCCUGCUCCAACACCUGCCUUCUGCUCCCUCAAUUUUUGGGAACCGAAUCUAAAAUUAUUUUAUAUCAUUGAAUUUAAAGGGGGAAAGAUCAAAAUGGAAGAGUAUGAUAAGUUUCUUUUGAAGGAUGAAUUAUUUUUUCAAUAUUUCUUUGAUAAUGUAUUAUUUUCAGUAUAAACUAUAUCGUGAUUAGUUAUGUUUUCUACUUAUUAUUAUUAUUAUUUUAACAUCACGGCAUUUUUCUAUAGAGUAAAAAUAUAUAAAUGCUUAAAAAUAUGCAUGGAGUUCCAUGCAUGUUCUGUUAUUCUUUCUUUUGAUUUAUUGACACAAAACAAGGAUAGGACUAGUUUUGGAAACAUAAUUAAUUAAAGUCGAAAAUUACAUAAAUUAAGCUGCUUAUUCAAAAGCCGUACGUGCAGGCUUUGGGGGGUCAAUGAGAAAAAUGUCAAGAAGUUGAUCGAUUGUGGCGAAUUUAAAAUCAGGGUACAGCAUUGAAGCUUCAAUGUCAUCCUCUCCAAGUUCAAAGUUCAUCAAGUCACCCUUCGCAAGUGCGCUGUGUAUAAUGGAUAUUGGUAUGUCUUCUGGAGGUGAUAAGGCUGCAACAAUUGAAAAUGGAUAGGUUGUAAUGAACAGUAUUAAUUAAGUUUGAAAAUAAAUGAGAUGUCAGAAAGAUUGAGGCCUCUGAAAUCUUAUAGUCAAGGGUGGAAUUAGGCAGAGGCGAAGAUAGUAAUUUUUCUUACAAUGUGGUAACUAAUUUUAUUAAUUUAAAAAAAUUCUAAAAUUAAAGCUGUUAAAUCACCCUAACAUUAAAUAAAUACUUUUAGGUUUGAGAAACACUUUAUGAAUUAACUUCAUUUAAUAAGAAAAAUUAUUCUAUUGUGACAUCAUAUGCAAACUGGCACAAUUAAAUAGUUUUUAUCUCAUUUUCUUAAUUUUUUAAUUAUCUAAUAAUAGACUGUGGGGUAUGAUACCCUUAGUUAAAUACUAACUUCAAACAAUUAACAUUCAAAUUAGUGAUAAAUAUCUAACACAAGAAACAUAUAUGGUUAUGGUAAAAAAUUUAUAAACGAUGAGGGUCUGCUUUGAAAUUUAACAAAAAAAAUUCACGUAUUGACCCCACUAGAUUUACACUUUGGCCCAAUGGAAUAGAACAUCAUUCUGGUUCCGCUCCUGCUUGUAGUGAUUUUAUCCUUUUAUGACUUUUUAUAAAACUAAAUAAUUUUAUAAAAACAAUUAAAUAAAAAAUCAAAAUUCUUACUCUGAGAUAGCUUUACUAGUUCUUCCUCAGAAAUGUGAACUCUUUUGAAACUCCGUCCAGUCUUUUGUUCCCAAAGGGAGAUCAAUUCAAGCUGUGAUAUAAUGUUUGUUUGCGGUCGAUAAAUCACAAUUCGAUUGCAUGUCCUUGGAUCAUUUAUCACUUUGAUUGUACAUUUAGCUAUAUCUUCCUCGUAAUUAAAGACAGCUGAAAUAGAUAAAUAGAUGAUAUAACAUCAUAAAGAUAUUCAACAAAUGAACUUUAAGUGUAAAUUGUUUUUCAAUGUGUGGAGUACUUGUGCAUUGGGAAAGUAUACGUGCCUUUUGCUUCACCAUUUCCAUAAACAACAACAUCAUCAUGUGGCUCAAAGGGACGAAGCAAGACAUUCACAAAGUAAGCACCAUAACAGUUUGCUGAGACAAAGGUGUAGGGAAUUUCAACUGCUUCUAUUGCCCUUCUUACUAUUCGUUUUUUCUCCAAGUAAGCUUCAAAAGGGGGCAGAGGCCUCACCCUGUCCUCUUCACAUCCAAACUCAGAUGGAAGAAACCUCUAGCAACCAAAACAUAGUGUGUUUAAGAUCUGUUCUAUAUAAACAAAUUUGAAGCAAUUCAUCACUGAAUUGUAAAAAGACACUAAAAGGUUACCAAGACACAAAUACGAAAUUAAAGUUUGUGAUUUUAGGUAUUUUACUAAUUAAGUAGCUCUCGUAUAUAUUUUUACAUCGUUUAUGACUAACUACUAUUGCCUAGUUUAAAUCUACAUUUACAAAAUGUGGACAUCUACACUUAAAAGUUUCUAAUAUUUUCCAAUUAGCAAACAAACUAUAUUUCAAUUUCUCCCCAAAAAAAAAAAAAACAACAACAUGAUUUGUUUUUUUUUAAAAAAAAGAAAGAGCUCAAUCAAAUACCUUGAUGUUACCAGCAACUUUGAUGGCAUGAACAAUUUUCAGUUGAUCAAGAAACUGAGGAUAAGCUACAGUAGAUAUCACCACAUCUACUUCCUUAAGUAUAGAUACAAUUUUCUCGUGCUCGUCCAACUCUCCCUGUUUUAAUUUCAACAGUAUUAUUACAAAUAAUAUCGAAGGGCUCCAAUUAGAUCAACACAAAAUUAAUCUCAUAAAAAGAAGUAUAAGAGGUUUGAGGUUCGAAUUUCGUGCGUGCAUUUAAAGGGGGAAAAAAAGAGGAAAAAAAAAAGAAACAAAACCAAAGGAGAUCGAGAUAAUUGAGUAAUGAAGUAACCUCAAUAAUGGUGACGCCAAUACCCUGAAAUUCCUUGUGGAUUUCCAGCUUGGAGGGUCUUGAAUUUUUUGUAACAGGUCGAGCAUAAACAAAAGUUUUGUGACCAGAAGAAACACUUGCUUUCACCAUAUACUUACCGAGGUAUCCAGUACCCCCAAAGAUAAGUAUCUUUGGUUUUGUGUUCUCACCUUCCAUUUCCUCCUUUCACUUCAAUUUAUCUUUCAUAUACCUUCCCUUCCCUUUUUACAUAUUUAUAUAUGAUAUCAGGAACUCACAUUUUUAGUGUUGAAAAUCUUAUACACACAGAAUCUGGUAAAUUUGUUUUCUUGAAAAAGUUGCUUCACCUAAACUAUUAUUUUUUAAUUUUCAUCAAUAAUCAAUAUUCUUAACCACAUAAAUUUUAUUGCCAUUAUUGUUCCCUGAAAAAAAAUUAUUUAAUUAUAAAUUUCAAUAGCUAAAUUUAUUAUUAAAAUAUUUGAACUUUUUCAACCGCGAUAAAAAGAAGUCUAACCCGACCAACAAGUGCUAAAUUUUGUACAUGUUGAAAAUUUGACUUGAAUGUGGGAAAACAUUAAAGACAAUAGGAUAAAAUAAUUGGAAUCAUGAUUCUCUCUUUAUCUGGUCUUUAUAUGAACAGAUUUUAUUAACACAAUUAGUGGUUAAUAAAUUAAAAAGAAAAAAAAUUAAAUCUUAAUCCUACACUAACACUAAAACACAGAUGGUAUAAGAUUUAUAAAAGAUCAAGAGUGUUCAGAUCAUGGAUAUUAAUCCAAAUAAUUGCUCCGCAAAAGAGUGAUAAUGAAAUAGCAAAAUUCUUUGACAAUUUUGUUCAUGCAACUAAAUAGCAAGUGGUGAGAGCAAAAACAAAUAAAAGGCCAAAGCCUUUUUGGCUUUAGAAUUGAAAAGGUGGGGUCCAUUUUGAAGAUUCUAUAAGCAGCCUUUUGGCUUUUGGCUUUUGGCUUUUGGACGAAGAGGAGAGGGAGCCGCCAAAGGGGAAGAAAAAAGGCAGACGCAAGGCAGAAAAGGAGAAGAAUAGUGGCAGCAGCAGUAACUUAAUUCUCCAUGACGGGUUUUAUUUGUUUUGUUGCUCCCUAUUUAAGUAUGUCUAACUAAUUUUCUUAUACUGAGGUUAAGGAUGAAAUCAUAUUUAAUGAAAUAAUUAUGUUUUUAUUUAAUUAAUUCCGCUUUAAUGUUUAUGAUUUUUGUUGAAAAUGUGAGACUCGACAGUUCAUGUGGGGGACUCAAUUUGUGGUGUUUCCGUGCAAUAAUGUUGUACGCUCUAGAUGUUAAAAUCAAUGGAGCUAUUUCAGCCGUUCAAAAUCCGAAAAUUGUCUCCUUAUUUCUGAGUGAGAUAAAUUGAUAACAUCUUUUAGUGUGAUAAAUUUAUAAUUUUUUACUUAGUAAUUUUAUCUCGGCGUCUUUGACUGUUUACACAUAAAUUGACAAAAUCAGCCAUGAUUCUUAUGUUUCUCCUUAUAAAUGGAUAAUUUAAAUUUGUGAUAAUAUAUAUUUUAUUUAUUUUUCUUUAAAUGAUAGAAUAGUAGACAAAGUUCAAAUUAAAUCCUUAUUUCCAUUAGUUUUAGGAUUCAAACUCGGAACCAACCAAAUAAUACUAUUUGAAAACCACUCUUUAGGCCGGUGACAAAUAAGUGAUAAUAAGUUUUUGGUUUAUAAACAAAAUGACGACGUUUUCUAUGCGAAAUGAAUGGUGACUAUUGCUCUAUGCCACGAGCGAUUUUUGUGACUAUUCAGAUUCUCACAUGAAUAUAUAAUACAAUGGUUGAUUGAUAAAAGGAUGACGGGUCUUUUGUGAGCUUUGUAGAUAUAUUUUUCUUCCAUUUGUACUAUUGAAAAAAAAGAAAAAAUGGAUCUGAAUCUUCAAUUGAUUUUUUAAUUGUUUUAAGGGGAAAUUAAAGCACUUACGUGGUUUUGUACAAUUUUUAUAAAUAUAUAUAGUUGUUUUAAAAAAUAGUGACAUCGUCUCUUCUUACGACAACUAUGUCUUUUAUUGUAGCGAUCAAAUUAUUUUUAUCUAGGCGUAAUUAUUCAAAAAGUAUCUAUAUAAUCAUUUUGCUAAAUGACGAAAUGUGACCAUUUUUUUCUCAUUUUUUUUCAUUUACAAUGCUGAUAUUUUCAUACCACAAUUUUUGUAAACCCACCCCACUUCAAGAAAAUAAUUAUAAUAAAUUCACAUUAUUUUUAAGAAAAUUCAAAUAAAGAAGAAGUUUGAGAAGUAAUUAAUUAAAUCUACCUUGAUUUGUUUUGUGACUUUAAUUUUUUUUAUCAUAUUUGACUAAAAAGAUUGCUUUGUCAUAAUUUUAAAUUGAUUAUUUACUCUUAUAAGGUAAAAGUACCAAAAUACCAAAAAAUUUACUUUAAGUUCAGAAUUUUUGAAUUUUAUACAAAAUUUAUAAUUUCUAAAAAAUGUAUCAAAACAAAUUUAUUAGAAUGAUUAUUAAGAUUUAGUUAAACUAACAAAAUAUUUUUAUGGCAUAAGACUCAUGUAAUUUAUUGGAUGUCAUGUUGUAAGUCACAAAACUAAAUACCUAGAUUGUUAGAUAUAGGAAUAUUAUCACAUUAUCUUUGGAUAAUUUGGUCAUUUUAUGUAUCUUGGGUAAAACAUUGAAAUAAAAUUUAUCUUAACCAACCUUAAUAGCAAAUAUGGUUAAACAAACAUAAGUGAAAAAAAUACAUAAGAAUUAAUUGAUUAAUUGCCCAAUCUCUUUGUUUAUCUCUAUUUUUUGAAAAUAAUGUGAGCUUAUUAUAAUACUUCUAUCUCCCUCAAGAUUUACAUUCGGGUGACUAGCCAAAUAUAGAUGCUUGAAAACCAAAAGGCUUGGGGAAAUAAGAAAAUCUUAUAUAUUUUCACUAUCUGUUUCAACAAAUUUAUACACAUGGAAUCUGGUAAAUUUGUUUUCUUGAAAAAGUUGUUUCAAUUAAACCAUUAUUUUUUAAUUUUCAUCAAUAAUCAGUAUUGUUAACCACAUAAAUUUUAAUUCCAUUAUUGUUCCCUGAAAAAAAAUUAUUUAAAUAUAAUUUUCAAUAGCUAAAUUUAUUAUUAAAAUAUUUGAAUUUUUUUAAACCGCGAUAAAAAGAAGUCUAACCCGACCAACAGGUGCUAAAUUUUCUACAUGUUGAAAAAUUGACUUGAAUGUGGGAAAACAUUAAAGAAAAUAGGGCAAAAUAAUUGCUCGGUAAAAGCGUGAUAAUGAAAUAGCAAAAUUCUUUGACAAUUUUGUUCAUGCAAUUAAAUGCCAAAUGGUGAGGUUGGGGAUCAUUGAAGAAGUUGAAUGGUCUUUGGCCAUUAUGAAUGGUCGAUCCGCAAUUCAUUCAUGAUUUUUCAAUAUUUGCUCAUGGAAAUGGCGGAUAUUUCACCGGAUUUUGGACCGCAAGCUUAAGGCGAUCCUUACACGCCAUCUGUUGAAAAAUUCAAAAUUGAAAUUCAAAUACACAUGCAUGCAUUCAACUUUGAAGAGGUAAAUUUGAAGACAAAUUCCUUGCAUGCAAAUUUCAAGCACACCAAUAUUGAGCUAGCGUGAUCCAAUUGCAUGUGCUAAUUAUGUUGACCAGCUUUAAUUAUAUUAAAUAGUUUAAGAUAUUAAUUUUUUUUAUAUUUUAUAUUAAAUAUAAAUCAUGAAUUGUUUUAGAACUUUUUGAAAUUAAAAAAGUUUGGUAUUAAUAUUAAAUUAUAUUUUAUUAUUAAUAUAGAUAAUUUAAUAUUUAAGGCAAAAGAUAAAUUUGUCCAAAAAAAUUUACAAUUCCUUUCCCUAUUAAAUUUUAUGUCGAACCAAAUAAUGAAAUUUAAUUUCACUAUUCUCUUCCACUCCUCUCUUCUCCUUUCCCUCCAUUCCACUCUUUUCCUCGCCUUCCUUUUCUUAAAACCAAACACCACCUUAUAGCUAUUAUCGUCGCAAGCAUAGCGGAACCCAAGCUCAUGCUCAUGAUAGCACAACGUGGCCUACGGUGGCACCACGAUGUCCCCAGAGUCAUAGACAAACUUCGCAUAUCGACAGCCCGUACAGUAUAGCGGAUGCACAUCUAAACCUCAUGAUUCCGUAACACAGCUAGGCUUAAGGCCAACUACUGGCUAUACUGACUACUUACUAUUGUUCUAGAGCAGGGAAAGUCUUCAAGAAUGCUGCUACCGAAUGAAGUUCGUCUUUCCCCCCUUUCCCUAUAAUAAAGUGCAGGCCCCCGUAGAUAGAUAUCCCAUAUAGCCCCUCCUCAAGUCGACUUUUUGCCGUUGAAUCCCGAAGAAAGAAUAAAAUAGACAAAAUUCCUAACAAAAAGAUAGUGAUGGUUCCUCUUUGAGGGCCCGAAGGGCAACGUACCUAAUAGAUAAAGGAUUUUUCAAAUGGGAACUCAUCUUGUACUGCGACUUAAACAAUCAUCGUAGGAAGGGCCGGAAACUUGCGUUUUCUUAUGAUAGAUUGUACCAUGAUUAUCUUCUAUUUAUAUUCCCUAGUCUAUCUUUCUUCAAGUGAGAUAGUUGAGCCCGCCCCAAGCGGAACCGCAUGAGUUCACCGGGGUUGAGCACGGUCAGCCAAAAUCGGCAUAGGUUAGGUGCUAUUGAUGGAACAUGGUAAGCCUAUCUUUCUUCUCCAUAUAGAAGUGCUGUGGGAUUAAAGGAGUUGGAAGAUGAGCAGGAGUAUUCCCAAUCGACACUCCUAAAAAAGAUAAUAGGUAAUAUGAUAAGGAAUAGGAACAACAAAAGCAAGUCUUUUGAGUAUAAUCCUGGUAUCUUUCUACAAUCAUCUUUGUGGUGCAGACCGAUCAAUCCCCGAAAUAAGAUCACUUAAAGGAAAGGAGUGGAAAUAAGAUAGGUCUAUAUUCCUAUAGAAAGAGAAGCCCUUUCCCUCCCUACAUGAGUGAGUUGCCAAGUGCCUCCCGGGAGGGCAGUCUACCACAAGAUCUUACUCAUGAAUGUCAAGGAAGAAAAAGAAAGACAGGUAGGUUUGUAAACUAAAGCCAGAAGCCCGGGAAGAGGUGUUCUCCAUUAGUAGAAGUAAGUGGCUGAGUUAGCAAAGCCUACCCUACUAAUGUAUUGUAUAGUAGCGCCUUUUCCUUUUUGAAUAUAACUAAGGCUAGCCUGCUGGUAGUAGAAGGAAGCAGAGAUUCAGGCAGUUAGGCAUCAGUUUGAGUUCGAGAUCGAGACCCCAUAGAUAAGGUAGAUGUUAAUAGAUCAGUUCGGUCUCUGAGGCCGUCGAGUAAUCGUAAGUAAGUAGCAGCUAUCUCCGACCGAGCAGGUGUAGGGGAAGAAAAGACAUAACAAAAAAAAUUGUGUAAAAUAAAUGAAUUUAUCUAGUUGAGGCAUGCUUGAUUGCGCAUUCCUUUACGCAUUCCGCUGACCUUUCCAUUACCGUGGGAAAGCCUCACUCUCGGUGAAACAGAUAACAAUAUGAAUAAGCGGUUGUCGUCCGGCGGUCGGUAGCUCUACUAAGCGAAUAACCGCUCGCUGCCUUUUCUUCGCGAAUAACAUGUGUAGGUAGCCCAGGAGAAGAGAAGCAAGCUACCUUCGCCUACCUCCCCACCGCUCAUGACAAGCAACCAGCAGACUAGGUUUCAUUAUUAUAUAGGACUUCUUUUGUGCUACCACGCCUCUCUUGACCUCUGCUUGCAUCUCGAGAAAGUAUAAGGGUUGCCGAAGGUGAGGGAAGAGAUAUCUAAUUUGAUAUCUUAUGAUAUAUUGAAGUUGCUGCAGCAGUUUGGUUUCACCUCUAGAUGGUGUGAGUGGAUCAGGGCUUUCAAAACCUUUCUUUUUUCGGUAUGCCGCUCCGCGAGCAAGGAGUGCCACGCACGAGCGGAGCGAAAAAAAAACGGGUCAAAGAUUCCAUUGGAAAGGUAGAUGACAUUUCUGCUGUUUCGGUAAUGCCUGAGCAGGGGCAGCCCAGCCUUAGUCUAACUAAGUAUUCUAUCCAUACUAUGACACUACGCAAAAGAACCAAGCAUAGUGUGAAAUGUGAUAAUACAAAUAGGGGCAUGCCACAUUCUUGGUUUAAGUAUACUAGAACAUAUUCCAUUUUGUUGACGGUGAAUGCCUGUCGAGCCACUAGCGGAAAAAUAAUAAAAAAAGUUUCUAAAAAUAAAAAAUACUAAAAAAUAAUUGAUAAGGGGGGUUGAGCAUCCUUUGUAAAGCACUUUGCUGGCGCUACGCUAUCAUGCUACAACUAGCAGCCCCUUUUUGCUAGUUUUAUCUAUUAUUAGUUAGGGCUUUUCCCUAACUAAUAGCGAGAGAGGGAGUGAAAGAGGCUGGAAAGUACGAAGCAGGUUCUAUGCAAUUGAGCUCGACUGAAAAGAAGAUUUCUUACUUAGGCCCAGGAGAGGAGGGCUCUUAGGGACUGAGGGAGACGAGUGGAUUAUAGAGCUAGGAGUGGAUCGAGGGUUUGUCCAUUGGGAUUGGUUUGAUAUGGUUUACGUGUUAUUGGUUCCUGGAAGAGUUAAUAUCUCCAUUAACUAAACCCUUUGUUACCCUAGGAUAGAUUCAUGAAAUGAGCAAGCAUCUGAUAUAUUUUACACCUUUUCCUAACGCCUAUGUGACUUGCCAAAGCCGUCGCUCCGUAUUUCUUGCUUAAAGUGCCGCAACUUAUACCCUUUAAAGCUGCGCUUUAAACUUAACGGCAUUUGAGCAUCCGUUUUCUUGCUCCUUGUCCUGGACGCUCUCCGGCCGGAGAGAGGCUUGCUAUCGUAACCUUUACAAGCCAUGAUCUAAAAGUGAUUGCCCCCCAGGCGAGAAAGACUAAUCUUCGAAUUCCACUUGAAAACGAGUCUCGUCCUUAUUUUUCUAAGAAGUUACUAUCCCCAAUAGGAUUGGAACUCUAGUUGUUCAAGUUCCGUUCACCUCAUUUUCCUUCCAAUUAGUGAAAUUCUAUCUAUUUCUUUCUUGGGGAAUUGUGGUCGACCCCGACUAGAUGACCUGGACUUGAAGAAGGACAGGCUUUCGCAAUGAAAUCUUUCUCCAAAUAAUGCCUUGAUUACAUAAAUAAUCGACUCCGCUACACCUACCCGUGGUAUAGGUGUGUUCAAACACACCACACCAUUUUUUUCCUUUUGAGAGGGUACUCCGAGUAGUGGGUACCUUGUAGGACCUCAACCCGCCUACUUGGGUCUUGUAUGGAUAUGCAGGAAUAUCUUUAGCUAACCCCUACCUUCUCUAAAUACCCAGGUUAUGUGAUAUCAGAUCGCAAUUCUGAUUCUUUUGCCAUCACCUUCUAUUACUUCCUUGGUCGAGCAUCUAUCAACACCUGACGAUGAGGAGAGUGAUCGAUUCACCAUGUACCUGAUUCAAUACAACUAUCUAGCCCUAUUAUUGAAGCACUUCUUUAUAUACGUCGCCAUUUGACGAUCUGUCUUUAGUAGGUCGUCUAUUCUUUCUUACCGAGAAUCGAGCGUAGGGCUUGAAGACCCUACCGCAUUCCGGCCCCGGGGCUCUCAAUUGGUCAUUUCUCUCUUCUCUUUUACCAGUGAGUGGUGAGUUACAUAUGUACCUUUAGUAGUCUAUUAUCUCAUACGCUACCCUAACUACCAUAUGUACUUUUCUUCUGCCAUCUAAUCAACCCAUUGAUUCAGUCUUGGAAGGUGGUGCGUACCAAUGGCAUUUAUUAAGUCUUUGAUGAAGUGGUUUUCUUGCCUGACGAAGCCCUUCAAACUAUACUUACACCUCAGCAGCCGUUAAUAGCAAACCUAACCUGGUGGAUCCUUGCGCUUUAUGAAAGUACGUUGUACUGGCUUUCCUUCCCCUAGUUGUCAGUGAGACUUAUUUUCUUUAUUUUCAAGGCUUCUCAGACUCUUGUGGAUUCGUCUCUUUCUUCCCUCACUUGUGACCAGCUUCUCUUGUUGUUGUUCCUAGAAAAAAGUAGAAGUCAUGUGACAACCAGUGCUUUUUCUCAGCGCGUUCGUUGGAGUCGUGGAAGCGAAGCAAGGCUCGUUAUAGAGGAAAUAUGGAAUCCUCUAGAAAAAAAGUGGAACCCAUGCCCCUAUUCGCUUGAAAGAGCUUUGAUCACGACUGGUUGUAAACAAACCAUUGUCUUGCCUCUGCUUUCUAUCGAGCUCCGCUCUCCCCGCCCCAUUCAUGGCUUGCUGUUCCCCAAACUCUUUCUGGCAAAAUUUUUUCGAGAUUUUGAAACUUAUUGCACCUAACCUUUGGGCAUAUAAAAACAAGAAAAGGCACUACCUGCGGAAGAGAAAGGGAGAGGAAAAAUAGUACGCAUGUCAAUCUAUUCUACAUCAAUAUUGUUCAAGCGAAAAUUAAAAUGGGAUGUCUAAAUGAUGAAUUUCUAAAUAAAAAAGAAAUAGUGAGUGAGAAAGAAGAUGUGAGUCCAAAAGGCAACAAUCAAACGACCCUUUAUUAGGAAGGUUGCUUCCUUGUCACACAUGUCGUCUUUGGCUCGUCUCCUUCCGUGAUACGCACCUGGUAGUAGUAGCAGCCCGGCCGUAAAUCCAACUUCGAGAAGUAAAAGAAAAUCAAGACAGAUGCCCAGAGAAACUGUUAGACUUCUUUAUUGCGUUGCGAAGAGAGAUCUACCGUUUAUCCACCAAUCUGCCCUGCUCUUUAUGAGCUGAGUUAUUCCAUAUGAAAAAAAGGAAUCCAAUCGUCUACCUAAGUCACUUCUAGAUUCUUCUUUGAUUCGCGAGAACUCGCUCAGCCUAACCAAAGCGUCACAACAACAUCCAAAGGUUGACAAAGUCAAUGCUACUAAGGACCGGGGUGAGCGGAAUUUAGUAAAGGCUCCUCAUUUCACUUCAUCCACUGAUCAAUGUCCUCGCAGAUGGACUGAGCAUCAAACGCUUGGGGGAGGAGACUGAACAAGAAGCAAAAAUUCUAUUAAUUAGAUUCCACUAUCAAGAGAAGGAAUACCCGACAAAGUCCCAUAUCCUCGUCACUAGCCUUGGAGAGGAAUCAACUCAACCGAUCUCUCUCUGUCUUCAUCUCUCAAGGACCCUGACGGAACUACAUGAAAAGCUAAGCAAAGGCGAGUAACGUUUCCCUCCGCGGGGGCCGAUUCCUCCUCUCUCCUUUCCUUAAUAAUAAGGUAAGUUUUCAAGCCGCUUUACUUGCUUGAUAUUCUACUAGUAAAGCGCUAGAGCCCCCCUUGUAUAUGAUCUCUUCACAAAAAGUCACACCAAAGCCAUUAAAAUUGAAAAUGGCCAAAGUUUUUUUCAUGCAUUCAUAUUGUAAGCUUUGCCUAUAAAUAGAGAAGUAGAAUGCAUUUGUAAAGCCUCCUAAUUUGUGAGAAGUAGAGAGCAAUUGCAAGUGAGCUCUUUGAGAGAAUUUGAGAGAGCUUCCACUUCAGUGUUCUAGUGAGGUUUUUUGAAUUUUUGAAUUUUUUAAAUUUUUUUGGUUUUUUUUAAUAAACAAAGCACACACUAUUCCCACCCUCAAACUUAUUCGGAACAUUGUCCUCAAUGUUUCACAAACAAAAGAUAUGCAUGCAAAAAGAUGAGAAAAUAAAUAAAUAAUAAAAGAAAAAGUUAGAGAGAACACACCUAGAUGGGCUGGAAAAGCUUAAAAGAAAAUGAUAAAUAAAAAGAAAACGUUAGAAAAGAAAAAUACUAGAAAAGAAAAACAAACAAAGAAAAGAAAACAUACUAUUUAAAUAAAACAAGAAUGUAAAAAUGAAAUUAACUAAUCCUGAUAAACAAGAUCAUCUAAAAGUAUCUCCUCGACUUCUGGUGUUCUUAACUCUAAAAAUGGUUUUAAUCUUUGACCAUUGACCUUAAAUAAAUCACCAUUUUGAGGAUUUUCAAUCUCAAUUGCUCCAUAAGGAAAGACAGUACGAACUAUAAAAGGACCAGACCAUCGAGAACGUAACUUACCUGGAAAGAGAUGUAAUCGGGAAUUGUAUAAAAGUACUUUCUGGCCUGGUGUAAAGGAUUUUCUCAAAAUGUGCUUGUUAUGAAAUACUUUCAUUUGUUGCUUGUAAAUCUUGGCAUUCUUAUAUGCAUCAUUCUUGAUCUCUUCAAGUUCUGUUAGUUGUAAUAUUCUGUUGGAACCAGCCUGCUGCAUAUCAAAAUUGAAUUUCUUAAUAGCCCAAUAUGCACGAUGCUCUAACUCUAUUGGCAGAAGACACACUUUUCCAUACACAAGUUUGUAAGGCGACAUCCUAAUUGGUGUUUUGAAAGCAGUCCUAUAUGCCCAUAAUGCAUCAUCAAGUCUCAAAGACCAAUCCUUUCUAUCUAACCUAACUCUUUUUUUACAGAAUUUGCUUGAUUUCUCUAUUAGAAAUCUCUACUUGGCCACUGGUUUGAGGAUGGUAUGGGGUAGCAACCUUAUGUAUAAUGGAAUAUUUGUUCAAAAGAGUUUUGAAAGGUUUAUUGCAAAAAUGGGUACCGCCAUCACUAAUGAUUGCUCUAGGGAAACCAAAAUGAGAUAGAAUAUUACUUUUCAAGAAUUUCACUACAACUCUAUGAUCAUUGGUUUUGCAUGGAAUAACUUUAACCCACUUCGACACAUAGUCCAGUGCAACCAAUAUAUACUGAUAACCAAAAGAUUGAGGAAAAGGUCCCAUGAAAUCAAUAACCCAUACAUCGAAGAUCUCAACCACCAGAAUAUGAUUGAGUGGCAUCAUAUUCCUCUUUGAAAUGCUACCCAUGCGUUAGCACCUAUCACACAAAGAACAGAAAACAUAAGCGUCAUGAAAAAGAGUAGGCCAAUAAAAACCACACUGUAAAAUUUUUGUUGCUGUCUUUUUGGCACUAAAAUGACCUCCACAAGCUUGUUUGUGGCAAAAAGAGAUGACACUUUGAAUUUCAUUUUCUAGAACACAUCUCCUAAUAAUCUAAUCAGCACAAUAUUUGAAUAAAUAUGGAUCAUCCCAAAAGAAAUUCUUCACUUCGGAUAAGAACUUUGUUCUAUCUUGCUUAGUCCUGUGUGCUGGGAUUUGACUUGUGGCAAAGUAAUUAACUAUAUCAGCAAACCAUGGUACAACAUUCACACUCAUAAGUUGCUCAUCCGGAAAAGACUCAUUCAAAGGUAAAGAUUCUAGAAUAAAUUUAAGAUCAAGGCGAGACAAGUGAUCCGCCACAACAUUUUCAGAACCUUUUUUAUCUUUAAACUCAAUGUCAAAUUCCUGUAAAAGCAAUACCCAACGAAUCAAUCUUGCUUUAGCAUCUUUCUUAGUAAGCAAAUAUUUUUAAAGCAGCAUGAUUAGUAAAAAUAAUCACUUUACAACAUAUAAGAUAAGAUCUGAAUUUAUCAAGUGCAAAUACCAUAGCUAGCAUUUCUUUUUUUGUAGUUGAAUAGUUCAACUGUGCAUCAUUGAGUGUCAUACUAGCAUAAUAAAUCACAUAAGGCACACGAUCUAAUCUUUGUCCUAAAACUACUCCUACAACAUAAUUAGAUGCAUUACACAUAAUUUCAAAAGGCAAAUCCCAAUUAGGUGGCUGAAUGAUAGGUGAAGAAGUCAACAAUUCCUUAAGCUUUGCAAAAGCAUCAAGACAAGAUUCAUCAAAGAUAAAAGGUGCAUCCUUAACAAGUAAAUUGCAUAGGGGUCUAGAAAUUUUAUUAAAAUCUUUAAUGAAUCUUCUAUAAAAACCAGCAUGUCCAAGGAAAAAUCUUACUUUUUUUAUGGAUUUGGGAUGUGGAAGAUUAGAAAUUAAAUCCACCUUAGCUUUGUCGACUUCUAUACCUCUGCUGGAAAUUAUAUGACGAAGGCCAAUACCUUGUUUUAUCAUGAAGUUACACUUUUCCCAAUUUAGAACUAAGUUCUUUUCUUUACAUCUCUGCAAAACUAAUGUUAGAUGCUGCAAACAUUCAUCAAAAGAAUCUCCAUAAACAGAAAAAUCAUCCAUGAAUACUUCAAGAAAUCUCUCAGCCAUAUCAGAAAAAAUAUAAGCAUGCAUCUUUGAAAGGUAGCAGGUGCAUUGCAUAAACCAAAUAGCAUUUUCCUAUAUGCAAAAGUUCCAAAGGGACAAGUAAAAAUAGGUUUCUCUUGGUCCUCUAGAGCUAUAGGGAUGUGAUUAUAACCUAAAUAUCAGUCUAGAAAAUAAUAGAAAUCAUGACUUGUAAGUCUAUCAAGCAUUUGAUCAAUGAAUGAAAGAGGAAAAUGAUCUUUUCUUGUGACUGAAUUUAAUUUUCUAUAAUCAAUACAAACACGCCAACCUGUAGUUACUCUAGUAGGAAUUAAUUCAUUAUUAGCAUUAGCAACUGCCGUAACACCAGAUUUCUUAGGAACGACUAGCACAGGGCUAACCCAAGAGCUAUCUGAAAUAGGAUAAAUAAUUCCUGCAUCUAAUAAUUUAAUUACUUCAGCUCUUACCACUUGUUUCAUGUUAGGAUUUAGCCUACGUUGCAUCUCCCUAAUAGGUUUAGCAUUUUCUUCAAGAUGAAUACGAUGCAUGCAAUCUACUGGAUUAAUACCUUUAAUAUCAGCGAUGGUCCAACCUAUUGCCUCCUUAUGCUCUUUUAAAAUACCCAACAACUUACAUUUUAGCUCAAGAUCGAGGGAGGAAGAAAUAAUAACAAGUAGAGUGUCAGAUUCUCCCAAGAAUGCAUAUUCUAGAGUGUCGGGUAGUGCUUUGAGUUCCAAUUUUGGUGGUGUCUCUGCAGAUGAGCUAAUCUUCUUCUCAAAAUGAGUCAGUGGUUCUGCCUUUGUCUUCCAUUUAGUUGUGUCCAUAAUUAGAGGUGCAUCAAGUAAGGCGUUGACUUCUGCAAUUACACUGUCAUUAUUAAAAGAUACAUCAGAAUGAGUUAGACAUGCCUCUAAUGGAUCAUCAGUAUAGUUAGAAAUGAAUGAAUCUUCUACUAAUUCCUCUAUCAUAUUUGCUUCGAUAAAUUCAUCUUCUUCAUGUGGCUGCUUGGUAACAUUAAAAGUAUUUAAUUCCAUGGUCAUAUUACCAAAAGAUAGCUGCAUGUUUCCAUUCCUGCAAUUAAUAAGAGCAUCAGCUGUAGCUAAGAAAGGACGACCUAGAAUAACUGGGGUGUGUUUCUUAGGAUCCUGUACAUGCUGAGUAUCAAUAACAAUAAAAUCAACAUGAUAAUAAAAAUUAUCAAUCUGUAUCAACACAUCCUCUAUAAUACCACAAGGUAUUUUCAUUGACCUAUCAGCAAGUUGCAAAAUAAUAGAAGUUGAUUUUAACUCACUUAGUCUAAGCUGCAUGUAAACAUAAUAAGGCAAGAGAUUAACACUAGCACCCAAGUCCAAUAAUGUUUUAUCAAACAAUUAGUUCCCUAUAACACAUGAGAUAGUAAGGGAACUUGGAUCCUUAAAUUUUGGUGGCAUUUUACAUUGAAGUAAAUUGCUAGUUAGUUCAGUUAAAAAUGCUUUUUUGGUGACAUGCAAAUUUCUCUUUUUAGUGCAUAAAUCUUUCAAAAACUUGGCAUAGGAAGGAACUUGCUUAAUAGCAUCGAGUAAAGGGAUGUUUAGGAAGGAACUUGCUUAAUAGCAUCGAGUAAAGGGAUGUUUAUACUUACCUGCUUGAAGAUUUCCAUAAUCUCACCUGUUGAAGUCCUUUUCUUUACCUUUGUUAACCUUUGAGAAAAAUGAGCCUUGGGAAUGUAAGCUUGUGGGCCACUCCCUUCUAGAUCAUUUGGUGAUGAGUCUUGUGAUGGAACUGGAUCUGAAGAAGUAAGCUCAGAUGUCUUCCUUAUUUGAACCUCCACUUUGUUAUCAAACAAUUUUCCUCUUCUCAAGGUCAUAAUAGAUUUUGCUUCUUCAUGCUGAUGGCUUAAACUCGAUCCAACUUCAUGCACUCUUUUAGGAUUAGGAACUGGUUGACUUAGGAAUUUUCCUUUUUCUCUCUCAGCCACAAUAGUUGCUAAUUGACCCAAUUGAUGUUCAAGCUUUAGAAUAGCUUGAGUGUUUGACUGAAAAGCUUGUUGGGUUGACUGAAUGAAACUUUAAAGUGUAUCUUCUAAAGAAGGUUUUCUUUUUUGGGGUGCAAUAAAUCGAAACAUAAGCUGUUGGGUAGGAGGAUAUACUUGGUUAGGAGGGAUAAAUUGUUGAUUGGGCAAGCUAAAUUGUUGUCCUCCUUGGUUUGACAAAGGUUGAUUUUGUUUCCAAGAAAAAUUAGGAUGAUUCCUCCAAUUAGGAUUAUAUGUGGGUGAAUAUGGAUUAUUAGAGGUUUUCUCAUAUUAUUGUAAGGCAUGUACCUGCUCAGAAUAAGCCUCUUGAUAGGCUAGUAAUGAUGGACAAUUCUGUGCAGUAUGAGACAAGUUAGAACAAAGAGCACAAACCUCAUUAGCUACACUAGGAUGAUGAUUCAUUGAUUGGUUCAGAGGUAAGGCAUCUACUUUCCUAGAAAGAGUAGAUAGAGUGGCUUUCACAUCAAAAUCAUCUUCAACUUCAUAUAGACCCUUUCUAGAAACUUGAGGCGAUUUCUCUAUUUGAUGUGAAAAAUUCCACUGUUGAGAAUUCUCAGAAAGUGAAUUAAAGAAAUCCCAUGCAGCCCUUUCAUGUAGGUUAAAAAAUCUCCCACCAUUCAUAGACUCUACCAUAUGAUGAUUUGACAUGGUUAAACCGUUAUAAAAGCAUUGUAUAAGUCUCCAUUUCUCAAAACCAUGGUGGGGACACUUGAGGAGUAAAUCAUUAAAUCUUUCCCAACACUCAUAAAAUUGCUCACCCUCUCUUUGAUAAAUAUCAUUUAUCUCUCUCCUAAGGGCAUUUUUUUUAGACAUAGGAUAAAACUUGGUGAGGAACUUGUUGCUUAAUUCAUCCCACGUAGUAAUAGACCCAGCAGGAAGUGAAUUCAACCAAGCUUUCGCUUUGUCUUUUAAUGAGAAAGGGAACAUACGAAGUCUAAUUGACUCAUCAUUAAAAUUUUGAAAACGGAAUGUAGAGCAUAUGUCAAGAAAUUCCUUAAUGUACAAAUAUGGAUCCUCUCUCUCUAACCCAUGGAAAGAUGGUAAAAGUUGAAUGACAGAGGGCUUAAGUUCAAAGUGUGUUGCUGUAGUUUGUGGCAACACAAUACAAGAUGGUUGGUUGGCUGCAAGUGGUGAAAAAUAUUCUCUAAAGGUUUUCUCUGCUUGCACUGAUGGAAGUAUUGGCAAUAGUCUAUUAGGGUCAUCUAUCACUUCUGAAGAACUAUCUCGACUACUAUCAAUUUUUAACUCUUUUUUUUACCAAACGAUAUGUUAAAUCGCGUUCCCAAAUACUCAUAAACUAACUAGAUAAGGAAAGAAAAAAUAAAAUACAAUAAAAUAAAAUAAACCAACAAUAAUGAAAAUAAACGAAAUUUAAAAAUAAAAGAAAUCAAACAACCAAACAAUGAAUUUAAAGACAAAUAAAAAUAAAAAUAAAAAUUAAUAAAAAAUUAAAUUAAUUAAAUAAAAGACAACCUAAAUUAUAACUAGUGGAAGAAUCAAAUCAACCUAAAUUAAACUGACUUUCUGGCACAAUCCCCAGCAACAGUGCCAAAAACUUGUUGUGAAAAAUUUUAAUAUACUCGCAAGCGCACGAAUCUAGAAAUAAAAUAGUGGUAACGAGGUCGAACCCACAUGGAUUGUUAUAAAUUAAAAAGUCUAAUUUAAAUCUAAAAUUAAUAUUAAUUCUAACCUAAUUGAGCAAAUUGAAUUUUUAAGAGAAAUUAAACUAAUUAAACUAAGAAAACAAUUAAAGCAAAUGAGAAAUCAAUAAGACAAAAAUUACCAAGGUUUCAGAAUCCACCACUAUUCAAUUAAUAAUUAUCUAAUUAUUAAUUAAUCCCAAAUUUUAGAGUGACAACUCGAAAUCAAUCUAUGUCAUCUCAUAAAUAUAACAAUUAAGCCCAAUUAAAAUUAAUCUUGUGUAGGUUCUUUUUCUUCUUAAUAGUAUGAUAUCUGGAGAUGGCCAAUGGGCCGGGCGGCACGUGGCACGGCACGGGCACGACACGUGUCCGUACGACAUGGCAUGACACGAGCACGUUUCGGUGGGGCACGAGGCACGACACAGUACGCAUGUGGGCCGUGCCGGGCCUAGAAUUUUAGGCACACGGGCCUUAAAGCACAGCACGAUUAGAGAUGAGCCAAAGCACGACACGCGAAAAAGCAUAUAAUAAGCACGGUUCAUUAGUGGGCUAGCACGUGGCCUGUGGGCCAUCAAUAGCACGUGGGCCAAAAUAUAUCUAAGUAAAUUUUUUUAACAAAAAGUAAAUAUAAAAUGUUAUGAAAUUAAAGUAAAAUAUCUUGAAAUUAAAUGUUUUAAUAUAUUUUUUAGCAUAGACUUUUAAAAAUUAAUUUAAAUCAUUAAAUCUUAGUUUAAAUAAAUAUUCUAAUUUUUUAUGUUUAUAAUUUAUUAAAUGAAUAAGUAAAUAUCAUGAUUUUAAUAAAUAAAAUUAUAAAUAUCAUAAUUUUAUUUAUGAUAUUUAUUAAAUGAAUAAUGUUAUUUAUGAUAUUUAAUUUUAUUUAUGAUAUUUAUUUAAUUAUUUAUUUAUGUUUAUAAUUUAUUAAAUGAAUAAGUAAAUAAGUAAAUAUCAUGAUUUUAAUAAAUAAAAUUAUAAAUGUCAUAAAUUUAUAAAUGAUAAAUAAAAAUUAAAAAUUUUAACAACAUUAAUAAUAAAAUAUUUUUCAUAUGAAAUAUUUUUCAUAUUAAUAUUAAAUCAUAACUUAGUUAAUAUUUAAUAGAGAUAUGUUUCAUUUGUGAAUGAAAUAUUUUUCAUAUUUAUACACAAGAAAAAUUUAUGAACGAAAUAUUUUUAUGAUAAAUUAAAAAAUACAUUUUCAUUAAAUGAAGUUCAAGUACAAUUAUAAUAUUAGUAAUUCAAACAAAAUUAGGUGUAAUUUGCAUCACUACAGUUAACAGUACAUCCCAGCUAGGUUGGCACCUACUGAACCAUCUAUCAUUUGCAAAUUUACAACCUUCUCACUAAUAAAAUUUGUUUCAAAAAGUUACAAGAAAAAAAAGUCUCUAGUCUUUGGAAGUGGCUUCAAUGUUCAGUACUCUGCAUAAUCUGGAUUCACUUCAUCUUGAUCAACAUCCAAACUCUCAAUUUGUUUAAUUAAAGCAUUUUGCCAAUCUUGUUGCACUCGACGUUCAGCAUCUUCUCAAUCUUUCAAACAUAACAAAUAGUCUAAUGUCUCUGAUGACAAUCGUGACCGACGUUCAUCUAGAAUUCUUCCACCUGUACUAAAAGCUGAUUCUGAUGCUACAGUUGAAGCUGGAGGGGUUAGUAGAUCACGGGCCAUAAUGGAUAAUAUAGGGAAAAAAGAUGUCUUACCCAUCCAAAAUUCUAAAAUAUCAAAAUUUUGCAAUUGUGAAGGAGUUGCUAAAUCUUCAAGAUUGACAGAACAAUAUCUUUGCAAUUCAUUACGAUUAGUAUCAAUACUAGAGGCAACACCCUUACCUUUGAGUAACAAGAGGUGAGCUGGAUUUUUAUAAAAAGUCGAUGCUUGUUGAACAUUAGAAUAUGUAUUGCUUGAUUCGAAUUUAUUUCGAUAAAAAUUAAAAAGUUCAUGAAUAGAGGACAUAAUUCUAUCAAGCUCGGUUUGUAAAUUUUCACUAAUACUCUCAACUAAAGGUUUUGCACCAACUUCCUUGAUUGUAGGAUCCAACACUGUUGCAAAAAUAAAUAGGUGGGGAAUAUCUUUCCAAUAUUUUUGGAAUUUUUCCUCCAUGGCAUCACAAAUAUUUUUAAACAUAAUAUUCUCUCUAAAAGUCUUAAAAGUAUAACUCAUAUUAUACAAGUGCAUUAACACUCUACAUGAAGUAGGCUCAUAAACAGUAGAACAUGCAAGAGUAGCAUCAUAAGAUACCUUUAAAAAAUCCAUAAAUUUAAAUGCAACAUUCCAAUCAUAAUCAGUGAUAUGAUAAUCUUCAUAAUUCAUUCUCUCAUUGUAAAAACUAGAAAUUGCUUCAGAAUAGUUUUGGCAAGAAAGCAACAUCAAAUACGUAGAAUUCCAAUGAACUUUCAUGUCAAUGUUGAAUUUUAUCCUUUUCAAUCCAAAAAUUUUCAACGUAGACAAAAAUUGUUGACGUCUUGAAGGUGCUCUAAUAAAUAAAAUGGCUGCUCUAAUUUUUUCUAAAUAAUGAUUUAUAUGAGUCAUACCAGCUUGAACAAUUAAAUUAAUAAUAUGACACACAUCUCACAUGAAAAAAUUUUGAACCACGUGCAGGCGUGAGAGUAGAAAUAUUCCGCAAAAACAUAUCAAUUGCAACUAUAUUGGCAGAUGCAUUAUCAAAUGAUAUGCUAAACAAUUUAUCAGUAAUUUCAUAUUCUCUUAAAACAGACAUUAUAGCUGCAUAAAUUACUGAACCAGUGUGAGGAUAUUCUAAUUCAUGAAAUGCAAGCAAUUUUUUUUUCCAACCUCCAUUUACCAUUAAUCUCAUGUAUAGAGUACGAAGUCACACAAAAUAACCAACCAUAUUAAUACCAGUCCAACAAUCAGAAGAAAUUGAAAUAACACCAUUAAAAUUGAUAAAAGUAUUAAUUAAAAGUUUGUUCAUGUCAUAAAAAAUUUUAGUUAAAUCACGUUUUAAUGUAUUUCUAGGCACUUUCUUAAGUUGAGGCUGAACAUACCUUUGCAGAAAAUUUAUUAGACGUUCAUCUUCUGAAAAUGUUAAAGGUUGUUCUGCUGCAGCAAUAUACCGAGCCAAUCCUUCUCGCAUGUUCUGUUGUGAAUAUCUGAAUGAUGUUAUACCGGAAGGUCCAGAACCAUAUUGUGAGAGUUGGGUUUGUGUUGGGUCUUGUGGCGCGUGUUUUGUCUGACAAGUUUCCAUAUGUCAUCUAAGAGGUCCAGUUCCACCAUUGCCUUUGGCACUUAAAGCGGAUUGACAAUAUUUGCACACUGCUUGAUCCACCAUUUCACCUUUUUUGUUUUGACGUUUUUCCAAAGUAAAACAUGACCAAACAAUCGAUGUUCUUUGUCGUUUGGAGGUAGUAGUAGGAUUGGCAGUCGAAGAAGUAGAACCACUUUGACUUGCUUGAGAAGUAGGAGGUGAUCGUUCCGGUGGGACAAUAAAUAUAUUACUUGGAUCAAAUUCUGGUGCAACAAUUUCUUCAUUUGCAACUUCCUCCCCCUCUUCAACAAAAUUAAAAUUCUCAUCUAACUCAAAAUGAGAGUGAGACAUUUUAUAUAAUUAGCGUUUUGGUAAAUAAAGGCGGUUGGAAUGUAUUUGUGCGGGUGAAAAAAAAGAAAAAAAUUAUUGAGCAAGAGAAUGGAGAUUCGUGUGUUAAAUGGUGUUGAAUGAUGUUUUGCUUUUGUUUGAGAUUUCAGUAACAAAGGGAAAUUGUUGGAAUUGUAGCAAAGUUUCGAGAAGAUUGGGCAAGCAGAGACUAGAGAUGACUGAUGAGACAAGAGAGAUAACGAAGAGAUAGAGAUUGAGAAGUGAGAUAAGUUCGAAAAUAAUUUAAUCGUUUAAAUAGAAUAAAAAAGUAAAAAUAUUAACAGUCAAAAAGGGGCAAACACGCAAAGCUUCCUGCAAGGUUGCAACUGCAAAGCUUCCUACAACUCUGCAAGGUUGCAGCAAAUUAAACUGUUGCAUUUAAUAAUUCAUUUGUCCGUUGGAAUUGUAAGGUGAGUAAUUGAUUUAAUUUAAAUUUUUUUUUGUUAUUAAAAAUCAGAAAUAGUUAAUUGUUGAGGGACCUGUCUAUGGUACCGAUUCUGUAACAAACAUCUCCCGUCAUCCCACCAUCCGAUUGUCUAUUGUUUAGUUUCUCACUCCACAUCCAACCACAUCCAACGGCUGAUGCUGCAGUUUGUGGCUCACAGAUUCUGUAAGCUAGUCAAGUCCAAUUGUUGAGUGCCCAUGUUGUGAAAUUGACUAGUCACCUAGUCAUAUCAACUUUAUUGUUUUUUUUAAAGACAUAUCAACUUUAUUGUUAAUUUAAUUAAUUCAGAAUUUUUUUUUGUCCUUUGGGUGAGUAAUGAAAUUAAUUUAGAAUUUUUUUGUCAUUAAAAAUCAGAAAACAUUAAUUACUAAUCGGAGCCCAACUGCCCAUGCUGUACAAUUGAGUAGUCAUAUCAAUUUUAUUGUUAAUUCAAAAAAACUUUUCCGUUGGGUGAGUAAUAAAAUUAAUUUAGAAUUUUUUCGUUAUUUAAUAAUUAAAAAAAUUUAAUUUCUAAGUGCAACAUUGUUAUUUAUUUUUUAAAAUAAUUUUAGUAAUUAAUUUUUUUUUCAAAACAACGUAUUAAAUUAAAAAAAAAUUAUGGUUCAUUGUUACAAGAGAAUCACGCAACUAUCACAAUGUUAAUAAAUUCUAUCACAAGUGUGUUGAUGAGAUAAUAUUAUAGUAGGAAUACGGGAGGAGCUUGCAUUCAUUAUGUAGAGUAUUUUAUUUUUUUGAAUUUAAAUUCUCAACUCAAAUUUUCAACACGGUAGUUGUCAUAUAGUGCACAUGCAGACGUGCAGAUUGCAGUGCAGCUGUGCAGUCAAUUCAAGUUUCAGGAUUUGAAAAUUGUGAAAGUUGCAACUUGCAAGCGUGUUGUAAAAUUGAGUAGUUAUGUCAAUUUUAUUAUUGCGUGACUGUAAAAUUUUAAAAUUAUGUGCAGUGUAAUCAAUUAAAAAUUUGAAAAAUUAUGAAAGUUAACCGACAAUGAUGUUUAAAUAAUAAAAAAUUGGGAUAAUUGUGCAUUUGUUUUAAUAUUUUCAUUUAUUUUUUAAAUAAUUUAAGAUCUUUUUCCUACAUGCCAACCACGCACUUGCCUCAUGGCUCCACAAAAAUUAAGAUCUCAAGAUUCAUUCAUUCACAAAUAUUUAUAUUUCACUAAAUAUUUUUUACUUACUCUUUUUACUCCCACCGACAAAGUAAAUAAAAUUAAUUUUUAUCUUUUUAUUACUAUCUAAUAUUAUAUAUACACGCCAUUAUGCUAUGAUGCUUCACAAUUCUUAUUCUUCUUCUUUUUCCUCUCAAACUUUCCAAUAUUUUAAAAGCCAAAAUCAUUAUGAAUCUGCAGCAACAUAAUAUGAAUGCAGAAGAACCUCAACACUCUCAAGAAUAAAAUGUUGAUGUAGUUGGACCUCAACAAAACGCUAGGCUAAAUCAGUCCAGAAGUCAUUCUUUAAAUGAGCUUUUUCAAAAUUUUGCUACAAUAAGGGAGGAAAUAAUAGAUAAUAGUUUGCAUCGUCCAUACAAACGGAUGAUCUUGAGGUGCAACUAUUGUCAUCGAGAAGUUAUUUAUUCAGACAGCCAUGGCACCUUGGGUUUACGUCGACACGUGUCAAAUUGUUUAGUUCGCCAUCUUAGCCAAGAUAGAAUUAACCUUGCUCAUUUCCCGUAUCCAUAGUUGUGAUUAAUAAAUGUUUUUUUCAUGCUUGUUAUUCGUCAAUUGGUCGUAGUUCGCAUUUCGUAGUUGUAACUUGUAAGUUGUGACCUAUGAUUUGUUAUAUUGAUAUUUCGUAGUUAUGACUUAUUGUAAUUAUUAUUCGAGGAUUGUAUUUUUAAUUUUAAUUAAUUAUUAUUAUUAUUAUCUAUGGAAUUAAAUUUAUGUAUUGUUGUGUUAUGAUUGAUUAUUGUGAAAUAAAAUAUAUAGUUGUGAAUUUGUGAUAAACUAAUAAUAAAAUGUUAAUUGCCUCUUAAUAAAAAUUAAUAUGAUUAUGAUUAUGAUUAUGAUUAUUAUUAUUAUUAUUAUGUUGGUGGGCUUAAAAAAACACGCCAAGUACGUGGGUUUUUUUAGGCACGUUAAAAAAAAAGUUGGUAGACUUUUUUUGGGCACGGCCCACGGCACGAUACGAGCCCGCUCGUGCCGUGGGCCGUACUGGGCUCAACUGAAAAAAAUAUGGGCACAGCCUUGCCGGCCCACGAGCCCUUGUGGGCCGACAGUUGCCGGCACGGCCCAUUGAACAUAUAUAGGGAAUUAAUUAAAUGAAAAAAAUAAUUAUUUCAUUGAAUAGGGUUUCAUCCUUAACCUCAACAUAAGAAAAUUAGCUGGAUAUACUUGAAUUAGGAGCAACAAAAGAAAUAAAAUCAGCCAUGGGAAGCCGAACUGCUGCAGCCGGUUUUCUCCCGAAUCGCGUCUGCUUUUUUUUUCCUUCCUAUGGCGACUACUUUCAGUGUUCUCUUCUUUUUUCCUGGCGGCUACCCCCUAAUUCGUUUUAUACUAUAACGCCACCACAAAAUCCUCAAAUCAAAAUGAUUUUAAAACAAGCCAAGCACAACCAACUUUAAGCCCAUGCAUGUGAAACCCACUUGAAAUCAAUGGUCAAUGCUUUUCCAACUAUUCACGUGAGAUGCACACUUAGAAACUCAAUUAUUCUCCUUUAAGCAUCCUUUUUCCUCUUUUCUUUUAUUCUGCACAAGCGGCAAUUAUUUCCAUAAACUCUAAUUUGUUUCCUUUUUAAGCUCCCUUUCAUCAAUGGCUUCCACAAAUUGAUUUGAUCUUUAUUGCUGUCCAAUUAUUAUUCCUUAUGCACUUUUCAUCCAUAAUCUCCAAUUAAUUCCCUAGUCAAUAAAAAAAUUCAAUUAAUUAAAAAUAACAAAUAAAAAUAACUAGCAAUUAUGUAAUUAAGGAUAAAAUAUGUAUAUAUUAUAUGCUCAUCAUUCCAUUUGGGUGUAUUGGGGUUGUGGGUUUUGUGAGUUUUUCCUACUUUUGUAAAUUCUUAUUAUUAGUAAAAUUAUCUUUCAGUCUUUGCCCGUGGACGUAGGCAUUACGCCGAACCACGUAAAUUAUUGUGUUCUAUUUUCUUUGCAUUUGUUUGUCACAUUUAUAUUUCUCCAAAAGUUACAGUCAUCGUAAUAUUGGUAAUUGUUCAACCUCGCAAUUCUGCAACACCAUCCUUACACUAUUAACGAAGAGAGAGAGAGAGAGAGAGAGUAAAGCAUCCCAAAAUGUAGAGAGCUUAAGAUUUAACUCUUUGAUAGAGAGUGUAGAGAAACGGAGUACUAACAAGUGAGUUCUUAAAAAGUUUGGGGAGUGUUCUCUUGAGUGUUCAGUUGAGAUCUAUAUUAUUUGUAGGGAUGCGAGAGAUUGUUUCCUUCGGUAGAUUGUUUCCUUCAAGAGCGUUGAGAGUACUAAAUGUAUUUAAGUAUUUGGAAAAUAAGGUUUAAUUACUCAAAUUUAUACUCUAUUAAUUGUUAAUAAAAUAAUUAUUCUCUCUUUGCCUCCUUGGAUGUUGGUAUCGUUGCCAAAUCAGGUUAAAGACAAGUGUCUUUAUCUUUUUUAAAUUAUCUAGUGCCUAUUGAUUGCACAUCUGCGCAUAAGUGGCAUUGAACUGCAACAAAUGACACUUUUGCACACAACACCACAUUGGAUACGUCACCGAGCAAGUUACCAGCAACUCGCAUCUUAUGAACCUAAUUUACAUGUGAAUAUAAAUGAGCGUGGCAUUGGCAUGUUACUAAAGAUAUUGUACAUAAAUCUACUAUUCUUAAUACCAACUAAAUAUUGGCCGUGUAUCAUUGUGGACAAAACCUUUAGGCAACAGCGAAGUCAGAUAACAGCGAAGUUAGAUAUUCAAUAUAGUUGGAGUUAUGUUCAAACAACAAUAUGAUUUAAAAAAUUUUAGUAAGUACUGAAAUUCUAAAUUGACUUCACUGAAAUAAUAUAAUUCAAUAAAUUCAUAAUCGUACUCAAUUAGCCAUAUACUUAUGGUAGCUCGAAGUUGUACAUGCUCUAAAACAUAGCGGCUACCUAAAACAAGUGUAUAAAAUUUUCGUUAUGAAAGAGACUCUAGGGUGCUGAUUUUUAUCAUCAACAAAUCCAAAAGAAAAUGGCUAUUUGCCCUUUUUGGCCAAACAAUAGAGAAAAUUUUGUAAACAGUCAAAUAAUAUUCUGUCAUAUGAGAGAGUAGAGGGUUAUAUUAAAUUAAAAAAUCAAUGGGACUCACUAAUGCUCCUAUCUUUGAACUCACUAUUCUACCACAGAACACCAAUAAAUUGUCUCAAUUAAAAUUUUCUCCACACAAUGACAGAGCAGAGAACCCCACUAAAUUAAAAUAGUUAGUAGGACCCACUAAUGGUGCCACUUUUGAACCACUGCUUUACUACAUGGCAAAACACUAGUGGUCUGUCUUACCUAAUUUUUUCUCCACAUUUAUACACUAAUAGGAAAAAUGACUCACUAAUGUUAAAAAAAAUGAUUUGGAUCUAGCGCAAAACUGAGCUAUUCUCACCUCUUCAUAAUUGUUUUUAUACACGUGCAUGUAUAGAAUAUAUGGUUAGGAUUUAAGUAAUUUUAUAUUGUUAUCCAAAAACUACCAAAUCCGCUAAAAAAACGAAGAAAAACUGUGAUUGAAAACAUAAAGAGAUAGAGGAAUUAUUACCUAAUAGGAUUCAUAUCUUCUCAUAUUCUGGUAUCCAAUGUUUUAAAAAUCUAUAUGUGACAAUCAUCAAAAUGUAUGGUGAGGAUUUAUUACAAGCCUCUUAAGAGAUGAACUAAUAAAAAACUCGCACUUCAUGAUUCCAUGGCUCCUAGUGUUUUUUUUCCCUCUCCAUCAAUAACUCAUCUUCUCCUCAACGAUUAAUCACUGCACACAAAAAAAGGAAAGAAAAAAUGAAGAAGGAAAGAGCAGGCAGCCAGUGCAAGAAGAAAAAUUAAAGAAGAAGAGCCUACGUUUGAGCGUGUACUUUAACAAGUACAAUUAUCCAAAGAGUUUAUUUUAAUUAAACCUAUUAAGGAAUAAAAGUCUCCUCUAUAGCAAUUUUAUUUUCAGAUGGCAGAUCGAAGGUCCAACUUUAGGAUGAUACAAACACCCAAGAACUAAUUUUAGCUGAGAGUAGCAGAUUAGUCGUGCAUGAAGAGAAUUCUUAUGAUGUUGAAUCAAAUAUUGGCCAAGUAAUUAUUCACAUUCAAGAACCUAAUCAAACUACGACUUCCUACCUUCAUAACUUCGGCAUUAUUUUUCUUUUGUUUUUAGAAAUUGCAAAGACUUGAUUUUGAUAGAGAUCAUAGCUGAUCAAAAGUGUUGUGCUCUGUAGAGUGAACUAGAGAACGUAAGAUUUUUGAGAGUUAGGGAAGAAAAAUAAGAGUUUAAGAGUUGUUAAUAAAAUUCAAAUAAACAAAUCUUAGCCAUUCAUUUUGUUAAUAGCCACGUAUGAAGUAAAUCUUCAAAAAGUCAGAAAUUUCAUAUCAUCAGAGAAUUUGAAUCAGUUGGUUAUAUCUGUGAGCAAAAACGGAUGAUUAAAUCCCCUAAGAACAUUUCCUAGAACACUAUUUCCAAUGGCAGCAUAAGCCAUGCAGGUUAAUAAAGAAAUGUAAAAUAAUGUUGUUCCACCAAUGGCAUAUAAUGUCAUUUUCUUCAUCACUUCAUUUUGUGGUGGCUUUAAGGUAUCUUUCAAUUCACCAAGGAAGUAAUAGUAAUAUAUAAGUAUCAAUUGCUUAUUUAUUAAGAUGAUAUAUUGUCAUUUAUCUCCCUAACAUAUGGCCUUAAAGACAAAAUUGAAUGCCGAAUAUACAAUAGAGAUGAGAUUUAGGAUAUUUUGUUCACCAAUAGACUGUUAUCGUUGAAUGUUCUCUAAAUUAUGAGUGUGAUAUAAACUUUGAAGUGGAUAGGUAUCACUACCGUAGAUUAUGAUGGACGAUGCCAUGGCUUGGCUUCUAAACUCAUGCCAAGCCGUUGGCAACAACGGGGGUGUGGUUGUAAAUGAACAAGAAAGCAAGGCAAGAUUGGCACGCAGGCUGAGGCGUGACAGCUAACGCAUGCUAUGAGACAAGUGUGGGAAGCGCCAGACAUUACACGCAGCCCACGGACGCCACAUCUUACAAGUGUUCAGGCGCAAAGCAUGCACACAGUACACAAGCUGAGUUGGAUAGAAUGCGAGAUGGCACAAGGUAGUAACGCUAAGGCAUGUAUGGGCAGCGCAUAUGCUAGUAGGUAGUGGGCAUAAAAGUGUGCAAGGAAGCACGUAAAUGGGUAAUGUACAAUAGGGGUGGGCAUUCGGAUCGGGUUAACCAGAUCCAAAUCGAACUCGAAAUUUAUUUCGGAUUCGGUUCGGUUCUGGUUAACAUAUAAAAUCCGAACGGGUUGAAAAUUAUAACCUGAUCGGAUUUUAAAUUUUGUUCGGGUUGAACCCGAACCGAAUUUAAAAACUGAUCGGGUUGGACCUUAAAAAUUAAAUCUCUCUCUCACCAUUCACGCACGCCCAAUUCCAAUUUCAAGAUCCCUAAAGUAACUGCUUAAGCCUUCAAUAAUCCCCCUCUUCUCAUCUUCUUCCACAAUAGCAGCACAACCCUCCUCCUAGCGCAGCCCACAGAUGUUCAGCCGACGCCCAUGCUGCGGCUCACUCACCUCACGACUGACUCACUCUCACUCCACCGCCCGUUCGCUUUCGAUCAAGCUGUUGUCGCUUCUAUCUUUGCCAUCGCCUCCGACUGUUUCCAAUCCAUCUUUGCAACCAGUAGGUUACUUAUUAUUUUUUUAUUAUUGUUAUUAAUUUAUUAUUAUUAUAAACAAUCGCCGUAUGUUCCUGGUUCAUGCUCUCAAUUGGUUUGUCAUGAAGCAAAAUGUAUUAAAUAUUAUUGAUUGAUGCAUGUCUUUCAUAGCAUAAAGUGGCUUAGAUUGGAGCUUUUCUGAAAAAGUGAAAAUUUCAUUUAAUUAUUUAGUAUUCACGGAUAAGAAAUAGACUUCAUCUUUUUUCUAAUGCCACACGUCUAGAGAGCUUUGCCUGUGUUUUAGUUGGAUAAAAAUUGUUGCAAAUGUCACACGAGAGGAGGGAAGCAUAAAAGGUUUAACCCGAAUGAACCCGAAUUAUCAAACUGAACCAAUCCGAAUUGUGAACCCGAACCAAACCGAAAUAAUUUUGGUUCGGUUUGGUUUGGGUUAGCAUUUUCAACCCGAUUGGGUUCAAUUCUUCAACUCGAACGAGUUGUAACCCAAACCAAAACCCGAACAAUCCGAACCGAAAUCUGAUUUGCCCACCCCUAAUGUGCAACACAUUACAUGGGGGACAAACUACGCAAAUAUGAGAGGCAUGCAUUCGAAUUACAUGUACAAGCUAUGUUCAAGCAAUGGCGGUCGAAUGUUAGCCUUGGUGGUUGGAGUUCUCUGGAAAUAGGUCCUAGAAGUGGGUAGUUAUCGGUGCAACUAAUAGGACAUGACCUUAAAAUUCACACUAGACAUAGGUGUUCACCUUAUAGGGUGGAGAGACUAAAGGUUAUAAUGUCAUACCAUAAGUAUAUUAGCAACUGGUCAUUGUUAAUAGAUUUAAGGGUAUGAGACUUCCAAUAUGCGAUAGUUGAGGAUGCAGAUUUAUUCUGCCCAGUACUGCAGCACUUGCUGUAACAACUGGUGCUAACUUGAUAAACAACAGUCACCCCAUAAGGAGAGUUUGAUCAUUCAACUACUAUAAUCUCAAUUGAAACUUAGACACAUUUAACCUAGUUUAUUUCAUUACGGUAUUGUUUUAUUUAAUUCUCUCACAAUCAUUAAUUACGAUAUAAAUUACUUCACAAUUGUUUGCUUCGGUCUUAAGUUGUUUUGCACUAUUGCGAUUGCUUUAGCAUUUCGAGUAACAUCAAUCUCUGUGGAGACGAUCUUGAAUACUCAUCACUUUAUUACUUGUUGUGUAUACUUGCACAUUGGCAUUGGUAGUAAUUGCUUAUAAAAUUAACCAACAAGUUUUUGGCGCCGUUGCCGGGGAUUGAUUGUUUAUUUUUUAAGUGUGAAGUAAAUUUUGAUAGUGCCAAAUUUGAUUUGAUUCAUUCUAUUUAUUGGCAGAUCGGUACAUGCAUGCGCAAAGACAGAUCUGUGGCAUUCCAAUUCGAUCCUGAGAUUGAAAGGACUGUCAGGAGACUGCGAAGAGAACAAAGGAAUUCAAACACUGUUUCAAGCAUGAAUAAUUUACAGGAUGCGGGAAAUUUGAAUCCUCACGGGCCCUUACAACCAGUCAACAUUCAAGAAGAGCAGAAUGAACAUGCUAAUGGGAGACAGCCAGGCAAUAACAAUAUUAUCUACAUGGCUGAUGACAGAGACAGAGUUAUAAAAGAUUAUGCUGUGUUAACCCCUCAAGUUGUACACCUUGGUAUCAUCAGACCUGAAGUAGAAGCUGCAAAUUUUGAGUUGAAGCCAGUGAUGUUUCAAAUGUUACAAACAGUUGGUCAAUUCAAUGGAUUGCCAAAUGAAGAUCCUCAUCUCCAUCUUAAAUUGUUCUUGGAAGUAAGUGAUGCUUUCAAGAUUGCUGGAGCAACACAAGAUGCCUUAAGGCUGAGGCUUUUUCCUUAUUCCUUACGAGAUCGAGCAAGAGCAUGGUUAAAUUUGUUACCAUCUGAUUCCAUUACUACAUGGAAUGAAUUGGCUGAUAAAUUCCUAAUGAAAUAUUUCCCACCGACAAAAAAUGCAAAGUUGCAGAAUGAGAUUACUUCCUUCCAUCAACUUGAAGAUGACAGUUUGUACGAGGCUUGGGAAAGAUUCAAAGAAUUGCUCAGAAGGUGUCCUCAUCAUGGUAUUCCUUGUUGCAUUCAAUUGGAAACUUUUUACAAUUGGUUGAAUCCGAGUACGAGGUUAAUGGUGGAUAUUUCAGCAAAUGGAGCCCUGUUAUUCAAAUCUUACACUGAAGCUUAUGAAAUUCUGGAGAGAAUUGCCAAUAAUAAUUAUCAGUGGCCUUCAGCCAGGCAACCAGCAGCAAGAGGACCAGCAGGGGUACAUAACAUAGAUGCAAUUACAGCCUUAUCAACGCAAGUAACCUCAUUGACUAACAUGGUAAAGGCCAUGACAUCUGCUCCAGCAACAGUAAAGCAAGUUGCUGAAUUUUCUUGUGUAUACUGUGGUGAAGAACAUGACUUUGAUAAUUUUUCUAGAAAUCCAGCUUUAGUAAACUUUGUGGGUAAUUUCAAUCGACAACCUCAGAACAACUCAUAUUCAAAUACUUACAACCCUGGCUGGAAACAAUACCCAAAUUUCUCAUGGACCAGUCAGAAUCGAAAUGCGCUUGCAUUAAAUGGACAAAAUAGAAACCCACAACCACCUGGUUUUCAUCAGCAGAGUCAAGGGAAAAAACAUAUCAGUUAGGAUCCAAUCACUUCACUGAAAGCAAUGAUUAAGGAGUACAUUGCAAAGAAUGAAGCAAUUGUGCAGAGUCAAGUUGUAUCCUUGAGAAACCUGGAGAACCAAAUGGGGCAACUAGCCACAGCAAUGAGCAGCAGAACUCAAAGAAGCUUACCUAGCAAUACAGAAGACCCUAGAAGAGAGAGCAAAAAACACUGCAAGGUAAUUAAUUUGAGAUCUGGAAAGAAUGUUGAUACCCUAGUUGAUGUGACAAAAAAUGAGAUGAAAUUCAAUUCAGCACAAAAACCGCCUCAAAAUGGAAGCAUGUUACAACAAGCCCCCCACCAAGACACUGGUUAUAUGAGCCAAGCUAUAGCAACUGCAAAGGAAAUUUAACUAGAACAUGCUGAAAAAGAGGUUGCAACACCAGUAGCCACAACCUACACCAAACCGAACAAGCAGAGUUUGAUACCUCCUGAAGCUACUAAGCAGUUUAGACAUCCACCACCUUUCCCAUAAAGGUUCCAGAAGGAAAAACAAGAUAAGCAGUUCAGCAAAUUCCUGGAAGUGCAGAAGCAAUUACACAUAAAUAUACAUUUUGUGGAAGCUUUGGAGCAAAUACCAAAUUAUGUGAAAUUUCUAAAAGACAUCUUGGCAUGAAAAAGAAGGAUGGGAGAGUUUGAAACUGUUGCUUUAACACAGGAAAGCAGUCAUAUGCUUCAAAUUAAGAUUCCUACAAAAGUGAAAGAUCCAGGGAGUUUUACAAUACCCUGCUCUAUAGGAACUAGGUAUGCUGGCAGAGCACUUUGUAACCUGGGAGCUAGUAUUAAUUUGAUGCCAUUGUCUGUAUUUAAGCAGCUGGGAGUAGGGGAAUGCAGACCAACAACAGUCACUCUGCAAUUAGCUGACAGAUCUCAUGCAUACCCUGAAGGAAAAAUAGAUGAUGUACUAGUGAAGGUUGACAAAUUCAUCUUUCCAGUGGAUUUCAUUGUACUGGACUUUGAAGCUGAUAAAGAGGUACCCAUUAUACUUGGAAGACCUUUUCUAGCAACUGGAAAGACUCUGAUAAAUGUGUAGAAAGGAGAGCUCACCAUGAGAGUAAAUGAUCAACAAGUCACAUUUAAUGUACUAGAGGCUAUGAGGAACCCUGAUGAAGUAGAAGAUUGUAAUUUCUUAAGUGUAGUGGAUUUUGUUGGAGCAGACAAAAUGGACAGAUGCUGCAGUAAUGCACUCGACAAAGUCACUACCUUUGAGGAUGUAGAAGAGGAAGAUGUUGCAGCAAUUCAGACAAAUUGGAUGGACAAAAAGCAAUUUGAUAGGCACAAUAGGUUUAUUAAACACCUGAAUCUUUCAGACAGGGAAGUAAAAAUAACUUUACCAUCUAUUGAAUCACCUCCUAGUCUUGAAUUAAAAUUGUUACCUUCACAUUUGAAGUAUGCUUAUCUUGGUCAAAACAACACUCUCUGUAAUCAUUUCUUCUACUUUGGAUGCAGGUCAAGAACAGAGUCGAGUAGAUUUGUUUGGAAAAUACAGAAAAGCAAUUGGAUGGACCAUGGCAUAUAUAAAAGGGAUAAGCUCAUCAAUAUGCAUGCACAAAAUCCUGUUAGAAGAUUGCUCCAGCAAUUCAGUGGAGCACCAGAGAAGGUUGAACCCUAUUAUGAAAGAAGUAGUGAAGAAAGAAAUCAUUAAAUGGUUGGAUGCUGGAAUCAUAUACCCAAUAUCAGACAGUUCAUGGGUUAGCCCAGUUCAAUGUGUUCCAAAGAAAGGAGUGAUAACAGUAAUAGCUAAUGAGAAUGAUGAAUUUAUUCCUACAAGGACAGUGACUGGAUGGAGAGUAUGUAUGGAUUACAGGAAGCUCAACAAAGCCACAAGGAAAGACCAUUUCCCACUUCCAUCAUAGAUCAGAUGCUGGACAGACUUGCUGGAAAAUAAUACUAUUGUUUCUUAAAUGGGUAUUUAGGCUACAACCAGAUUGCUAUAGCUUUAAAAGAUCAAGAGAAUACUACAUUUACUUGUCCUUAUGGAACAUUUGCCUUCAGAAGAAUGCCCUUUGGGUUAUGCAAUGCUCCAACAACUUUUCAGAGAUGCAUGAUGUCUAUAUUUUCUGAUAUGGUAGAGCAGACUUUAGAAGUUUUCAUGGAUGACUUCUCAGUUUUUGGAAAAACAUACAAUGAUUGUUUACACAACUUGGAAGAAGUCUUUAAAAGAUGUGAGAUGACCAACUUAGUACUCAAUUGGGAAAAGUGUCAUUUCAUGGUGCAAGAAGGAAUAGUGUUGGGUCACAAGGUAUAAAAGAAUGGCAUUGAGGUAAACAAAGCCAAGAUAGAGGUAAUAGAUAAACUGCCACCUCCAACUUCAGUAAAAGGUAUUAGGAGUUUUUUGGGUCAUGCUGGAUUAUACAGAAGAUUUAUUAAGGUUUUUUCCAAAGUAGCUAAACCACUAUGCUCAUUGCUUGAACAUGACAAACCUUUUCACUUUGACAAAGAUUGCCUUCAAGCAUUUGGAGAAUUAAAGAAAGCUCUGAUCACUGCUCCAGUAGUUAUAUCUCUAGAUUGGACUUUACCAUUUGAACUGAUGUGUGAUGCUAGUGAUCAUUAUGUGGGAGCAAUAUUAGGGCAAAGAAAGGAUAAGGUUUUUCAUUCCAUAUACUAUGCAAGCAAAACUUUUACUCAAACUCAGAUCAAUUACACCACUAUAGAAAAAGAGUUGCUAGCAUUAGUAUUUACUUUUGACAAAUUCAGAGCUUACUUGGUGGGUACUAAAGUAACUGUUUACACAGACCAUGCAGCCAUCAAAUACUUAAUUUCAAAGAAGGAUGCCAAACCAAGAUUAAUCAUAUGGAUCUUAUUGCUUCAAGAAUUUGAUCUGGAAAUUAAAGAUAGAAAGGGGACUGAGAAUCAAGUGGCAAACCACUUAUCACAGCUGGAAGCAGACACUAGUACCUUGAUAAGGAGGGGCAUCACUGAAACAUUUCUUGAUGAACAGCUGUUGGCAAUACAGCAAGCACAGAUGCUGCAGCAGUCAGGACCCCCAUGGUAUGCAGAUUUUGCUAACUACCUAGUAAAUGGGAUGCUACUAACUGAGCUGAAGUUUCAGGAGAAAAAUAAAUUUCUUCAUGAUGUUAGAAGUUAUCAGUGGGAUGAUCCACAUUUAUAUAAGUUAUACUCAGAUAAAGUAAUACGAAGAUGUGCUUCCGAAGGAGAAAUACACCACAUACUAGAGUCAUGUCAUGCUGCAGCAUAUGAAGGACAUUUUGGUGGUCAUAGAACAACUGCUAAAGUUCUGCAAUCAGGUUACUACUGGCCUACUAUUUUUAAAGAUGCUUAUCAAUUUGUUAAAUGUUGUGACAGGUGCCAAAGGACAGGGAACAUAACUAAAAGACAUGAAAUGUCAUUGACUAACAUUCUAGAAGUGGAAGUUUUUGAUAUCUGGGGAAUAGAUUUUAUGGGACCUUUUCCACCAUCCUUUAGGAACUUAUAUAUCCUUGUUGAUGUGGAUUAUAUCUCCAAGUGAGUAGAAGCUUCAGCAUUACCUACCAAUGAUGUUAAAACAGUGGUGGCUUUUCUACAGAAAAAUAUUUUUUCCAGGUUUGGCACUCCUAGAGCAAUUAUUAGUGAUGAGGGUACACAUUUUUGCAACAAAGUCUUUGCUGCAACUAUGAUGAAAUAUGGAGUCAGACACAAGGUAGCAACAGCAUAUCACCCACAAUCCAUGGUCAGGCCGAAAUGUCCAACAAAGAAAUUAAAAAGAUCUUAGAAAAAGUGGUGAACCCAACGAGGAAGGAUUGGUCUUUACACUUACAUGACUCUCUAUGGGCCUACAUAACAGCAUACAAAACUCCACUCGGCAUGUCUCCUUACCGAAUUGUUUAUGGAAAGGCUUGUCAUUUGCCACUAGAGCUAGAGCAUAAAGCACACUGGGCACUGAAGAAAUUAAAUUGGGACAUUCAUGCUGCAGCAGAGCAAAUGAAGCUUCAACUUUGUGAGCUUGAUGAAUUACGACUAUUUUCAUAUGAAAAUGCAAGAAUCUAUCAAGAGAGGACAAAACACUGGCACGAAAAACAUAUUCAACACAUGCAAUUCAACCCUAGUCAAUUAGUGUUGCUACACAAUACAAGACUAAGAUUAUUUCCGGGAAAGCUCAAGUCACGAUGGUCUGGCCGUUUAAGCUGUUAAAAUUUUAUCCUCAUGGAGCUGUUGAUCUUCUAGAUGAACAAACAAGUCAAGAAUUCAAAGUUAAUGAACACUGGGUUAAGCAUUACAUACAUCCAGCGCCCGAUUGUUCAAAAGAGGUGUUACUCCUUAAAGAACCCAGCUAUUGAACAAUGAAAGAAUGUCAAGCUGAAGGACCUUAAAUCAAGCGCUCCAUGGGAGGCAACCCAUUGUGGAGACAGCCACUUUAAACCAACUUUGAUCUCCUUUAAGUGCAGAGGUGAGCCACGUGUCAGAGGCUUUAGUGUGGAGUAUGUAACCGUUGCUAGAGUAAGCGAAUGGGUGCUGCAGCAACCAAUUUUACCGUUACAGUAAAUUAAAAGAUGGAGCCUCUCACUUACCGUUGGAAAUAAAUCAUGACAGAUGGAGGGACAUUAGCCUCAAUUUGUUACUACUACAGCAAUGCCGAGGUAUAAGAAAACAGCCAGCCGCCUCAAAGAUCCGUCACGCUUCCAGAGUUACCACGCUGAAGAAAAAUAUGAGGAAUUCAUAGAGCCGUGUAAGAUUCUGGAAGAAAAAGGGUUUCAAUUUCCAGAACAACUCACUGGAAUUGUGCAAACAAUUCACAAUGCUGCAGCAAAGCGAGAAUGGUUAGAGUUUUGCAACCACCCUCGGGAUCCUGUGGUACCAGUAGUCAAAGAAUUUUACGCCAAUUUGGUAAGCCCUGAUCAGCACAACAUUUGGGUAAGAAACACACUUGUUCCAUUAGACUCCCGUGUUAUAAAUGGCUUUUAUAAUUUACCUGCUGAAAUUAAUUGUGAGUAUGCCAAGUUGCUUGAUAAAUUGACCCCGAAAAAGUGGAACACCAUUUUCACAACUCUUACAAUCGAAGGGGCAUCAUGGGCUAACGAGGACGGACGUGUAGUUAAUAGGAUAGAUUUGAAACCGUGAAAUUUCUGAAAUCUAGGCUUAUGCCCACCACUCAUACUACUACGGUUUCACAAGAGAGGUUGGUCUUGUUAUAUGUCAUUGUUUGAGGGCUUCUCAUAGAUGUGGGUAGCAUCAUCGCAAAAGAAAUCCGGGAUUGUGCAGUUAAGUCUCACUGAACUGCUGCCUUGCUAUUUCCUUCACUCAUCACCAGCAUUUGUGUAGUUUUUCGGUGUUCGUCUUGACACACGAGAUGACCAUGUCAAGAACGAUGGUGCGCACCAUUGAGAGAGUUGCUGGUGAGAGUGCGGGAAUAACCACUGAACCAGCUGUUGUAACAGGUGCAGGACGGGCUAUUGGCUUAGAACAGACUAUCCAGGCACUCAGCACCAAUAUAACUCAAUGUGCGGAAGCUCAGCAGAGGGAAAACGAUCGGUUUUGGAGUUGUCUACAGCACCUGGACAACCAACUACACCAAUUUGCUCUGUACAUGACACGCACUCACAGGAACUUCCCUGAUUCAUUGCUCCAGCAGUAUAAUUUUGACAGCAACACCACAGGUGCUCCAGCAGAAGCCAGUGAAGAAGCCACUGCCACAGAUGAGCCAGCAGAAGAAGCUGCAGCUGAACAUAAGUAGAGGUAGAAUCAAAAGAUAUUGAACCAUCUGAGGAAGAAGGUGACAAGUCUGAGACUGAUAGCUCACCCACAGAGGCAGAGGACAACUCGGAGAAAGAACGUGAGGAACCUUCUAUCCCAACUCAGUCCAAAACCAGGAAAAAGCACAUUAUUCAAGAAGAUGAGGAGGAAGACCUUGAAGAGGAACCGUCUAUUCCAGUCUUUGCGGGAAAGGGAAAGGGCAAGGGUAAAGCAAAAAUGACAACACCUCUAGCCUUUGACGAUGAAAUGGAGCAAGUUGAUGCUGAGCUGGCUGCUGCAGUAACCAGAGUUAUGUCUACACCUGCAGAAGCCAAGCAACUACUUGCUAUCACAGCUGAGGGCCAGGCAGCUGAUGCAUCAACUCCAAUUCCUCCACAGCAAACUCCUAGCCAGCCUGUUCGUACCAGUCCGCAACAAUACAGCAAAAGAAAAGGCAGUACGUCUAAAGGCACUGCUACAGCAACCCCAGCCACAACUCCUCUCACAAGCCCCGUGAAGAAAAAGACAAAGACAUUGUCAGCUACUUCCCCACAAGUUUUACCAAAGUAUAAGCUGCGCAGUGCAUCCAAGAAGCGCUGAUAGCAUCCCGUCAUGUGCUGCAGUCCCCACCACAGGGGAGUAUUCUUUCCUUGCUAGUUCACUUCAUUAAAAAAAAAACAUUUUUUCCUUCUAUUUGUCAAUUUGUGUGGUAUUUUCUAAGGUCUUUCAUAUCCUUGUCAGUUCGUGUGCCCUUGUUAUGUAUGCUUGUGAGGACACAACAACUCUCAAGUUUGGGGGGGUCGUGUUUCCGAAUGCAUGUGUUUAUGUUUCUGUUGUGUGAAGCUAUGUUAUCUAAUAUUUGUGUAUGGAUUUGAAAACCUAAUGAAGAUAAAUUGAGUGUUAUUCAGUAUUUAUGAGAAUGCCAAGUAGAGAUAGUUAUAGAUGGAAGUGAAAUUCUGUCCCGACACUUAGACUUUGGUUGAAUUGUAUGAGACUGCUAGAGCAGAGCUAAAAGAAUAGAAAAGAGCUUAAGUUUGGGGGGAGAAGCAAGUUUGAUUGACUGUGAUAUCUAUGAAAUAAACUUUGUUCCAAUGGCUCAAGUUGCUGAGUAACCAGAUCUGAGUAUGUACCCCAUAUGCAGAAUUGUGUUCAAAGGUAGCGAGAGUUAUGAGCAAUGCUGUUCAUGAGCCCCAUAUUCAGCCUUGAGUAAAAGAUACCUCUAGAUAAGAUUAUACUGCAAAUAUUGCUGCAGUAACUCUGAUCUGGGCAUGGUUUGAGUAAUUGGGUGUCCUCAUUACAAGUGAUUGACAUUCACAUGAAAGAUAAAUGUUACAGUGAGGAGGUUGAUUACUCCCCAGUUUAUCAAUAUUAAAAUCAUCACAGUUUGAGUAUGUGAAACUUGUGCUACCCCAUUUAUGAAUGAAGUGUUAUCACUGCUGAAAUUCAUGUAGUCCCUUGGUGAUGUUAUAGCAUCUCUGGAAUUCAAUCAAAGGAGCACACACACACUAUGGACAGAAAGAAGCUUAAGUCUAGAACUGAUUUACUAUGGUCAUUUUGCAUGAUUGGGAUUGUGAUCUGAAGGUGGAAAAAUCCUUGCAAAUUUGAUAAAAGAGCUAAAAUUACGUGCAUGAUUGUUUGUCGGAAGUGUUAGUAUGUGUCAUUACUUGAGGGCAAGUAAUGGUUUAAGUUUGAGGGUGUGAUAACUCUAGGAAAUCAGAGUUGUUACAUCAAUUCUAGACUUAAAUCAAGAUCAUUUAGAGAACAAAUAAGGUGUUUUUAUUACAUUUUGGUUACAUUUUGCAUAAACAUUCAUUUUAGUUGAGUCUUAAUAAGUUUUGCUUGAAUCAAAGUAAUUUGUGCUAAAAAUAAGUGCAUAAUUGUAGGUUUUCAGAAAGUCUUAAUUCAUGAGAGGAUGUUGAGACAUUAGAUGAGCAAGAGGAGGAAAGAAUGUCUAGUAUUACUGUAAGUGUAAUGAUCAAUUUUUUUUCUUUAUUUGUUAGCACUUUGCAAUGAUCUAAAUAAAUAGUUAUAAAUAAUAAAUAAGGUAAAUGUUCUUUCAAUCCCUAUAGAUUAAACCAAUUACUCAAUUAGUUUUUGUGCUCUCAUGUUGUUAUUUUUGUUGGAAUUAGAUUUAAUUUUUCAAGGGUGAAAUGGUAUUUAUAUCUGAUAUUGUUUAAAAUUGAAAUAAAUUUGACAAGAAACUAUGAACAAUAGAUGACGAAUCAGAUUUCAUGGAAUUAUAUAUAUAGUAAGGCCAGGGAUGACAAAACCUGGGGUUGGGCCCAGGAAUGGCAAAUCCUAGCUCCGACACGGACAUGUUUUUUGAACACCUAGGCUAGGCAUUUUGUUCGAGCUUCAAAAGCCUUGGAUUUUAUAUUUUAUAAUAUUAAGUAUGUAUAUGUUUAGAUUUAUAUAUUUUUUAUUUUUUAUUUUUUUCAAUGAAAUUAGGCAUGAAAUAUGAAUUUAAAUGUUCAAAAAUUUUAACGUAUGUAAUAGAUUGGCCGAAUAAAUAUAAUUAUUUAAAAUAAUAUAUUUUUUAUAAUUUUCUUAUCAAAAUUAGAAUUUUGGACACUAUUGAUUGUCCGGGGCUAUGGCCUGACCUCAUCCCUUGACUAGAUAUUACUUGGCCCAUAUCGCGUAAGUUCUGUCCAAGUCCGAUUGCGCGGAUAUUUUUGACACCCCUAAAUAAGAUUUUAAUGCAAUUAUCCAUAUUUAAUUUGGUCACUUUAUCAACUAGUAAUAAAAUUUCUGUACUUUUAUCAAAAGUGCGACCUUAUGUCCAAUGAACCUCGAUUACUAAAAUGAUCUCAAAUUUCAUCAAUGCAUUUUAUAAAAUGAACUAAAAAAAUGGAAACAAUUGAAUUUGAAUGCUUUCAAACUCGGGCAAAACUAUGGUACCACAGUAGUACCAUACCACAGCUGGAUUCAGCCAUUGGAUCCAGCCUAUAGUUGUCACCAAAACUAAAUCCAAUGGCUGGAUCCAGCUGUGGUAUGGUACCACUGUGGUACCAUAACUGGACCCUUCAAACUCAUUAACAAAAUAAUAUUGAAACUACUUGUGUAACAAAUAGGGCGCUAAGUGAGAUGAACCCUUUAUUAGUAAAAUUUUUUGUUUUCUGUGUAAAGAAAAUUUUACGAAUACAAUAAAAUUUAAAAAGAGAUUAAAAAGAAGAAAAAUAUGAUAUGAAUAUAAAUGGUAUGAGACAAACACCGAUGCGCAAUUCCAAUAAGAAAACAAUUUUUUAUUUGAUUAAAUAACUUCAUACAAGGAAAAUGCCAAAAUCAAGGGUUCGGUGUUGUUUGUUUUUUCACUUAAUAUUGAAACUAGAUCCAGCUAUUUUCAAUUUUUUUUGUUUUUAAAUUAACACCGAAAAUUUAUCAAAUAAGUUUGAAUAAAAUUAAGUGUGAAAAAGAAUAACUUAACAUUUAAUGUUGAAUGCUAGAUGGAUUAUUUAACUUUUACUUUCGAAACUACCAUCAUAUUGAAUCCAUUCUAGCGCUAAGUUUACUAAACAAUUUUAUCAUAUGGUUGUUCACUUCUUGCUGACCAUUUGAAAGUGAUUCUAUUGUUUUCUCCAAUUUUAUCAUAGGAUUUGUCUGCUUUUCCCCUGCAUAUUUUGUGAAAUAAAGAUAGAAUCUGAAGUUGGCAGCAUAAAUAAGCUCAUUUGAGAAGCACAUAAUUUUAGGGGUGGUCACGCAUUGGUUGGAUAAGAUUUGUGAAUACUCAAUCUAAACCACUAUUGAAUGGGUUGAUAUAAAAUCAAUUCAAUCCAACCCAAUAAAUAUGCUCAAUCCAAUCCAACCUGACCCUUAAAUCAUCAGGUUGGGUUGGGUUGAUCAAGUUGAAAAUUUGAAUGUCAAAUUAAAAUUAAAAUUAAAAAUUUAAUAAAAAAGAUAUAAGACUUAAAACGAGACUUAUUAAAAUUAAAUGUAAAUAUAUUAUAACAUAAAAAUUUCAUUCAUGGUCUAGCAUUCGAUAAAGAAAGCUAAAAACACUUAAAUGUGUGGUCACCUAGAAUUUGUAAGGCCUAUAAAUACAUGGCCAUGUCUCCGACUGAAGCAAUGAAGUUAAGAAUAACUAAAUUUUUCACUAGUAAAAUACUUUCCACUAAUCAAAUAUUCCUAAUAAAAAAUAUUUCCACUUUAAUUAUUUUAGCCUACUAUCUACCCCUGCUCCAACUCCUAUGCCUUCCACUUCCUUAAUUCUUGGGAAUCGAAUCUUAAAAAUUUUUUAUAUCAUGGAAUUAAAGGAGGAAAGAUCAAAAUGAAAGAGUAUGAUAAGUUUCUUUUGAAAAAUGAAUUAUUUUUUCAACAUUUCUUUGAUAACGUAUCAUUCUCACUAUAAACUAUAUUGUGAUUAUUUUAUGUUGUUUGCUUAUUUUAUUUUAUAUCUUUGGUUACUACAGCAUUUUUCUAGAGUAAAAAUAUAUAAAAGCUUCAAAAUAGGCAUGGAGUUCCAUGCAUAUUCUGUUAUUCCGUCUUUCGAUUUAUUGACACAUUGACACAAAACAAGGAUAGAACUAGUUUCAGAGACAACUUAAAGUUGAAAAUUACAUAAAUUAAGCUUCUUAUUCAAAAGCCGUACGUGCUGGUUUUGGGGGGUCAAUGAGAAAAAUGUCAAGAAGUUGAUCGAUUGUGGUGAAUUUAAAAUCUGGAUACAGCUUUGAAGCUUCAAUGUCAUCCUCUCCAAGUUCAAAGUUCAUCGAGUCACCCUUUGCAAGUAGGCUGUGCAUGAUGGAUAUUGGUAUGUCUUCUGGAGGUGGUAAGGCUGCAACAAUUGAAAAAUUAAUAGGUUGUAAUAAACAAUAUCAAUUAAGUGUAAAAAUGAAUGAGAUGUCAAAGAGAUCGAAGCUUAUGAAAUCUUAUAGUUAGGGGUGGAACUAGGCAGAGACGAAGAUAUGAAUUUUUCUUAGAAUGAGUUAACUAAAAUUUUUUCAAUUUAAAAAAAUCUAAAAUAAAAGCUGUUACAUCACCCUAACAUUAAAUAAGUACUUUCAGGUUUGAGAAAUACUUUAUUAAUUGACUUCAUUUAACAAGAAAAAUUAUCCUAUGUACACCAUACCCAAUUUGGCACAAUUAAAUAGUUUUUAUUUUAUUGACUUUCUUAAACUUUUUAAUUAUCUAAUAAUACUCGGAUUGUGGGGUAUUGUACGCUUAGUUAGAUACUAACUUCAAACAAUCAACAGUCAAAUGAGUGAUAAAUAUCAUACACGAGAAACAUAUUAGGUUAUGGCAAAAAUUUAUAAAAGAUGAGCGCCUGCUUUGAAAUUUAACCAAAAAACAAAUUUACGUAUUGACCCUACUAGAUUAUACUUUGGGCCCAUAGAAUGGAACAUCAUUCCGGUUCCGCUCCUGCUUGCAUUGAUUUUAUCUUUUAUGACUUUAUAUAAAAGUGAAUAAUUUUAUUAAACAAAAAAUUAAAUCAAAAAUCAAAAUUCUUACUAUGAGAUAGCUUUACUAGCUCUUCCUCAGAAACUUGAAUUCUUUUAAAACUCUGUCCAAUCUUCUGUUCCUAAAGGGAGAUCAAUUCAAGAUGUGAUAAAAUGUUUGUUUGCGGUCAAUAAAUCGCAAUUCGAUUGCAUGUCCUUGGAUCAUUUAUCACUUUUAUUGUACAUUUAGCUAUAUCUUCCUCGUAAUUAAAGACAACUGAAAUAGAUAAAUAGAUGAUAGAACAUCAAAAAGAUAUUCAAAAAAAUGAAAUUUUAGUGUAAAUUUUAUUUUAAUAUGCGUGGACUUCUGCAUUGGGAAGGUAUACGUACCUUUUGCUUCACCACUUCCAUAAACAACAACAUCAUCAUGUGAUUCAAAUGGACGAAGCAAGACAUUCACAAAGUAAGCACCACAGAGAUUUGCUGAGACAAAGGUGUAGGGAAUUUGAGCUGCUUCUAUUGCCCUUCUUACUAUUCGUUUUUUCUCCAAGUAAGCUUCAAAAGGGGGCAGAGGCCUCACCCUGUCCUCUUCACAUCCAAACUCAGAUGGAAGAAACCUCUAGCAACCAAAACAUAGUGUGUUUAAGAUUUGUUCUAUAUAAACAAAUUGAAGCAAUGCAGCACUGAAUUGUAAAAAGACACUAAAAUGUUACCAAGACACAAAUACGAAAUUAAAGUUUGUGAUUUUAGGUAUUUUGCUAAUUAAGUAGUGCUGGUAUAUAUUUUUAUGUCUUUUAUAACUAACUACUAUUGCGUAGUUUAAAUCUACAUUUACAAAAUGCGGACGUCUACACUUAAAAGUUUCUAAUAUUUUUCAAUUAGCAAACAAACUAUAUUUCAAUUUCUCCCCCCAAAAAAAAAAAAGCACGAUUUGGUUUAUUUUUUAAAAAAGAAAGAGCUCAAUCAAAUACCUUGAUGUUACCCGCAACUUUGAUGGCAUGAACAAUUUCCAGUUGAUCAAGAAACUGAGGAUAAGCUACAGUAGAUAUCACCACAUCUACUUCCUUAAGUAUAGAUACAAUUUUCUUGUGCUCGUCCAGCUCUCCCUGUUUUAAUUUCAACACUAUUAUUACAAAUAAUAUCGAAGGGCUCCAAUUAGAUCAACACAAAAUUAAUCUCAUAAAAAGAAGUAUAAGAGGUCUGAGGUUCGAAUUUCGCGCGUGCAUUUAAAGGGGGAAAAAAGAGGAAAAAAAAAAAAGAAACAAAACCAAAGGAGAUCGAGAUAAUUGAGUAAUGAAGUAACCUCAAUAAUGGUGACGCCAAUACCCUGAAAUUCCUUGUGGAUUUCAAGCUUGGAGGGUCUUGAAUUUUGUGUAACAGGUCGAGCAUAAACAAAAGUUUUGUGACCAGAAGAAACACUUGCUUUCACCAUAUACUUACCGAGGUAUCCAGUACCCCCAAAGAUAAGUUUCUUUGGUUUUGUGUUCUCACCUUCCAUUUCUUCCUUUCAUUUCAAUUUAUCUUUUCAUAUUCCCUUCCCUUUUUACACAUUUAUAUGUUGAAAAUGUGAGACUCGACAGUUCAUGCGGAUAUAAUUGCUGCAAACGAACGGAUAUAAUUGAAGAAACAAAUUUAUGAAUGCUAGAAAUAUCUAAGCAUCUAAUAAAUUUCUUUUAGACAGGUAGAAAUAUCUAUGCAAAAGUUGUUAAAAAUUAGCCACAACGAAAAAUGCUAAAUGUGUGGUCACCUAGUGUUUGUAAGGCCUAUAAAGACAUGGCCGUGUAUCCAAUUCAAGCAAGGAAGUUAAGAACAACAAAAUCUUCCACUAGUAAAAUCCUUUCCACUUCCCUUUAUCUUUGAUCAAAUAUUAUUGAUCAAAAAUAGUUUCCACUUUAAUUAUUUUAGCCCACUAUCUACCCCUGCUCCAACACCUGCCUUCUACUCCCUCAAUUUUUGGGAACCGAAUCUAAAAAUUUUUAUAUCAUUGAAUUUAAAGGGGGAAAGAUCAAAAUGGAAGAUCAGUAUGAUAAGUUUCUUUUGAAAAUGAAUUAUUUUUUCAAUAUUUCUUUGAUAAUGUAUCAUUCUCACUAUAAACUAUAUCGUGAUUAGUUAUGUUUUCUGCUUAUUAUUAUCAUUAUUUUAACAUCACAGCAUUUUUCUAUAUAGUAAAAAUAUAUAAAUGCUUAAAAAUAUGCAUGGAGUUCCAUGCAUGUUCUGUUAUUCUUUCUUUUGAUUUAUUGACACAAAACAAGGAUAGGACUAGUUUUGGAAACAUAAUUAAUUAAAGUCGAAAAUUACAUAAAUUAAGCUGCUUAUUCAAAAGCCGUACGUGCAGGCUUUGGGGGGUCAAUUAGAAAAAUGUCAAGAAGUUGAUCGAUUGUGGUGAAUUUAAAAUCAGGGUACAGCAUUGAAGCUUCAAUGUCAUCCUCUCCAAGUUCAAAGUUCAUCAAGUCACCCUUAGCAAGUGCGCUGUGUAUAAUGGAUAUUGGUAUGUCUUCUGGAGGUGGUAAGGCUGCAACAAUUGAAAAUGGAUAGGUUGUAAUGAACAGUAUUAAUUGAGUUUAAAAAUAAAUGAGAUGUCAAAGAAAUUGAGACCUCUGAAAUCUUAUAGUCAAGGGUGGAAUUAAGCAUAGGUGAAGAUAAGAAUUUUUCUUAGAAUGGGCUAACUAAUUUUUCUUUAUUUUUAAAAAAUUUUAAAAUUAAAGCUGUUAAAUCACCCUAACAUUAAAUAAAUACUUUUAGGUUUGGGAAACACACAAUUAAUUAACUUCAUUUAAUAAGAAAAAUUAUCCUAUUGUGACAUCAUACCCAAACUGGUAUAAUUAGAUAGUUUUUAUUUCAUUUUCUUGAUUUUUUAAUUAUCUAAUAAUGCUCAGACUGUGGGUUAUGGUACCCUUAGUUAAAUACUAACUUCAAACAAUUAACAUUCAAAUUAGUGAUAAAUAUCUUACACAAGAAACAUAUUUGGUUAUGGUAAAAAAAUUAUAAAUGAUGAGGGUCUGCUUUGAAAUUUAACCAAAACAAUUCACGUAUUGACCCACUAGAUUUACACUUUGGCCCAAUGGAAUAGAACAUCAUUCUGAUUCUGCUUGUAGUGAUUUUAUCCUUUUAUGACUUUAUAUAAAAGUAAAUAAUUUUAUUAAAAAAAUUAAAUAAAAAAUCAAAAUUCUUACUCUCAGAUAGCUUUACUAGUUCUUCCUCAGAAACGUGAACUCUUUUGAAAUUCCAUCCAGUCUUUUGUUCCCAAAGGGAGAUCAAUUCAAGUUGUGAUAUAAUGCUUGCUUGCGGUCGAUAAAUCACAAUUCGAUUGCAUGUCCUUGGAUCAUUUAUCACUUUGAUUGUACAUUUAGCUAUAUCUUCCUCGUAAUUAAAGACAGCUGAAAUAGAUAAAUAGAUGAUAGAACAUAAAAAAGAUAUUAAAAAAAUGAACUUUUAGUGUAAAUUUUAUUUUAAUAUGCGUGGACUUCUGCAUUGGGAAGGUAUACGUACCUUUUGCUUCACCACUUCCAUAAACAACAACAUCAUCAUGUGAUUCAGAUGGACGAAGCAAGACAUUCGCAAAGUAAGCACCACAGAGAUUUGCUGAGACAAAGGUGUAGGGAAUUUGAGCUGCUUCUAUUGCCCUUCUUACUAUUCUUUUUGUCUCCAAGCAAGCUUCAAAAGGGGGCAGAGGCCUCACCCUGUCCUCUUCACAUCCAAACUCAGAUGGAAGAAACCUCUAGCAACCAAUACAUAGUGUCUUUAAGAUCUGUUCUAUAUAAACAAAUUUGAAGCAGUGCAGCACUGAAUUGUAAAAAGACACUAGAAUGGUAAAAAGAUGCAAAUAUUAAAUUAGAGUUUGUGAUCUUAUAUAUUUUGCUAAUUAAGUAGCCUAUAGCUAACUACAAUUGCCUCACCUAAAUCUACAUUUACAUAGUGCGGACAUCCACAUUUAAAAGUUUCUAAUAUUUUUCAAUUAAUAAACAAACUAUAUUUCAAUUUCUCCAAAAAAAACAAAAGGACAACAAGCGAUUUAUUUUAUUUUUAAAAAAGAAAGAGCUCAAUCAAAUACCUUGAUGUUACCAGCAACUUUGAUGGCAUCAACAAUUUUCAGUUGAUCAAGAAACUGAGGAUAAGCUACAGUAGAUAUCACCACAUCUACUUCCUUAAGUACAGAUACAAUUUUCUCGUGCUCGUCUAGCUCUCCCUAUUUUAAUUUCAACAGUAUUAUUACAAAUAAUAUCGAAGGGUUCCAAUUACAUCAACACAAAAUUAAUCUCAUAAAAAGAAGUAUAAGAGGUUUGAGGCUCGAAUUUCGGGCGUGCAUUUAAAGAGGGAAAAAAAGAGCAAAAAAAUAAAUAAAUAAACAAAACCCAAGGAGAUCGAGAUAAUUGACUAAUGAAGUAACCUCAAUAAUGGUGACGCCAAUACCCUGAAAUUCCUUGUGGAUUUCAACCUUGGAGGUUCUUGAAUUUUGUGUAACAGGUCGAGCAUAAACAAAAGUUUUGUGACCAGAAGCAACACUUGCUUUCACCAUAUACUUACCGAGGUAUCCAGUACCCCCAAAGAUUAGUAUCUUUGGUUUUGUGUUCUCACCUUCCAUUUCUUCCUUUCACUUCAAUUUAUCUUUCAUCCUCCCUUCCCUUUUUACAUAUUUAUAUAUGAUAUCAGGAACUCACAUUUUUAGUGUUGAAAAUGUUAUACACACAGAAUCUGGUAAAUUUGUGUUUCUUGAAAAAGUUGCUUCACCUAAACUAUUAUUUUUUAAUUUUCAUCAAUAAUCAAUAUUCUUAACCACAUAAAUUUUAUCUCCAUUAUUGUUCCCCGAAAAAAAAAAAUAUUUAAUUAUAAAUUUCAAUAGCUAAAUGUAUUAUUAAAAUAUUUGAAUUUUUUCAACCACGAUAAAAAGAAGUCUAAUCCGACCAACAAGUGCUUAAUUUUCUACAUGUUGAAAAUUUGACUUGAAUGUGGGAAAACAUUAAAGACAAUAGGACAAAAUAAUUGAAAUCAUAAUUCUCUCUUGAUCUAGUCUUUAUAUGAGUAAAUUUUAUUAACACAAUUGGUGGUUAAUAAAUUAAAAAAAAAAUAGUUAAAUCUUAAUCUUAUACUAACACUAAAAUACAAGUGACAUAAGAUCUAUAAAAGAUCAAGAGUGUUCAGACUAAGGAUAUUAAUCCAAAUAAUUGCUCCGCAAAAGAGUGAUAAUGAAAUAGCAAAAUUCCUUGACAAUUUUGUUCAUGCAAUUAAAUACCAAGUGGUGAGAGCAAAAACAAAUAAAAGGCCAAAGCCUUUCGGCUUUAGAAUUGAAAAGGUGGGGCCCAUUUUGAAGAUUCUAUAAGUAAGCUUUUGGGUUUUGGACGAAGAGGAGAGUAGGGGUGGGCGCGGUUCGGUUCGGUUCGGUUUUUUACUAAAUUUUUCAUAAUCGUUCGAUUACGAUUAUUUUAAAAUCAUAAUCGCGAUUAAUCAAAUCACCAAAAUAAUCAAAUACUCGAUUAAUCGAAAUAAUUCGAUUCGGUUCGGUUCGAUUAUUUCGAUUAUGGACCUAUUGGAUCUAUUUUGAGUUUUUUUAAAUUUAAAGCCUUAAACUAAUAAAUCUACCAUAAACAUAAAAAGUUAACAAACAAAAAUUGUAAAAUAAAAUAAAAUAAAGCUUGCUACAAUAUUAAUUUCUAAGAGGAUAAAAUGUUUUGAGGAAGAAAAUGUUAAUCCAACAGGACACAAAUUCAUCAAUUGGAUUUCCAUUUAAGCAGCCUUCCAGACUGAGAAAGUGAGAAUCCCAUCAACAUGGCAACAUGCAACAAUAAUAUGACUUGAUUGACUUAUAUAAGUACUUCAAGUCUUGCAAUUAAAUUAAAAAUUGUAACUAAUUAAAUGUAAAGAACCCGAGGACCUGCAAUUCUUCGACUAGCCAUGUACAAAUAUAAAUGGCCAACCCAACAGGCAAAUUUUCAUAGAAAGUAAAGCAUUUUCUGGGCACCAUAAUGAUCAUGGAAGCUGAAAGUUUAAGUGAAAGCAGAAACAAAAGGGAAGAAGACAGUAAGUCAAGGCAAAAGGUGCAGAGAGAGACAGAGUUAAUUGGAAAUGCCAAAGACAGAGUUAAUUGGAGAACUGUCUAAAUUCUCCAUUAUUACCACUCAUGAUUUGAUGGUUAUCUAAAUUCUCCAUUUCCGUAACACAGGUACAAACAUGAAAUAUUUCAGCAGCGGUUCCUUUCAAUUACAAAAUCACAAAAAUUAAAUAUCACAAAAUCUUGCAUUUACUUAAACAAGUUCUGGUUCCUUUCAAUUACAAGAAAUAACAAUAUCAUUCCGUUUCCAUCACUGAAGAACUUCGAUUGAAAUCAAAACUUUUUUUGUUGUUUACCUUGUGAAGGCGAUCGAGAGUGAAGGAAAGGAGAACUUCUUAAGGUUGCUGAGAGAUAAACUUCCAGAAAACAAAUACCAAUCUUCACAGUUCACACGGCAGGUGACAGUGGCAGCAGCAGCAGUGAUGACUGACGAGCAGCGGCGGCAACGAGCUUGCAGCGGUGGCGACGAGCAGAGGGGACAGAAGAAGACAGAAGUGUGGCUGAAGGUCACGACGAACAGCGGCCAGCGGGAAUAGAAGAAAUCACGACGAGCAACGGCCAGCGAACAGAAGAAGUCACGACGAGCAGAGCAGCGGCCAGCGGGAGACAGAAGUCAGAAGUGUUUAGAUUUAAGCUUUAGGGUUUUUUUACAAUCGAUUUAUUUGAGAUUCCGGUUCGGUUUUUCGGUUUUUUUAAAAAAAUCGAAAACCGAACCGAUUAAUUUUACUAUUUGUAUGAUAUUACUAUUUCGGUUUUUUAGAAGUAAAAAAACCGCACAAAAACCGAACCGAACCGAUCGGUUCGGUUCGAUUUUUGAUUAAUUAACUUUUUUUGCCCACCCCUAGAAGAGAGGGAGCCGCCAAAGAGGAAAAAAAAAGGCAGACGCAAGGCAGAAAAGGAGAAGAAGAAUAGUGGCAGCAGCAGUAAUUUAAUUCUCCAUGAUUGAUUUUAUUUAUUUUGUUGCUCCUUAUUUAAGUAUGUCUAACUAAUUUUCUUAUAUUAAGAUUAAUGAUGAAAUCAUAUUUAAUGAAAUAAUUAUUUUUUUAUUUAAUUAAUUUCUUAUACGUGUGCUUUAAUGUUUAUGAUUUUUGUUGAAAAUGUGAGACUCGACCGUUCAUGUGGGGGACUCAAUUUGUGGUGUUUCCGUGCAAUAAUGUUGUACGCUAUAGAUGUUAAAAUCAAUGGAGCUAUUUCAGCAGUUCAAAAUCCGAAAAUUGUCUCCUUAUUUCUGAGUGAUAAAUUGAUAACAUCUUUUAGUGUGAGAAAUUUAUAAUUUUUUACUUAGUAAUUUUAUCUCAGCGUCUUUGACUGUUUACACAUAAAUUGACAAAAUCAGCCACGAUUCUUAUGUUUCCCCUUAUAAAUGGAUAAUUUAAAUUUGUGAUAAUAUAUAUUUUAUUUAUUUUUCUUUAAAUGAUAGAAUAAUAGACAAAGUUCAAAUUAAUUCCUUAUUUCCUUUAGUUUUAGGACUCAAACUCGGAACCAACCAAAUAAUACUAUUUGAAAACCACUCAUUAGGCCGGCAACAAAUAAGUGAUAAUAAGUUUUUGGUUUAUAAACAAAAUGACGACGUUUUCUAUGCGAAAUGAAUGGUGACUAUUGCUCUAUGCCACGAGCAAUUUUUGUGAGUAUUCAGAUUCUCACAUGAAUAUAUAAUACAAUGGUUGAUUGAUAAAAGGAUGACGGGUCUUUUGUGAGCUUUGUAGAUAUAUUUUUCUUCCAAUUGUACUAUUGCAAAAAAAAAAAAAAAGGGAUCCGAAUCUUCAAUUGAUUUUUUUAAAUUGUUUUAAGGGGAAAUUAAAGCACUUACGUGGUCUUGUACAAUUUUUAUAAAUAUAUAUAGUUGUUUUAAAAAAUAGUGACAUCGUCUCUUCCUACGACAACUAUGUCUUUUAUUGUAGUGAUCGAAUUAUUUUUAUCUAGGCGUAAUUAUUCCAAAAGUAUCUAUAUAAUCAUUUUGUUAAAUGACGAAAUGUGACCAUUUUUUUCUCAUUUUUUUUCAUUUACAGUGCUGAUAUUUUCAUACCACAAUUUUUGUAAACCCACCCUACUUCAAGAAAAUAAUUAUAAUAAAUUCACAUUAUUUUUAAGAAAAUUCAAAUAAAGAAGAAGUUUGAGAAGUAAUUAAUUAAAUCUACCUUGAUUUGUUUUGUGACUUUAAUUUUUUUAUCAUAUUUGACUAAAAAGAUUGCUUUGUCAUAAUUUUAAAUUGAUUAUUUACUCUUAUAAGGUAAAAGUAGCAAAAUACCAAAAAAUUUACUUUAAGUUCAGAGUUUUUGAAUUUUAUACAAAAUUUAUAAUUUCUAAAAAAUGUAUCAAAACAAAUUUAUUAGAAUGAUUAUUAAGAUUUAGUUAAACUAACAAAAUAUUUUUAUGGCAUAAGACUCAUGUAAUUUAUUGGAUGUCAUGUUGUAAGUCACAAAACUAAAUACUUAGAUUGUUAGAUAUAGGAACAUUAUCACAUUAUCUUUGGAUAAUUUGGUCAUUUUAUGUAUCUUGGGUAAAACAUUGAAAUAAAAUUUAUCUUAAACCAACCUUAAUAGCAAAUAUGGCUAAACAAACAUAAGUGAAAAAAAUACAUAAGAAUUAAUUGAUUAAUUGCCCAAUCUCUUUGUUUAUCUCUAUUUUUUGAAAAUAAUGUGAGCUUAUUAUAACACUUCUAUCUCCCUCAAGAUUUACAUUCGGGUGACUAGCCAAAUAUAGAUGCUUGAAAACCAAAAGGCUUGGGAAAAUAAGAAAAUCUUAUAUAUUUUCACUAUCUGUUUCAACAAAUUUAUACACAUGGAAUCUGGUAAAUUUGUUUUCUUGAAAAAGUUGUUUCACUUAAACCAUUAUUUUUUAAUUUUCAUCAAUAAUCAAUAUUGUUAACCACAUAAAUUUUAAUUCCAUUAUUGUUCCCUGAAAAAAAUUUAUUUAAAUAUAAUUUUCAAUAGCUAAAUUUAUUAUUAAAAUAUUUGAAUUUUUUUUAAACCGCGAUAAAAAGAAGUCUUACCCGACCAACAAGUGCUAAAUUUUCUACACGUUGAAAAUUUGACUUGAAUGUGGGAAAACAUUAAAGAAAAUAGGGCAAAAUAAUUGCUCGGUAAAAGCGUGAUAAUGAAAUAGCAAAAUUCUUUGACAAUUUUGUUCAUGCAAUUAAAUGCCAAAUGGUGAGGUUGGGGAUCAUUGAAGAAGUUGAAUGGUCUUUGGCCAUUAUGAAUGGUCGAUCCGCAAUUCAUUCAUGAUUUGUCAAUAUUUGCUCAUGGAAAUGGCGGAUAUUUCACCGGAUAUUGGACCGCAAGCUUAAGGCGAUCCUUACACGCCAUCUGUUGAAAAAUUCAAAAUUGAAAUUCAAAUACACAUGCAUGCAUUCAGCUUUGACGAGGUAAAUUUGAAGACAAAUUCCUUGCAUGCAAAUUUCAAGCACACCAAUAUUGAGCUAGCGUGAUCCAAUUGCAUGUGCUACUUAGGGUUCAUGGAUGAUUUGACCUGAACAGGCCAAUUCCUUACCUCAAAAGGUCAACUAUCUAUCUGACCUGUCGAUUCCUGAGCCUCCCCUCCCGGUUGGCGUUUGUCAGCCACUAGAGCAAGUAAGAGAACCUACAGUGAAUGAACUUAAAGAUAAAGAACAGCCUAUCCUAGAUCUUCCCAUUUUCAAGAAGAUCCCGGGCUCGAUCCGGUUUAGUAUCAAGGUGAGGGAUCAGUGUUUUCUAAGUGAAUCGAAAGCUUUCUUUCUUUAAGAGAUUUCAAGUCUGGGUCCCCUCGAGCACCCUUCCCUUGAACCUGAACUGGUCGAGAGAGAUGAACCCGCACCACAUUUUAUAACAGAACCAACUGGUUUCACACCGGAGGAACAAUUCUUUGAGGCCACGCAACGACCCAAACAGUUUGGAAAGCGUAUAUAGAAUGCAAC